rnacentral:lncRNA from 1 species
UUGACAUAGAGGACGCCGUCAAUAAGGAUGCUGACAUUGUCUUUGGUAAUAGCAGAUUGAUCAGGAAUCUGAAUAGCCUCUUCCUUCAAAGAGUGAACAUAAGCAAUUCGAUCGACAAGGGGAAUCAAGAAAUGGAUUCCAGAUGGCAGCGUCUUCAAGUACUUUCCAAAUCUCUCUACCACAAACGCUUUCUUCUCCGGCACAAUCCGUACCCCCCAAUUCACAGGUGGCGUAAUCUCAUAACUAAUGAAUUAUAAUAAAUUAAUAAAAAAAAAGAAGGAAGAAAGACAGGGAGGGAAUGCGGAAUGAAUGUACCUGGUGAAGGGGUCGCGGCCGGAGCGGAGGAGGCGGACGGAGAUGGUGGAGGAGAGAGGAGACGAAAGGCGGUUGUUUUGGGCUAAGUGAAAAGAAGGGGGUUGAAAUAAGGGAGAAUUGGAGGAGGGAGUGAGGAGGGUUCUGCCUCUGGAAGCGGUGGAAGCCGAUAAGGAGGAGAGGUGGUGGGAGGUUCUUACGGCGUUGUUGAGUAAUAAAUGACUCCUCCUCCUCCACAUUUUUCUGUCUCUCUUUGUUGUUGCUGUUGAAAAACCCUUGGCCUCCUUAAUUAUCGAACCCUCCCUCACUCUCACACUCUUCACUCUGAUCUGCUCUGCUGACCCUCUCCCCAAGUCACCCUCUCUCUUUUGUUCCCCCUCUGCCCACUCAAAUAAUUUAUUUUCCGAAGUUGUAAUUGACAGUGUGUGGUGGGUGGGUUUUGUUUUAGGCCCGACGUUUUAUAAUGGGCUCUUUUUUUUCUUUUAGAGUUUUUGUUAAAGAAUUGAGAAAAUCGAGACUAAUGUUCUCUGAACAUGAAGAACAAUGAGAGAACGGCAUGAUUUUUAUAAUUUUAAUUUUAAUUUCUUAAGUUAGAGAGCUUAGAUUUAUAUAAAAGUGAGGUUUUACAAUUCAUGAAUAAUAAGACAAUUUAAUCAUAUUUAAUCAGAUAAACAAUAGGAUUAGAGGAUAAAAAGUAAUCCAAAUUACUUUGAUUGUUCGAAUAAAUUCGGGUAGUAAAUUUCUUAAAGUUUCGGAGAAGAGGUAAUUCAGAGAAUUGCCUCAAAUUUAUUUAAGAUAAUUCCUGUAAAAUUAAAAAACUUAAAUCAUCCAAAUUAUAGUUCUAAUUUAUUUAUAAGGAUUUAGAAAUAAUGAGAUUGAAAUUUUUCUUAGUAAAAAAUUUCUUGAGCCUAGUUUUAUUAAUCCAUAUUUUUAAUGAAUUUCUUAUAAAAAAUUAAUGGGGCAAUGGUAAAAACAGUAUUAAUUUUGGAUUACCUGAUUUUUUCAAAAUAGGGUUUAUACAUACUGCUAUAAAUUGAUAAUAAUAUUUGCAUCUCAGAAACAUAGAAACAUUUGAUCGUAAAUCUUCUGUUACUUUUGUGUUGCAUUAAUUACUGCUUGGAUCGACACGAAGGUAAAGAGCUAAGCAAGUUAGCUAGUAAUUUAACCGAUAAUAAUUAAGUAUUAAAGUGUUAAUCAAGAAAAAGAACAUUUCUAGUUUGAAUCUUAUCACUUGGAUUUCCCAACUUACAUAGUGAUUGAUUAAAACUCUCGAGUUGAUAAAUUUUUGACCGUGAUUUAGCUCUCGAAAGUGAUCACUCACCCGUAGGCUAUGUCAGGAGUGAGUCCUUGCUAUGGAUAUAAGAAGAAGAAAAAAAAAACGAAGGUAUGGAGCUCUACGUAUCCUUGUUAUUAGUAAAGGUUAUAUUCAUGUGGAAAAGUGGUUAUCUCUUACAUGAACUUUGGUGCUCCCUUCAAAAGACUGAAGAAUUUGAAAGUAGAAUGCAAAUGUGAUUCAUAUGUGCUACCGGCGAAUAUCUCAACCUUCUUACGUGAUGCUGAAUACAUAAAAAUGGGAGAACGAAGCGAAGAAGGAAUCGUAGGUAAUUACAUUUUCAAAUUUUUAUUUCUAUUUGCAGUCUGAAUCUUAAUUGAUUUUCGUUGAUCGUUAAUAUUCUCAAUCAAUUUCAUUGCUUAAUCUCGAUUGCCGUAUUCAUGUAUUGAAUAUACUCAGCACACUCAAGUCUGCUAAUGGAUGAAGUGCAGACAUUGCAUUGAGAAGACAUUGCACUGAUGAGCUGGAAACUAAAGCUGCUAUAACAAGCUUAGCAGACGGUUAGAGUAGGCACAGCAGGUGGUUAGAUUCUGUUGUAAAGUCUGGUAUUCUGUUGUAAAAUCUGUUAUUUAUAACUGAUUCUGUUACUAUACUACAAGAAGGCUAUAAAUAUUGUAUCAGUUGAAUCAAUGAAUAAUAAGAAAAUCAGUUAAACAUUUUCGUUUCCAAUAUGGUAUCAGAGCAUUCUCUCUGAAUUUUUUUUCCCGCAUCCUUCUUUUUCUUCAUUCUCUCUUCUGUCUUCAUUCUCAACAAUGACUGACGCUACUUCAGAAAUGGAUUCUUCCAAUCCUUUCUUUCUACAUCAUGGUGACAGUCCUGGAGCCAUGAUUGUUUCGAAGCAACUCAAUGGUGAGAAUUAUAAUUCAUGGAAGAGGGCGAUGAUGAUGGCUUUAUCAGCCUAGAACAAACUCAAUUUCGUUAAUGGCACCUUGCCUAAGCCAUGCAAUCUAUCAGAUUCUCAAGGUUUGGCAUGGACUCGCUGCAACAAUAUGGUUCUCUCGUGGUUAUUGAAUUCUGUUUCAACAGAGAUUGCCAACAACAUCUAUAUUGAUGAUGCAUCUGAAAUUUGGAAUGAUCUUCAAGAUAGAUUCUCUCAACACAAUGGACCACGUAUCUUUCAACUACAGAAGUCCAUUUAUCUCUGUCACAGGAGAAUAACUUGUCAGUGCUUAUUUCACAACUAUGAAAGGCUUAUGGGAUGAGUUAGGCAAUCAUCAACCCAUUCCUACGUGCACAUGUGGAGCAUUGAAGACUAUUCUAUCUUAUCAUCAUCAACACAUGUUUAUUAGUUUCUCAUGGGCUUGAAUGAGAGUUAUUCCCAGAUUCGAGGACAAAUUCUGUUAAUUGAUCCAUUACCAUCCAUUAACAAAGUUUUCUCCCUUAUAAUUCAGGAAGAGAGGCAACGUAUGAUUUCUUCUUCAAGUGUUUCUUUCAAUCAGAACACCACUACAUUACUUGCCAGGACAGUAGCUCCAUCUCCAACCUAUUUUUCUAGACACAAAUCCUCUUAUCCUCGCAAAGAGCGUUCAAUAUGCUCUCAUUGUGGUAUUCAUGGCCACACUGUGGAAAAAUGCUACAAAAUCCAUGGAUUCCCACCUGGUUACAAGUUUACCAAAGGGAAAAAUGCAGUUCACAAUGUAAAUCAGGUCUCUGACAGCACUGUUCCUCGGCUACCUAUCACUUAUGCACAAUGUCAGCAACUCCUGGAGAUGUUCAACCCCUCAAUCUCAGAACGUGAAUCCUCUGUGAAUCAAGUCUCUUCAUCUGUCCAUAAAGAAUAUGAAAUUCUUACUUCAGGUGACACUCCAAUCAAACUAAACCAAGCAGGUACUCUUUCCAGUAUAUUUCCUUUCAAUCCAAAGCAUUCUGUUUUUUCAUCUACCUUAUCUCUUACUCAUCCAACUGCUCUCACAAAUUCUGUCAAAGCCCCUUGGAUAAUUGACACUGGAGCUACAGAUCAUAUGAUUUGUUCUACCUCCUUAUUUACACACAUUACUUCUGUCGUUUCCAAAACAGUAAGGUUACCUAAUGGACAACAUGCUUCAGUUACUCACAUUGGUACCAUUAAGAUUAUAGAAUCUCUUAUUUUAACCAAUGUGCUUUGUAUCCCUUCCUUUUCUUUCAACUUAAUCUCUGUCAGUAAGCUCAUUCAAACCUUACACUGUUGUGUCAUCUUCUUAUCCAAAUUCUGUUUUGUUCAGACUCUUGCAAACUGGAGAACGAUUGGUGUGGGUAAAGAAAAUGGAUGUUUAUACCAUUUGCUGCAAAAUCCGGUUUCUGCUUUAUCUAGGAAUUCUGCAUUUUCCACUCCUGUAAAAACCAUGUCCCAGCCUACAAUAAUGAAUCUAGCUUCUGCUAGUUUCUUUGUUCAUUCUGUAAACAAUAGUCUAUGGCAUUACAGAUUAGGUCACCCCUCAGAUUCUCCCUUGAAAUUGCUUUCUCAUGUAAUUCCUCAAGUUUUACAUGAAUCUAAUAAGACUUGCAGCAUAUGUCCUCUGGCUAAACAACACCGGUUACCUUUCCCACACAGCAUUACAGCUUUUGCACAACCCUUUGAUCUUAUUCACUGCGAUCUUUGGGGUCCUUUUUCCACUAAAUCUAUUAGUGGCUCUUCUUAUUUCCUGACCAUUGUCGAUGAUAAUACCAGGUUCACAUGGAUUCAUCUUUUGGAAAAUAAAUCUCAGACUAGAACUCAUAUUCAAUCCUUUUUCACUUUGGUUGAGACAUAGUUUAAUGCACAAAUCAAGUCUCUUCGAUCAGAUAAUGGAAUUGAAUUCCACAUGCCUCAAUUUUAUGCCUCAAAAGGUGUAGUUCAUCAACUGAGUUGUGUUGAAACUCCACAACAAAACUCAGUUGUUGAAAGAAAACACCAGCACAUUUUAAAUGUUGCCGAUCCCUUCGUUUUCAGUCUCAUCUACCUUUAUCAUUUUGGGGUGAUUGUGUUCUCACUGUCGUGCAUUUGAUCAAUAGGAUUCCUACUCCUGUCUUACAUAACAAAUCUCCUUAUGAAAUGUUGUUCCAAUCUCGUCCAUCUUAUUCCCAUUUAAGAGUCUUUGGUUGCCUCUGCUAUGCAACUACUCUCCUUAGACAUCGCCAGAAAUUUGACUCUAGAGCCAAACCUUGUAUAUUCCUUGGCUAUCCAUAUAACAUCAAGGGCUAUAAACUCUAUGAUUUACAUCUCAACACUGUCUUUGUCUCCCGAAAUGUUAUAUUCCAUGAAGCUGUAUUUCCUUUUUCCCUCAAACAUCAUAUCUCCUCUACUGAUUAUGUCCUUCCUUUACCUCUUACACUACCUGAAUCAGUAGCCCCAUCCCUUGAUCACAUGGAUUCAGCUUCUUUUCCUUUUCACACUAAUACUAGCUCACCCUCUAAUCCCAGUCCAUCUCCUCCCUUAAAUUCUGACUCAGCACCUCUUCUAGCAUCUCCUUCUGAGAUUAUUUCUCAGCCAUGCAGAAAGUCUUCUCGGAUAAAACACAAACCUGGAUAUUUGCAUGACUAUCAUUGUCAUAUUGCAACCUCCUCUUCAGAGCCUGCACCUUCUUCUUCAGUUUCAGGUAUUCCUCAUACAUUUUCCUCUGUCCUUUCUUAUGAUCAUCUAUCUCCUAAUCAGAAAUGCUUCAGUCUUUCUGUAUCUACCCUUGUUGAGCCUACUUCGUAUACUCAAGCUAUGUAUUCUAAGGAAUGGUGUGAGGCUAUGGACAAUGAGAUUAAAGCUCUUGAAUUGAAUAAUAUCUGGACUGUUGUUGAUCUCCCUGCUUCAAAACAUACUAUUGGCUGCAAAUGGGUCUACAAAGUUAAACUCAAAUCUGAUGGCACCUUAGAGAGGUAUAAGGCCAGGCUCGUUGCCAAGGGCUAUACUCAAUGUGAAGGACUGGACUAUUAUGACACUUUCUCCCCUGUGGCUAAGCUCACCACGGUGAGAACUCUUUUGGCAGUUGCUGCUGUCAAGCAUUGGCAUCUCCAUCAAUUGGAUGUUAACAAUGCAUUUCUUCAUGGCGAUUUAGAUGAAGAAGUCUACAUGUCCUUACCACCUGGUUUUGCUAAAAAGGGGGCGUCCAAAGUUUGCAAACUCCAUAAGUCACUCUAUGGUUUAAAGCAAUCUUCGCGGCAAUGGUUUGCCAAAUUUUCCUCUGCAUUGCUUGACUUUGGUUUCGUGCAGUCCAAGGCUGAUUACACUUUGUUUACUCGAUCAUUGGCAGAUUCCUUCAUUGCUAUCUUAGUCUGUAUUGAUGAUAUAGUUGUUGCCAGUGACAAUUCAGAUGCAGUUUCCACGUUUAUUCACUUGCUUAAUAACAAAUUUUAGCUUAAAGAUCUUGGACCAUUGAAGUAUUUCCUUGGUUUGGAAAUAGCUCGCAGUGAGCUUGGCUUAUCCGUCUGUCAGCGCAAGUAUGCCUUGGACAUCCUUGAGACUACUGGUUUGUUAGCUUCGAAACCAGCCAAAGUUCCAAUGGAUCCUAAUGUGAAAUUCUCUAAGGAUUCUGGACCACUCUUAGAUGAUCCUACCUCCUAUAGACGACUUAUUGGCCGACUACUCUAUCUCACCAUCAGUCGUCCUGACAUUUCUUUUGUUGUUCAGGUUUUAAGUCAGUUUAUGGAUAAGCCACGAGUUCCUCAUCUUGAUGCAGCUACUCAGGUCCUACGUUAUAUUAAAGCCUCUCCAGGUCAGGGACUAUUCUUUCCAGUCGCCUCUAGCCUACAACUUAAAACUUUUUGUGAUUCAGACUGGGCUGGUUGCUUGGAUUCUAGACGUUCAGUCAUAGGCUUCUGCGUCUUCCUUGAUAAUUCUUUGAUUUCUUGGAAAUCUAAGAAACAAACCACAGUCUCCCGAUCUUCUGCUGAAGAUGAGUAUAGAGCUAUGGCAUCCACAUGCUGUGAGAUUGUGUGGCUUCAAGCCCUUCUCCACGACUUGCAAAUUCCCCUCCAAACUGCUCUCCUUUACUGUGACAGUAAAGCUGCUCUUCAUAUUGCGGCCAAUCCGGUUUUCCAUGAGCGUACCAAACACAUUGACAUUGAUUGUCAUGUGGUUCGUGAGAAAAUUAUAUCCGGUGUUCUUCGUACUUUUCAUGUCUCCUCUCAACACCAAUUGGCUGACAUUUUUACGAAGGCUCUCCCUUCGUCCCUUUUUCACUUGUUACUAUCCAAAAUGAGUAUUCAUAAUAUCUACUCUCCUUAACAGUUCUUUUAUGAAUCUCAUCUUGAGGGGGCGUAUUGAAUAUACUCAGCACACUCAAGUCUGCUAAUGGAUGAAGUGCAGACAUUGCAUUGAGAAGACAUUGCACUGAUGAGCUGGGAAACUAAAGCUGCUAUAACAAGCUUAGCAGACGGUUAGAGUAGGCACAGCAGGUGGUUAGAUUCUGUUGUAAAGUCUGGUAUUCUGUUGUAAAAUCUGUUAUUUAUAACUGAUUCUGUUACUAUACUACAUGAAGGCUAUAAAUAUUGUAUCAGUUGAAUCAAUGAAUAAUAAGAAAAUCAGUUAAACAUUUUCGUUUCCAAUAUCAUGCUUAUCCAAUAUCAAUCGAAACCAGUAAACGUCCAUGAAUGUUCUAAAUCACUGUAGCAAUCUGGAAGCAGAAAAAUUCUUGAUAUGAAUUAUUCAUAAACAUGCAUGUUCUAAAUAAGGCUUUUGAAUCCUACGCUGUUAUGUCAUUGCAAUCCAAGUCCAUGGUUAUGAGGGAAAUGCUCUGUUUCUGGCACCGGCCUCGUCUUCGCUUCAUCGUUGCUACCCGUUUAAUACUGUAAGUGCUGUGAUAUGCCUCACCAUUUCUUGUAGGUGCGAGGUUGAUGUUCGACAGCUGCAUCAUUACGAGGAAUGAGUCGGUCUCGUUUGCAAGACUUGAAGAAAACAAGAAAGCUGACAGAGGGAGUUUGAAGAACAGCAAGGCAGUCUUAUUAUUCUAUGUGAUUUCUACGGUGCAUAUACAUAGUUUAUAUAAAAAAGAUCUUGUCUAAAUAAAUAAACGGACAGACUAGCAACUAAUCUUUAGGAUUUAAUUACAAAAACUACAAUCAAACUAAAUCUCUAAGAUAUGAUUUACAACUCAAGCUUUAAUUGUUUUGAUUCCGAAUCCUAACAAGACUAGCCACCAAAUUACAUCCAAAUUACAUAUUUGAUUUUUUUCUUUUCCAGUUGCAAUCUGCGGCGGCAUCCCAUUUCCAGGAGCUAAGCUUUAACAAGGUUGCUUAUUCACAUUACUAUUUUGCAUGCAUAAAUCUAUGCUAGAAAUAUUUGGAACUAAUUACUUUGCCAACGCUUCUGUUUGCAUGAUAACACUACCCAAAAGUAGGCAAGGAACAGAGCAUUAGAAUUGGUUGUGAAACGAGGACAGCCCCUGGUUGAUCCGAGUGAUGGAGAAAACGUGGAUGAUUGGAGUUCUCCCAUGGUUCUGAGGUCUUGAAAGAGUUCGACAGCGCCUGUUUUAUUCAAGAAGCUUUUGGUCUUCGUCACCAGGCAUGAGGUAUUUUAGUUGUAAGGAUUCCUAGCUUCUCAGAACUGGAGCUCUGAUACCAUAAAGAAAAUGAUAAUGCAAAUGUUUUCUGUAUUUUCUUUUUUCAAUAUUGCAAAGCUGUACGACAUAUAUAUGCAGUUUACAUACAAUCUGAUCCACCAUUCUAGGAGCUAUUCUGGGAUUAUCUUUGAUAAACUGUUAAGGAAUCGAAAUGUCAAAGCAACCGAUCUCUUCACGGCGAAAUGUACUUCACAUAAAAAGCGCACUCCUAAAUAAAUAAAUAAUGUGAAUACACUAAGAAAGGGUGAUUGAAGUAAAGAUGCAACAACUGCUGCAUGCAUUGGUUCUUUUUUUAUAGAUGUAACACCCAAACCUUGCAUCAAAACUAACCAAAAAAAAAAAACGCAAAUUAAGUGACUCGAAAAUAUGCCAUGUAUCGAAUAAAGCUAAUAAUAAAAAUAAAAUCAAAACACAACCAUGAAGGAAAACAGAAGCAGUACGAAAGAGGAAUCCAAUUCUCUGAAUCUGCCACUCUAGCGUUCUUCUCAUGUCAACCUCCACUUCGUAUCUCAUAAGGUAGCGAGAAUGUUUAUUCAAAACUUCACUGCAACAGAGAAACAUACAAAUAUUUUUUUUAUUUAAUGAAUCCGAAAGCGAAAGAAAAGACUAAUAAAAGGAAAUAGCACAGAAAAAAUAGCAUAAACUGUUGCACGUAAAACCUUAAGAUGUCAAAUGCAUAACUUACCUCAUGUUACUAGCUCCGUUGUUUAGUUUCUUCUUGCACCAUUCCUACGAGCAUUCUUCUUCGUUCUUCUUGCCUUCAGAUUCCAUAGAUCUUCAACCACUUUCAGAAACCAUGCUGGUUUUCUUGUUCUGAACACAACGUAUCCCAUUGUGACUCCAAACACAAACCCACUUCCAUACCCUAUUGCCACAGCUUUCCAUCCAAAUCCUUCUUCAAAGAAUUUUGAAUCAUCUCCAUCGUGAAAGUCUGAUGGCUGCAAUGGUGGUGCCUCGUCACUUUUGCAUUCUUUUGGCAUGGGGAAUCCACAUAAGCCCCAGUUUCCUUCAAAUGAGCUUGCAUUGAACGUGCUGAACUGCGUUCCCCCGGGUACGGGCCCCUUAAGGUGGUUAUGUGAAAGGUUUAUGACUGCAAGAAAUGUUAGAUGUGCCAACUGUACUGGAAUCCUUCCGGUAAGCAAAUUCGAAGACAAAUCUAAUGAUUCCAGAUUGGUCAACAUUCCUAAUGAUGAUUGAAUAUGGCCUGUAAGGGAAUUAUGAGAGAGGUUGAGUUGUAGAAGUGCUUUAAGCUUUCCGAUCUCCUUUGGAAUCUCUCCGGUGAAACUGUUGCUUGACAAAUCAAGUAUUCCAAGAGAGCUUUGGAUUUUCGGAAACUCAAUAUCAAACCCUUUCCAUGUCACUUUUAUGGAAUAGGCAUAGUCAGAGUAACUUCUUGCCAUCAUGGAAACUGAAUUUUGAUCAGAGACCAUCAUUGCUUCAAAACUAUUAAAAUACCAUGUUGGCAAUGAUCCACUCAAAUUAUUGUUGGAGAUGUCGAAAAUCCGUAAUUUGGAGAAGGAAUUAUUAGCAAACGAACCAUUCAUAAAACCCUGGAGCUUAUUGGACUUUAGGACAAGAACAUGCAGCUCUGGAAGCAUUUGAAGGAAAUAGGGGAAUGCACCCUCAAUCUUAUUGUUGCCAAGAUCAAGAACUUCCAACGAUGUGCAGUUGAUGAUAGACGAUGGUAUUUUCCCUUCCAAUUCAUUGCCAUUUAGGUUGAGAUAUCCCAAGCUAUUCCCUUUUGAAAAUGGUGAAAAGAUAGUUCCUUGAAGAUUAUUCAUGCCAAGAUUCAAAAUUGAGAGAGAUUUGCUAAAGUUCCCUAAACAUUGUGGUAUAAAACCACUGAAGCUGUUGUUGGACAAAUCAAGGAGUCGAAGGAAUUUAAGCUUGCAAAUAGAAGAAGAAAUUUCACCUGUUAAUUUAUUAUUGGAUGCAAGAGCAAGGACUUCCAGGUUCUCUUGUUUGAAAAUUGAACUUGGGAUUGGACCAUGCAAGUGGUUGUUUCUCAAAUCAAACAAUUUCAAAGAACAUACUGAUUUGAGAAGGGAUAGGUCCUACAAGUUGAUUACUAGAUAAACGUAAAUUUUCAAGGAGAGUCAGGUUACCUAAAAAAUCUGGAAUCCUACCUGAAAAAUUAUUGCCAUCAAGAUAUAAGGAUUGAAGUUGUACAAGGUUUUUAAGUGAUGAUGGAAUCUGACCACUUAAAUUAGUACCUGAGAGUUCUAAACGAGUGAGGUGUGUGAGAUAGCCGAUCAGGGUUAGAUUUGACCUUGUGAUAUUAGAGUUUUUGAGAGCCAAAACUUCCAACGACUUUAGAUUUGUGAAGAAGUCAUUUUCUAAAUAAACUGAAAUUCUAGUAUGAGAAAGACCCAAUAACCGGAGGCUCUUACUCACAUUGGAUGAAGGAAAAGAGCCAGUGAGGUCGUCGUUGUAUGUCAAAUCAAGUUCUUGAAGGUUUGGUAGGAGAAAGAUGUUACCUGGGAACUUCCCUUUCAAUCCACAACCCCAAAGGCCAAGACCUAACAAGGAUGAGGACAGAUUCGCCAAGGAAUUAGGUGUGACCAAAGGCAUAUUUACAUAACCCAAACGGAGACCUCCUAGCUUGGUUAGGUUUUGAAUAAUCUUGUCAAAAGAACUUGGUUCUACAUUCAAAUUGUCAUUGAAAGACAGAUCAAUUGAAACCAACUCAGUGAGUUGGCCAAGAUCAUCUGGAAUUGAACCUGUAAGAUUGCUGUAUCUAAGAUCCAAGUGCUGGAGGUGCUUAAAUUUUCUCACUGAGGAUGGGAAUUUUCCUUGCAAUCCACAUGAAUAGACUGUGAGUGAUGACAAAGAAGAAGACAGAUUCAUCAAGGAAUUGGGUGCAGCCAAUGACAUGUUCACCCAUUUCAGAUAGAGUUUUCUAAGCUGGGUUAGAUUUUGAACAAGCUUGUCAAAAGAAAUUGGUUCUAGACUUAGAUAGUCGUUUUCGUUUCCAGAGAGAGCAAGUGAAACCAACUCAGUGAGUUGCUCAAGAUCAUAUGGAAUUGGACCUCUAAGAUUGUUAUCUGCAAGAUUCAACUGCUGGAGGUGCUUAAACUUUCUCAUUGAGGAUGGGAAUUCUCCUUGCAAUCCACAGGAAAGGAGUUUGAGUGAUGACAAAGAAGAAGACAGAUUCAUCAAGGAAUUGGGUGUAACCAAUGACAUGUCUACUGCACUCAGAUCGAGUUCUCUAAGCUGGGUUAGAUUUCGAGCAAGCUUGGCAAAAGAAAUUGGUUCUAGACUUAGAUAGUCGAUUUCGUUUCCAGAGAGAGCAAGUGAAACCAACUCAGUGAGUUGCCCAAGAUCAUCUGGAAUUGAACCUGUAAGACUGUUUUUUCUAAGAUCCAACUGCUGGAGGUGCUUAAAUUUUCUCAUUGAGGACGGGAAUUCUCCUUGCAAUCCACACGAAUAGAGUAUGAGUGAUGACAAAGAAGAAGACAGAUUCAUCAAGGAAUUGGGUACAACCAAUGACAUGUUUACCCGACUCAGAUCGAGUUCUCUAAGCUGGGUUAGAUUUCGAACAAGCUUGUCAAAAGAAAUUGGUUCUAGACUUGGGUAGUAGUUUCCAGAGAGAUCAAGUGAAACCAAUUUGGAGAGAUGAGAGAUUUCCGACGGAACUUGACCUGCAAAGCCUGAGAAAUUUAGGUUAAGAUGUGUCAGAUUGGAGAACUGGCCAAAUGAAGAAGAAAUAUGAGAGCUUUGGAAAUCAUUGUCAGAGAGGUCGAGGUUUUGAAGAUGAUGCAGGGAGAAGAGAGAAUUAUUGGGAAGGAAGGUUCCGUGAAGCAGCAGUCUGUACCCUCUUUCCACGACUCUGUCUUGGGAUGCUGGCAACGAUAUGAAGCAGAGCUAUUAAUGGAAAAGGACUCUUUGAAUUGGAGCAAAGAAAGGCUUUGGUCAGGAGCACAGAGAUGAGAUGAAGAGGAGUAAUUUGAUGAAGAAAUUGUUGUGUGAAAAUGGAAGAGAAACAGAAUGGAAGAGAGAAAUUGAGAGAGGGACAGUGGUGAAAACCCCAUGUUGGCUGGCCUUACAGGAUUCGAAAGUAUAUUUGGAGUGUUGAGCGAAAGAUGAGAAAUAAAGAUUCGCAUUGGAACUAUUUAUACACAAACCAAUCAAGAUUGUGCUAUUCAAAUUAUUGUAGAUAUUGAAAGCGGACUUUUACAUGAAAAUAAUUAUAAUAAGAAAAAAAAAAAACAGUUUAUUAGCUUACGACGUGGUCUGUCCACUGGGAAACAUGAGUGGCCAUAAACAAAGAAAGGAAAGUUCAGCGUAGUCACGAAGUCCUUUUUCUUGACCCCAAAGUCUUCGUUUCUAGCAAGGGUUGUUUGAUAUUGAGGUUACUGUUAUGGUUAUGGUUUUAAAAAAAUUGUUUUAUAAAAAAUAUUUUUAGUUGAGGUUGGUUUGAAAAAAUAUAUGUUUUGUUAAAAUUGUGGUUGAAAUUGAGGUUGAACAAAAAAUAGUUUAAUGUGUUUGGUAAAAAAAUACUUUUCAAAUUGAGGUUAUAAAAUAAUUAAUAUAUAUAUAUAUAUUAAUGAUUUUUAAUUUAAAUAUUUUAGAUUUAACCACUGUUAUUAUAUUAUAAAAUAAAUAUAAAGAAUCAAAUAUUAUCUUUCAUUAAACUAUAUGCAAUGUCAUUACAAUACAAAUCUAUCAACAAGGACUAUAUUUUUCAUGUUUUAAGCGCGCAACAACAAAAACUGAAUUUUUUAUCAUUAAGUGAUCCUUUAAGUUAAUAAAACACAAUAAAAAAAUAAAAAACUGAAUUUCUUUAUAUGUUAUUAAAUAUAUAAAUAUUAGUUUUUCAAGUAAAACACAUUUUUAAAAAAAAUUUACAAUUUAUUAUGUACAAAAUUCAUUCGACAAAACUACAGAAAAAAAAUUUUUGAGCGUGCAAUAAAUUAAGUAAAAUAUUAUCAUGAAUAAAAUUGAGAUUACAAUACGAGUAAAUUUAAUUCACCUUAAACUAAUGUUUUUUAAAAAUAACAUUGUUCAUGUUCACAUGAAUAAUGCGAGUAAAAUCAAUUAAUUGCAUUAAUAUUUCAAGAAAAAAAAACUUCUUGCAAUGUUUUUUAAAAAAAAAAAAAAAAAAAAACUAUAAUCGUGCGAGUGAAUUAAUUCACUCGCACUGUUGCAACAGUGGAGCCAUGCUCCACUGUUCUGCUUUUGAAUCCUAUGAGAAGCAACAAAUUUUGCUGCUUCUCCAAAACAUGUGGCGCGGCUGAGAAUUUGAUGGGUCCCACCAUCAAAAAGCAGUUUUCUUUUGUUAACCAAACGGCAUUUGGUGUGGCUGCGGGUGAACCUCAAAAUUUGUUACCAAACGGGCACUAAGUGGGUGUUUGGUUUUGUGGUUGCAGGUGAGGUUCACCCGCAACCACAUAUUUUAGUGUUUGGUAAUAGGAAAAAAAAUGAUUUUCACUGGUGGGACCAUCAAUUUUAACGGCUGCGUCACAGGUUCGGAGAAGCAGCAUUUUGCUGCUUCUCAUGCUGAGAAUAACAUCAACAGUGGAGCCAUGCUCCACUGUUCAUUGACACAUUGAACAGUGGAGCCAUGCUCCACUGCGCACUGUUCGCUAAGUGAAUAUUUUUUUUUUAAAAAAAAAAACCAUGAAAAUGAGUUUAAAUUUUUUUUUUGUUUUUUUAAAAAUUAUAAUAACAUACCAUUUAUGAAAUUUGAUCGCAAUUCCAAUUAUGUUAUUACCAAGUCCGGCCCAGUUAAAAAAAAUUCAGUUUUUAUUUUUAUUUUAAUUGUGUUCUAUUUAAAAAAUUAAAAAGAGAUCGUUUGAUGACGUAAUAAAAGAUUCAGUUUUUGUUAUUGUGCGCUUAAGAAACCAUGAAAAAUAUAGUCCUUGUUGGAUAGAUUUCGCAUGUGAUGACAUUGCACAUAGUGUAAUGAAAUAAUAAAAAAUAUUUGAUAUCAAUAUUAUUUAUUUCAUGAUGUAAUAACAGUAGUUAAAUUUACAAUAUUUAAAUUAAAAAUCAUUAAUAUAAAUAUAUAUAUUUUUUAAUUAUUUUAUAACCUCAAUUUGAAAAGCAUUUUUAUUAACCAAACACAUUAAACUACUUUUUUUUUAACCUCAAUUUCAACCAUAAUUUUAACCAAACACCUAUUUUUUCAAACCAACCUCAACUAAAAGUACUUUUUAUAGAACAAUUUUUUUUUAAAUCACAACCACAAAAGCUACUGCAAUACCAAACACAUCCUAAAUGAUUUCCCCGCAAAUUAGUGGUGCUAAUAAUUAAUUUUAUAGAUACUGGAUGUGGAAUUUUACAUGAAAAUAUUUUUAGGGAAAAAGAAUUACGACUGCUUUACAUACUGACUUUAGUUUCCAAAAAGAAAUCGAGGCACAACAUUUUCAAUAGAAAGAAUUGUUUUUUAAUAAUUUACAAACGUAGUUAAUUCACAUCUUAGGUAUGUGGCCAUGCAUGAUUUAAGCACCAAAACGUAGAUAAAGUAUACAAGAAAUUACUGUGUCUAUUAUUGAAUACCCUUUUAAUGUUUUGAACUUAAACUGUGAGAUUAUUGAAUAGAUCAUCCAUUUCUCUUUGGAGUACUAUUAAUGACUAAAAUGCCAUUAAAAUAAUUAGCAUGUUACUACCUGCUCCAUUUUAAUGAUUUGAUUUGAAGUGGUAGUCCUAAAAGACGUUUCCAUAAUUCAAGUGCAAGCUAUUUAAUUUAUUUAUUUUAUUGUUGCUAGCGAACUCUUCUUUGUUUCUUUUUCAUGAGUUGCCUAUAGAGCAAACGGUUUUUUAUUGUAUAAUCUACGUUCACAAAUGAAGUGGCUCCAUGAUUUUUGUUGAGAGUAGAUAAUAUCCCUACAUUUACAUUUGCAGCAAGUUUUUGUGCCAGUCUUCGGUGCUGAAUAUGGAAUUGAAGAUUGAAUUAUUCAAUUAUAAAUAUUUCUGUACAAGUAGGUCCCUUAGUUGACUAAACAAUAGUGUUGGAAACACGGCAAUAUUAAUUUUUAUAAUUGAUAUUUUUUGUGGAAAUUAUUUCUUAAUAUUCAUAUAUAUAAUUCAUUAACAAUUUUGGGUAAAGAGACGUAAGGAUGAUAUCCCUUCAUAUUUACAUCUGCAGAAAGUGUAUGUGCUAAUAGAUACAGUUUGUGCUGUAAUUAGAAAUUUUUUUGUAGCUCGUCUGAUGGUCUGUCCUUUUCCUCCUUGACCUAACUUGGAAAUAAUGUCCAACAAUUACGUGUGGAAAUGAUGGAAUUGAAUGUUGAAUUAUUCAAUUGCAAAUAUUUCCAUACCAGUAGGUCCCUUAAUAUUUCCGUACCUCCUUGACUAUAAUGUGAAUCUCAGAAGCAGGCAUUGUCCCACCUCUGGACUUCGAGCAAAAGCUCUUGAAAAAAUUGGGAAUUGUAUAUGACUUAUUCCCUGGGAAACAUAAGUGGCCGUAAACAAAGAAUGGAAUGUACAGCGGAGUCACGGAACUAAACUACCAAAGUCUUUUAGGGGAAAUCACUUACGACUUGGUCUGUCCUUUUACUUGACCCCAAAGUCUUUGUUUCUGGUAAAUAAUUUUCCCGCAAAUUAAUUAAUCUUAUAGAUAUUGGAGGUGGGAUUUUACAUGAAAAUAUUAUUAGGGAAAAAAAUUGUGACUGCUUAAUGUGAAUGUUCAGAGAAGUUUUUCUAAAGUGUAUUUAGGAAUGGAAUUUAUGUGAAGCUUGCUUUACAUACUGAAUUUAAUUUCCCAAAAAAAAAAAAAAUCCGACCACAAAAUUUUUCAAUAAUUUACAAACGUAGUUAAUUCACAUCUUAGGUAUGUGGCCAUGCUUGAUUUAAGCACCAAAACGUAGAUAAAGUAUACAAGAAAUUACUGUGUCUAUUAUUGAAUAGAUCAUCCAUUUCUCUUUAGAGUAAUAUUAAUGCAUAUAAAUCUCAUAAUAUUCUUUAUAUUUAUGUUAGCUGUAUAGCAUCUCAAGGGCUUUUUUCUAUUUGAAGGUUUUAUUAUUAUUGCAUUCUACCUCAAAAUCAAUAAAACUUUGAUUAUUAUAUAUAUAUAUAUAUAUAAAAUCAUAUUAAAUCAUUAUUGUUCACAACUUUGUGUACCCAUCGAGCAAAUCGGAUGUGUCCAAUUGGAGAGAUAAAAUUAUGGAAGGAAAAAUAUUGGAAACCAAAUAUAGAAGAUAAAAAACUGAUCCUUUAGUCAAAUAAAAUACGUUCUAGCAAAUUCCUCAAGUGAUUUUAAAUCUAAGAGCAACCUAUUUAAUUAGAAUAUUUCAUUUAUAUUUUUUAGUAGAGAUUCCUAAUGACAUUUUUUCUUGAACAAGUGAUUUCUCGGCACUCCUCAAAUAAUUUCUAGCCUGACAGACAAACAAACAAAUAAAUCACUUAAAAUUCUCAAACAAUUAUAUAUAUAUCACAGUUAAUUACUUUUUGACAUUUUUUAUCACAUUUUAUUUAUUUAUUUAUUUAUUUUAUAAGUUGGUGAUUAUUUUUUAUAGAAUGUUUACGCACAUAUUGAAUAGAUAUGAACGUCAAUUACCUCACAAAGGGUGUAAGCAAAGGGGAAAAAAAAGAACAAAAAAAGAGGAAAAGUAAAUACUUGAGAUAUAUAAAAUAUGACUAAAAUGACUAAAAUGAGAAACCCUAUGUCAAACUAUCGCUUUAUAUUAUUUUAAAUGACUAAAAUGCCAUUAUAAUAAUUAGCAUGUUACUACAUUUUAAAUGAGUUUAUGAUUUGAAUUGGUAGUCCUAAAAGUUCUUUCUUUUUUCAAGUCUGUCCCUUUCAUUGACCUUCAAGUCUCCGCAACUAAUUAAAAUAUAGUGUCAAACAAGUGGCGCAAAACAUGGGGCUGAAGGUUUAAUUAUUGAAAACUUCAAUAUUUCCAAGUGUUGGAAACACCGCAAUAUAUAUUAGUUUGCAGGAUAAUUUUUGUAAUAUUGGGCUUUUGUUGCGGAGUAAUUGAUUAAUUCAAGUGUUUUUUAUUUAAGAAUAUAUUAAAAUAAUAUUUUUUAUUUUUUAAUAAUUAUUUUUAAAAUCAGUAUAUUAAAAUGUUACUACAUUUUAAAUGAGUUUAUGAUUUGAAUCGGUAGUCCUAAAAGUUCUUUCUUUUUUCAAGUGUGUCCCUUUCAUUGACCUUCAAGUCCCCGCAACUAAUUAAAAUAUAGUGUCAAACAAGUGGCGCAAAACAUGGGGCUGAAGGUUUAAUUAUUGAAAACUUCAAUAUUUCCAUACAAGUGUUGGAAACACGGCAAUAUAUAUUAGUUUCCAGGAUAAUUUUUGUAAUAUUGGGCUUUUGUUGCGGAGUAAUUGACUGUUUGAGAUUACUGAUAGUAGUUAUGAAUUAAAGUGUUUUUUAUUUAAAAAUAUAUUAAAAUAAUAUUUUUUAUUUUUUAAUAAUUAUUUUUAAGAUCAGCACAUUAAAAUGAUUUAAAAAAUAAUUUUUAGAGAAUUUUAUUUUUGAAAUUUAAGGGAAUGCGGUUUCAAUCGCGUUCCCAAACGAUAAAUGUUUGGAAAUAUAGUUGUGGUUACUUUUCAAAGUGUUUUUCACUUGAAAAUGUAUCAAAAUAAUAUUUUUUUUUUAAAAUAUUAUUUUUGAUAUUAGUGCAUCAAAAUGAUCUUAAAAAAAAAAAAAUUUCUUUUUCAAAAACACUUUUAAAAUACAAAAACAAACAAAACCUCUAAAUCAUAUACAUAAUAAGAAUAUGCAAUGAGUUUUUUUUCUUAAUGAAAUACGAGAGAUUUAUUCGAUCACUAUUAUAGCCAUUAAAAACAUAGCUUAAUAGAUAGAAAGAAGAGCACUGAAAAACUCAGAAGAGUGAGAAAACUUACUAGCACAACUAAAUCCACAACUAAGUCAUUUUCUCUAAGAACUCUUGCUUGACUAAAUGAUCUGCAACAAUAUUAUUUCUUGUAUAUAAUUUUUCAAAAAAAAAAAAUGAACACACAAGAUUCUCAAAAGGAUGAAUUUUCUUUAGUAAUUUACACGUAUAGUUAAUUCACAGCUUAGGCAAAUGGCAAGAUUCCUCGAUUAAAUAAUAUUUUAUUUCAUUAAUAAAUUUUCAUCAUACCAAGGGAAUUAAUUUGUAGAUGUUUAAUUGUAUUGUAAUUUUUCGACUUCAAAGAUUUUGAGAAUACUCCAAUUGCAUAACUUGGAAAUUCUAGGGUUCUAUCGUGGAAAUGGAGGAUUACAAAAAAGGUUUUAGGGAUGAGCUUUUUGCACCAAAGGCUGCACCUUCCAGCUAUAAAGAUGGAUUUCCAAGGUUUGAUAACAGCCAUUUAAAUAGCUUUUAGACCGACAAUUACAUGAAAGGAAAAAUUAGAAUUUCAAAACUGGUGGGAUAAGUAAUAUAAAAUCUAAAAUUACGUUAAAAAUUCAAAAUUCUACGCCUGAUUUGAAGUCCUUACCGAAGAAGUGGGCGAAGCCAGCGCUCCUAAAUAAAUUUGAGCGUGUUUUAACUGUCAUAUAAAAAGUUACAGUUUAUUUAUUUUUAUAACUAUAGGUAUUCGAGCUGGUUUGUCCAUACCUCAACUAAUUUCACGGGUUUUGAAGUUAAUAAACAUAUAAGUCUCUAGUAGUCCUAAGAUUUGUAAGAUUUGAACUGGUGAUCUCUAAAGAGCAAACUUAAAACUUGACCAAUUAAAUUACACCCUUCAAAAUUAAUUAUAGUCUAUUUUAUUAUACAGGUCAUUUAGCGCGAUGAGAUCACUUAUUGAGUUUAAAUUAAUUUGUCUAUAUGAUCCAAUAAAAUAUUUGCUAGGUUAUUUAUAUUGUCCAACUGAGAUAGAUUUGUAUCCAAUUGAUCACAUCCUCCUGCAUCAAAGAUUAUUACAUGGCUAAUAAUCAAUAAUGUACAAUCUCUCAAACUAUAUCGUGCAAUUAUUGAGGUAUCCAUAGACAUCUUAAUUUAAUUAAAUCGAAGUAUGAGGAAAUAAAGUUGUUAUGGUUGUCUCUCAUGGAAUUAAAAAGCUAAUCCUAAAAGGUGUAAUUUAACUAGUUAGAUUCUAAAUUUUUUUUUUAGGUCACCAGUUAAUUCAAGUUCUACAAAACUUAUGGCCACUAAAAACAUAAAUAAUCGUUAAUUUUAGGGUCCAUAAAAUUAAUUGAAAUACAUACAAAUUAACCCGGACACCAAAGUUAAUAAUAAUAAUAAUAAAAAAAAGCUUGUACAUAAGUUUUCACUCUGUUCCUGGUUUAUUAAAUCUCUUGUCAUGACCUAUUUCAUUGGUGGCUCGCCCCAUGCAAUUAAUAUUCAUGUGGAUUAUCCAAAGUAGCAUUUGAAUUCUGUAAAUUAACUUCCUUUUUGUUCAAUUUCCUAUGUCUUUAAAAUUUUGUUAUGGACAUAAGCCUAAUUAAGUAGACAACAUUGUAGUUUCGAUAUGCCAUAAUUUUUAUCUGAAUGUCCGAUUGAGGCUUGUGAAAACAAUGUAAAAAAAGAGAGAGAAGGGAAUUGAACUAGUUUGAAGAGUUUGAUUUAUGUAAUUCAUAAUCAAAAUCUGGAAUUAGCUAGAUUUGAAGCAAAGUGUGCUACGUACAAUGGCUAAUUUUAUCCUGAAAAUUCCCAUUUUGACCUGUGAGGCUAAGGCAAAUGAAACAGUUGCUAAUAAACAUUUCAUCCAUAGUUUUGAAACCCAGCCCAACACGGUAGGUCAACCCGUGAUCCGGAUGAUCCAGGGCUGUAAUAGGACCGGGUUGAAGAAAAAACAAAAGAAAAAAAAAUCUGGUGUAACCUGGUGGGCUGGUCAAGACCCGGCCUUAAACUCGUUGACUUUUAUUUUAUUUUUAUUUUUGUUUUAUUAAAACGACGUUGUUUUGAUUUUAAAAAAAAUGCCUUGGAUCGGGCCGGCCACCAAGCCGGGUCUUAAAAAUAUGAUUUCAUCUAACAUAUACACAUAAUUAAAGCAAAACAUUCAUGACUCUUUGGCAGAAUGUCGAUAGUUACUGGCCUUAGAGAGCAUAUUGUUAGAACCACUUAGGUGGAGAUUAGUGGUUCGGUCUAUGCCAUUAAGGUUACAGAAAAACCAUGCUUAGAGGUUAAUUCAAGUAGGGUUGAUAAAAAGAAGGUUGUGGAAAAUUGGGCUGGGAAGUUGAAUCCUUCCAACUUUGAUACUUUAGAAUCCUCCCAACAUGAUUCUCUCAAAUCAUCAUAUGCUGCUGCUGAGUAAUUUUGUUCUGAGGAGCCAAUGGAAGCUGGAAUACAUGGAGCAAAAAUUGAUGACACGAAUGAGACUGCUGUAUGUAGCCAUGGUAUGGAUAGGGAAUUCUCUUUUUGUGAUCCUGGGUGAACAUGUACUGCCUGAAAGAAUUAACAAGAAGGGUACUUUGAAUGUUGAUUUGCUUUCUCCAGAGAAGGGUUCUUUGAGGAAAUCUGUUGCUGAGGAGACAGAAACAACCGAUACCGACCCGAUAAAUGCAACGCUGCACUAACAAGCUUCCCUGCUACCAUAGCUGCUAUAAAAAGCAAUGGAGUCCAAAUUGUUGAAAAGCAGUCAGAGGAAAAUUUAAAUAUUGAUGGUGGGCUUAUCUCUAAUGCUUAUAUGGAUGAGUGGAGGAAUGGAUCACAGUGUAUUGGGCUAGAGGAAAACACACUCUCAAUAGUUCCAGUUAACACACAUGAGCCUCUGUUAACUACUUACUAUAAGGCUUCGGACCAACAACUGAUCUCAUUCAUGCUUAAAUGGCCCGGUGAAAUAUAAUAAAAACAAGAUGUUUGAGGUCUUCAUCACACCUAUAGCAGAACCAGAGGAGGUAGCUGAACUAGAGAAGGAAAAGAAGAGAAGUUCGAACAAAAGAAAGAAGAAACUUUCCUUAAAAUCAGCAACUCGUAAGGGGAGAACAUCAAGAAGUAGAAAAGAGAAGUCUGCUAACCUGGAAGAGUGAACUUUAGCAAUUAGAUCGACAAGGGGAAUCAAGAAAUGGAUUCCAGAUGGCAGCGUCUUCAAGUACUUUCCAAAUCUCUGUACGACAAACGCUUUCUUCUCCGGCACAAUCCGUACCCCCCAAUUCACAGGUGGCGUAAUCUCAUAACUAAUUAAUUAUAAUAAAUUAAUAAAAAAAAAUGGAAGAAAGACAGGGAGGGAAUGGGGAAUGAAUGUACCUGGUGAAGGGGUCGCGGCCGGUGCUGAGGAGGCGGACGGAGAUGGUGGAGGAGAGAGGAGAGGAAAGGCGGUUGUUUUGGGCUAAGUGAAAAGAAGGGGGUUUAAAUAAGGGAGAAUUGGAGGAGGGAGCGAGGAGGGUUCUGCCUCUGGAAGCGGUGGAAGCCGAUAAGGAGGAGAGGUGGUGGGAGGUUCUUACGGCGUUGUUGAGUAAUAAAUGACUCCUCCUCCUCCACAUUUUUCCGUCUCUCUUUGUUGUUGCUGUUGAAAAACCCUUGGCCUCCUUAAUUAUCGAACCCUCCCUCACUCUCACACUCUUCACUCUGAUCUGCUCUGCUGACCCUCUCCCCAAGUCACCCUCUCUCUUUUGUUCCCCCUCUGCCCACUCAAAUAAUUUAUUUUCCGAAGUUGUAAUUGACAGUGUGUGGUGGGUGGGUUUUGUUUUAGGCCCGACGUUUUAUAAUGGGCCUGUCUUUUUUUUCUUUUAGAGUUUUUGUUAAAGAAUUGAGAAAAUCGAGACUAAUAAUCUCUGAACAUGAAGAACAAUGAGAGAACGGCAUGAUUUUUAUAAUUUUAAUUUUAAUUUCUUAAGUUAGAGAGCUUAGAUUUAUAUAAAAGUGAGGUUUUACAAUUCAUGAAUAAUAAGACAAUUUAAUCAUAUUUAAUCAGAAAAACAAUAGGAUUAGAGGAUAAAAAGUAAUCCAAAUUACUUUGAUUGUUCGAACAAAUUCGGGUAGUAAAUUUCUUAAAGUUUCGGAGAAGAGGUAAUUCAGAGAGAAUUACCUCACAUUUAUUUGAGAUAAUUCAUUUAAAAUUCAAAAAUUUAAAUCAUCCAAAUUAUAAUUCUAAUUUAUUUGUAAGGUUUUAGAAAUAAUGAGAUUGAAAUUUUUCUUAGUAAAAAAUUUCUUGAGCCUAGUUUUAUUAAUCCAUAUUUUAAUGAAUUUCUUAUAAAAACUUAAUGGGGAAAUGGUAACAAUAGUAUUAAUUUUGGAUUACCUGAUUUUUUCAAAAUAGGGUUUAUACAUACUGCUAUAAAUUGAUAAUAAUAUUUGCAUCUCAGAAACAUAGAAACAUUUGAUCGUAAAUCUUCUGUUACUUUUGUGUUGCAUUAAUUACUGCUUGGAUCGACACGAAGGUAAAGAGCUAAGCAAGUUAGCUAGUAAUUUAACCGAUAAUAAUUAAGUAUUAAAGUGUUAAUCAAGAAAAAAAACAUUUCUAGUUUGAAUCUUAUCACUUGGAUUUCCCAACCCAACUUACAUAUAAGUAUGUGAUUGAUUAAAACUCUCGAGUUGAUAAAUUUUUGACCGUGAUUUAGCUCUCGAAAGUGAUCACUCACCCGUAGGCUAUGUCAGGAGUGAGUGCUUGCUAUGGAUAUAAGAAGAAGAAAAAAAAAAACGAAGGUAUGGAGCUCUACGUAUCCUUGUUAUUAGUAAAGGUUAUAUUCAUGUGGAAAAGUGGUUAUCUCUUACAUGAACUUUGGUGCUCCCUUCAAAAGACUGAAGAAUUUGAAAGUAGAAUGCAAAUGUGAUUCAUAUGUGCUACCGGCGAAUAUCUCAACCUUCUUACGUGAUGCUGAAUACAUAAAAAUGGGAGAACGAAGCGAAGAAGGAAUCGUAGGUAAGUACAUUUUCAUAAUUUUAUUUCUAUUUGCAGUCUGAAUCUUAAUUGAUUUUCGUUGAUUGUUAAUAUUCUCAAUCAAUUUCAUUGCUUAAUCUCGUUUGCCGUAUUCAUGCUUAUCCAAUAACAAUCGAAACCAGUAAACGUCCAUGAAUGUUCUAAAUCACUGUAGCAAUCUGGAAGCAGAAAAAUUCUUGAUAUGAAUUAUUCAUAAACAUGCAUGUUCUAAAUAAGGCUUUUGAAUCCUACGCUGUUAUCUCAUUGCAAUCCAAGUCCAUGGUUACGAGUGAAAUGCUCUGUUUCUGGCACCGGCCUCGUCGCUUCAUCGUUGCUACCCGUUUAAUACUGUAAGUGCUGUGAUAUGCCUCACCAUUUCUUGUAGGUGCGAGGUUGAUGUUCGACAGCUGCAUCAUUACGAGGAAUGAGUCGGUCUCGUUUGCAAGACUUGAAGAGAACAAGAAAGCUGACAGAGGGAGUUUGAAGAACAGCAAGGCAGUCUUAUUAUUCUGUGUGAUUUCUACUGUGCAUAUACAUAGUUUAUAUAGAAAAGAUCUUGUCUAAUAAGUAAACUGACAGACUAGCAACUAAUCUUUAGGAUUUAAUUACAAAAACUACAAUCAAACUAAAUCUCUAAGAAAUGAUUUACAAAUCAAGCUUUAAUUGUUUUGAUUCCGAAUCCUAACAAGACUAGCCACCAAAUUACAUCCAAAUUACAUAUUUGGUUUUUUUUUUUUUCCAGUUGCAAUUUGCGGCGGCAUCGCAUUUCCAGAAGCUAAGCUUUAACAAGGUUGCUUAUUCACAUUACUAUUUUGCAUGCAUAAAUCUAUGCUAGAAAUAUUUGGAACUAAUUACUUUGCCAACGCUUCUGUUUGCAUGAUAACACUACCCAAAAGUAGGCAAGGAACAGAGCAUUAGAGUUGGUUGUGAAACGAGGACAGCGCCUGGUUGAUCCGAGUGAUGGAGAAAAAGUGGAUGAUUGGAGUUCUCCCAUGGUUCUGAGGUCUUGAAAGAGUUCGACAGCGCCUGUUUUAUUCAAGAAGCUUUUGGUCUUCGUCACCAGGCAUGAGGUAUUUUAGUUGUAUGGAUUCCUAGCUUCUCAGAACUGGAGCUCUGAUACCAUAAAGAAAAUGAUAAUGCAAAUGUUUUCUGUAUUUUCUUUUUUCAAUAUUGCAAAGCUGUACGACAAAUAUAUGCAGUUUACAUACAAUCUGAUCCACCAUUCUAGGAGCUAUUCUAGGAUUAACUUUGAUAAACUGUUAAAGAAUCGAAAUGUCAAAGCAACCAAUCUCUUCACGGCGAAAUGUACUUCACAUAAAAAGCGCACUCCUAAAUAAAUAAAUAAUGUGAAUACCCUAAGAAAGGGUGAUUGAAGUAAAGAUGCAACAACUGCUGCAUGCAUUGGUUCUUUUUUUAUAGAUGUAACACCCAAACCUUGCAUCAAAGUUAACCAAAAAAAAAACACGCAAAUUAAGUGACUCGAAAAUAUUCCAUGUAUCGAAUAAAGCUAAUAAUAAAAAUAAAAUUAAAACACAACCAUGAAGGAAAACAGAAGCAGUACGAAAGAGGAAUCCAAUUCUCUGAAUCUGCCACUCUAGCGUUCUUCUCAUGUCAACCUCCACUUGGCAUCUCAUAAGGUAGCGAGAAUGUUUAUUCCAAACUUCACUGCAAUAGAGAAACAUACAAAUAAUUUUUUUUAUUUAAUGAAUCCGAAAGCGAAAGAAAAGACUAAUAAAAGGAAAUAGCACAGAAAAAAUAGCAUAAACUGUUGCACGUAAAACCUUAAGAUGUCAAAUGUUUGCAUAACUUACCUCAUGUUACUAGCUCCGUUGUUUAGUUUCUUCUUGCACCAUUCCUACGAGCAUUCUUCUUCGUUCUUCUUGCCUUCAGAUUCCAUAGAUCUUCAACCACUUUCAGAAACCAUGCUGGUUUUCUUGUUCUGAACACAACGUAUCCCAUUGUGACUCCAAACACAAACCCACUUCCAUACCCUAUUGCCACAGCUUUCCAUCCAAAUCCUUCUUCAAAGAAUUUUGAAUCAUCUCCAUCGUGAAAGUCUGAUGGCUGCAAUGGUGGUGCCUCGUCACUAGUGCAUUCUUUUGGGAUGGGGAAUCCACAUAGGCCCCGGUUUCCUUCAAAUGAGCUUGCAUUGAACGUGCUGAACUGCGUUCCCCCGGGUACGGGCCCCUCAAGCUGGUUAUGUGAAAGGUUUAUGACUGCAAGAAAUGUUAGAUGUGCCAACUGUACUGGAAUCCUUCCGGUAAGCAAAUUCGAAGACAAAUCUAAUGAUUCCAGAUUGGUCAACAUUCCUAAUGAUGAUGGAAUAUGGCCUGUAAGGGAAUUAUGAGAGAGGUUGAGUUGUUGAAGUUCUUUAAGCUUUCCGAUCAUCUUUGGAAUUUCUCCGAUGAAACUGUUGUUUGACAAAUCAAGUAUUCUAAGAGUGCUUUGGAUUUUCUCGAACUCAUACUCAACCCCUUUCCAUGUCACUUUCAUGGAAUAGUCCAUCAUGUAAAAUGAAUUUUGAUCAGAGGCCAUCAUUGCUUCAAACAUAUUGAAAUACCCUAUUGGUAAAGGUCCCCUCAAAUUAUUGUUGGAGAUGUCAAAGAUUUGCAAUUUGGAGAAGGAAUUAUUAGCAGUCGGAUCAUUCACAAAACCAUGGAGCUUAUUGGACUUUAGGACAAGGAUAUACAGCUCUGGAAGCGUUUCUAGAAAAUAGGGAAAUCUGUCCUCAAUUUUAUUGUCACUAAGAUCAAGAACUUGUAGCAUUGUGCAGUUGAUGAUAGACGAUGGUAUUUUCCCUUCCAAUUCAUUGCCAUUUAGCUUGAGAUAUACCAGGUUAUUCCCUUUUGAAAAUGGUGAAAAGAUAGUGCCUUGAAGAUUAUUCAUGCCAAGAUUUAAAAGUGAGAGAGAGUUGCUAAAGUUCCCUAAACAUUGUGGUAUAAAACCAUUGAAGCUGUUGUUGGACAAAUCAAGGACUCGAAGGAAUUUAAGCUUGCAAAUAGAAGAAGAAAUUUCACCUGUCAAUUUACUGUUGGAUGCAAGAACAAGGGCUUCCAGGUUCUCUUGUUUGAAAAUUGAACUUGGGAUUGGACCUUGCAAGUGGUUGUUUCUUAAAUCAAACAAUUUCAAUGAACGAGUACUGAUUUGAGAAGGGAUAGGUCCUACAAGUUGAUUACCAGAUAAACCUAAAUUUUCAAGGAGGUCAUGUUACCUAAAAAAUCUGGAAUCCUACCUGACAAAUUAUUGCCAUCGAGAUAUAAGGAUUGAAGUUGCACAAGGUUUUUAAGUGAUGAUGGAAUCUCACCACUCAAAUUGUUAUUGGCAAGGUCUAACCGAGUCAGCUGUGUGAGAUAACCAAUCAGGGUUAGAUUUGACCUUGUGAUAUUACAGUCUCUGAGAACCAAAUCUUCCAGCAACUUUAGAUUAUUGAAGAAGUCAUUUCCUAAAUAAACUGAAAUUCUCGUACGAGUGAGACCCAAUAACCAGAGGACAUUACUCACAUUGGAUGAAGGAAAAGAGCCAGUGAGGUUGUCGUUGUAUGUCAAAUCAAGCACUUCAAGGUUUGGUAGGAGAAAGAUGUUAUCUGGGAACCUCCCUUGCAAUCCACAACCCCAAAGAGCAAGAGCUGACAAAGAUGAUGACAGAUUCGCCAAGGAAUUAGGUAUGACCAAAUCCAUAUUUACAUAACCCAAACGGAUACCUCUUAGCUUGGUUAGGUUUUGAAUAGUCUUGUCAAAAGAACUUGGUUCUACACUCAAAUAAGCAUUGAAAGAGAGAUCAAUUGAGACCAACUCAGUGAGUUGCCCAAGAUCAUCUGGAAUUGAACCUGUAAGAUUGUUUUUUCUAAGAUCUAACUUCUGGAGGUGCUUAAACUUUCUCAACGAGGAUGGGAAUUUUCCUUGCAAUCCACAGGAAUAGAGUACAAGUGAUGACAAAGAAGAAGACAGAUUCAUCAAGGAAUUGGGUACAACCAAUGACAUGUUCACCCACCACAGAUGGAGUUCUCUAAGCUGGGUUAGAUUUUGAACAAGCUUGUCAAAAGAAAUUGGUUCUAGACUUAGAUAGUCGUUUUCGUUUCCAGAGAGAGCAAGUGAAACCAACUCAGUGAGUUGCUCAAGAUCAUAUGGAAUUGAACCUGUAAGAUUGUUAUCUGCAAGAUCCAACUGCUGGAGGUGCUUAAAUUUUCUCAUUGAGGAUGGGAAUUUUCCUUGCAAUCCACAUGAAUGGAGUACAAGUGAUGACAAAGAAGAAGAUAGAUUCAUCAAGGAAUUGGGUUCAACCAAUGACAUAUUCACCCACCUCAGAUAGAGUUCUCUAAGCUGGGUUAGAUUUUGAACAAGCUUGUCAAAAGAAAUUGGUUCUAGACUUAGAUAGUCGUUUUCGUUUCCAGAGAGAGCAAGUGAAACCAACUCAGUGAGUUGCCAAGAUCAUCUGGAAUUGACCUGUAAGAUUGUUAUCUGCAAGAUCCAACUGCUGGAGGUGCUUAAACUUUCUCAUUGAGGACGGGAAUUCUCCUUGCAAUCCACAGGAAAGAGUUUGAGUGAUGACAAAGAAGAAGACAGAUUCAUCAAGGAAUUGGGUUAACCAAUGACAUGUCUACUGCACUCAGAUCGAGUUCUCUAAGCUGGGUUAGAUUUCGAGCAAGCUUGGCAAAAGAAAUUGGUUCUAGACUUAGAUAGUCUUUUAAGCCCCCAGAGAGAUCAAGUGAAACCAAUUUGGAGAGCUGAGAGAUUUCCGACGGAACUUGACCUGCAAAGACUGAGUAAUUUAGGUUAAGAUGUGUCAGGUUGGAGAGCUGACCAAAUAGAGAAGAAAUAUGGGAGCUUUGGAAAUCAUUGUCAGAGAGGUCGAGGUUUUGAAGAUGAUGCAGGGAGAAGAGGGUGCUAUUGGAAUGGAGGGUGCCAUAAAGCAUGCUGCAAGCAAGGUCCAGUCCAGUGACAUGCCCUGUUUUCAUGUCACAGGUGAUGCCAUCCCACAAGCAGCAGUCUGUACCCUCUUUCCACGACUCUGUCUUGGGAUGCUGGCAACGCCCUGAAGCAGAGCUACUAAUGGAAAAGGACUCUUUGAAUUGGAGCAAAGAAAGGCUUUGGUCAGGAGCACAGAAAUGAGAUGAAGAGGAGUAAUUUGAUGAAGAAAUUGUUGUGUGAAAAUGGAAGAGAAACAGAAUGGAAGAGAGAAAUUGAGAGAGGGACAGUGGUGAAAACCCCAUGGUGGCUGGGCUUACAGGAUUCGAAAGUAUAUUUGGAGUGUUGAGCGAAAGAUGAGAAAUAAAGAUUCGCAUUGGUACUAUUUAUACACAAACCAAUCUACGUUCACAAAUGAAGUGGCUUUAUGAUUUUUGUUGAGAGUAGAUAAUAUCCCUGCAUUUACAUUUGCAGCAAUUUUCAUUUGGUCCUGAAUAUGGAAUUGAAGGUUGAGUUAUUCAAUUGCAAAUAUUUCCGUACAAGUAGGUCCCUUUGUUGACUAAACAAUAGUGUUGGAAACACGGCAAUAUUAAUUUUUAUAAUUGAUAUUUUUUGUGGAAAUUAUUUUUUACUAUUCAUAUAUAUAUAGUUCAUUAACUAAUGAAGUAUUGAUCUAGCGAUUAAGAAGGUACCGCUAGGGGCAAGGGUGAGAACACAAGUUCGUUUUUCAAGGAGCAUAUUUGUUGGGAGGGACAACUAUAAAUCCCGAACGGGACUAAUCUCAUCCUUUUGCAUGAGUUGUCUAUAGAGGAAACGAUUUAUUAUUUUAUAAUUUACUGGCUCCAUGAUUUUUGUUGAGAGUAGAUAGUAUCCCUACAUUUACAUUUGCAACAAGUUUAUGUGCCAAUCUUCAUUUGGUGCUGAAUAUGGAAUUGAAGGUUGAAUUAUUCAAUUGCAAAUAUUUCUAUACAAGUAGGUCCCUUAGUUGACUAAACAAUAGUGUUGGGAACACGACAAUAUUAAUUUUCAUAAUUGAUAUUUUUUGUGGAAAUUAUUUUUUACUAUUCAUAUAAAUAGUUCAUUAACUAAUGAAGUAUUGGUCUAGCGAUUAAGGCACCGCUAGGGGCAAGGGUGAGAACACAAGUUCGUUUUUUAGGGAGCACAUUUGUUGGGAGGGACAACUAUAAAUCCCAAACGGGACUAAUCUCACCCUUUUGCAUGAGUUGUCUAUAAAGGAAACGAUUUAUUAUUUUAUAAUUUACUGGCUCCAUGAUUUUUGUUGAGAGUAGAUAAUAUCCCUACAUUUACAUUUGCAACAAGUUUAUGUGCCAAUCUUCAUUUGGUGCUGAAUAUGGAAUUGAAGGUUGAAUUAUUCAAUUGCAAAUAUUUCUAUACAAGUAGGUCCCUUAGUUGACUAAACAAUAGUGUUGGAAACACGGCAAUAUUAAUUUUCAUAAUUGAUAUUUUUUGUGGAAAUUAUUUUUUACUAUUCAUAUAAAUAGUUCAUUAACUAAUGAAGUAUUGGUCUAGCGAUUAAGGCACCGCUAGGGGCAAGGGUGAGAACACAAGUUCGUUUUUCAGGGAGCACAUUUGUUGGGAGGGACAACUAUAAAUCCCAAACGGGACUAAUCUCACCCUUUUGCAUGAGUUGUCUAUAAAGGAAACGAUUUAUUAUUUUAUAAUUUACUGGCUCCAUGAUUUUUGUUGACAGUAGAUAAUAUCCCUACAUUUACAUUUGCAACAAGUUUAUGUGUCAAUCUUCAUUUGGUGUUGAAUAUGGAAUUGAAGGUUGAAUUAUUCAAUUGCAAAUAUUUCUAUACAAGUAGGUCCCUUAGUUGACUAAACAAUAGUGUUGGAAACACGGCAAUAUUAAUUUUCAUAAUUGAUAUUUUUUGUGGAAAUUAUUUUUUACUAUUCAUAUAUAUAGUUCAUUAACUAAUGAAGUAUUGAUCUAGCGAUUAAGGCACUGCUAGGAGUAAAGGUGAGAACACAAGUUCGUUCUUUAGGGAGCACAUUUAUUGGGAGGGACAACUAUAAAUACCGAACAGGACUAAUCUCACCCUUUUGCAUGAGUUGUCUAUAGAGGAGACGAUUUCUUAUUUUAUAAUUUACUGGCUCCAUGAUUUUUGUUGAGAGUAGAUAAUAUCCCUACAUUUACAUUUGCAGCAAGUUUAUGUGUCAAUCUUCAUUUGGUGCUGAAUAUGGAAUUGAAGGUUGAAUUAUUCAAUUGCAAAUAUUUCUAUACAUGUAGGUCCCUUAGUUGACUAAACAAUAGUGUUGGAAACACGGCAAUAUUAAUUUCCAUAAUUGACAUCGGCAAUAUUAAUUUUCAUAAUUGAUAUUUUUUGGAAAUUAAUUAUUUCUUACUAUUUAUAUAUAUAGUUCAUUAACAAUUUUAGGUAAAGAUACGUAAAGAUGAUAUCCCUUCAUAUUUACAUAUGCAGAAAGUGUAUGUGCUAAUAGAUACAGUUAAUUUGUGCUGUAAUUAUAAAUUUUUUUUGUAGCUCGUCUGAUGGUCUGUCCUUUUCCUCGUUGACCUAACUUGGAAAUAAUGUCCAACAAUUACGUGUGGAAAUGUUGGAAUUGAAUGUUGAAUUAUUCAAUUGCAAAUAUUUCCAUACCAGUAGGUCCCUUAAUAUUUCCGUACCUCCUUGACCGUACAAUAGCGUUGGAAACACGGCAAUAUUAAUUUUCAUAAUUGACAUUUUAUAUGCAAAUUUCUGAAUAUUCACAGUUCAUUUAUGAUUUUAGGUAAAGAUAUAUCUAAACCCUGAAGUUAAAAGCCUCUAAUAAUCUUGAAUUGGGUUUGUGACACUUUAACUAGUAAUUUAUAUAAAAAAAAUUAAAAACUUAAUUAAUUACACUACAUCUCCUAGAAUUUACAUUUACAUUUGCAGGAAGUGCAUAAUUAAUAGAUACAGUUUGUGAUCUCAUUGCAACUUUAUUUUGGAGCUCGUCUGAUGGUAACUGUUCUUGGGACAUCUACCGCUCUAUGCCUAGGUGGCUUCUAAUUUUAAUACUAAUUAAAUCUUCUGCAAAAUGCUGUGAAAUUAUUAUUGUGAUUAUUAACAAGAACAAGGAACUGCUUACUUGAAGGGUUAAACAAUUAUACGUUUUUUAUCAGAAAAAAUAAGCAUUUAUAGUUUAAAAAUAACAUUUCCAGGCUGGGAAUUCAGGCAAACGCAGAUACUACACAUCAAGAACAUUGCAAAAAUUUAACUACUAUGCAGCGAACAAUGGUGGAACGAUAUUUAUUUAUCUAGGGAUUAUGUUAUUUAGGUUCGCUAGUUAGUUCAACAAACUUCUAUUAUGUAUAAUGUGAUUGCAUAACACACUUAUGCCUUACUUAAUACUAUCAGCUUCUUUUAAAAAAAAGAACAUUGCAAAAAUGAUUCAUUGACAAAUAAGACUUCCCAGUAAAAAGAAGUUCAUAAUUGGAGCACAAGAUCAGAGAAAAGGUUCAUUGAUGAAUGUCAUGUGUGUUGAAGACCUGUGUAUUAUAUUAUUUUAAUCAUAUUCAGUUUAAUUUUUUCAAUUUAGUAUUUUAAGUUUAGUAGGAUUCAUUGAACUAUAUAAAAAAACACUUGUAUAUAACAACAACUUCAGCACUAUCAAGCCUCAAGGCUUCUCUUGUUCUUCUUCCUCUCUUUGAAUCUCUUCUUGUUCUUAUAAUGUGAAUCUCUCCCACCUCUGGACUUCGAGCAAAAGCUCUUAAAAAAAUUGGGAAUCGUAUAUGACUUGUGCUUGAUUCCCUGGGAAACAUAAGUGGCCGUAAACAAAGAAUGGAAUGUUCAGCGGAGUCACGGAACUAAACUACCCCUUUUUAGGGGAAAUCACUUACGACUUGGUCUGUUCUUUUACUUGACCCCAAAGUCUUUGUUUCUAGUAAAUAAUUUUCCCGCAAAUUAAUUAAUUUUAUAGAUAUUGGAGGUGGGCUUUUACAUGAAAAUAUCAUUAGGGAAAAAAAAUUGUGAUUGCUUAAUGUGAAUGUUCAGAGAAGUUUUUCUAAAGUGUAUUUAGGAAUGAAAUUUAUGUGAAGCUUGCUUUACAUACUGAAUUUAAUUUCCCAAAAAAAAAAUCCGACCACAAAAUUUUUCAAUAAUUUACAAACGUAGUUAAUUCACAUCUUAGGUAUGUGAAGAAUGUAAAGAAUGUUAAUUCACGUAGUUAAUUCAAUAAUUUUUAAAACUUAAGAUCACUAACUCAUCUUAUAUAAAGAAUAUUAUACUUUGAUCAUGUUACAUGUUAUCUUAAUCAAGGUAACAAAAAAGUAGACAAUGGAUAUAUCAUGAAUUAUAUGAAGGUAUUUGAAUGAUUAAGACAAGAUUCAUUACACUAGAUGAAUAAAAAAAGAAACAUCUAUUUUCAUAUAGUAUUGACUGAGAAUUAUUUUGGCCAAUGUGGAAUGAGAUUUGAAAAGAGUUUCAAAUCUUAUUCAAACGAUUAAUAACUAUUAUAUAGAGAAUAAACAUGAUUUAACAUGACAGAUAUACUAUAUGCUUUAAUGUUAAAUUAGAACAUUAUUGAUGAAAGGAUAUCCAUUAUACUGAGAAAUUGGUCACUAAAAUGUUAAGUCAAACCACUAAUGAUUUCCAAUAUUUAGAGAAUCAUGACAUGUUACUAGACGAUGCACCUGAUCUUUAAAUAUAAAUUAAUCAAUUGUUGAAUUAAUAAUAAAUUAAAUUAUUUAAUCUAUUUAAUUAGAAUUAUAAUUUAUAUUUAGGCCUACAUAUUAGGAACCUAAUAAGUUACACGCAUUAAGAAUCAUUAAUCAAAAAUUAAACUAGAAUGAUUUAGUUAAGUAUGACUUGAUUACAAUAUAUUUUAGAAAUUAAGGAAUAGAUUAUAAUUAAUACAAAUAUUAUAUUUCUAGACUUGUAAAAUCAAGUAAGGACUUAAUUGAGCUACUUUCUGUAUUAUCUUUAAAUAAUAUAUGGAUAUUAUUUAAGGGACAAAUAAAUAUUUUAUGUGAAGCUUGCUUUACAUACUGAAUUUAAUUUCCCAAAAAAAAAAAUCCGACCACAAAAUUUUUCAAUAAUUUACAAACGUAGUUAAUUCACAUCUUAGGUAUGUGGCCAUGCAUGAUUUAAGCACCAAAACGUAGAUAAAGUAUACAAGAAAUUACUGUGUCUAACCAAUUCGGGUAGUAAAUUACUUAAGGCUUCGGAGAAGAGGUAAUUCAGAGAGAAUUACCUCACAUUUAUUUAAGAUAACUCAUGUAAAUUUCAAAAACUUAAGUCAUCCAAAUUAUAGUUCUAAUUUAUUUGUAAGGUUUUAGAAAUAACGAGAUUGUAAUUUUUCUCAGUAAAAAAUUUCUUGAGCCUAGUUUUAUUAAUCCAUAUUUUUAAUGAAUUUCUUAUAAAAAAUUAAUGGGGCAAUGGUAAGAACAGUAUUAAUUUUGGAUUACCUGAUUUUUUUAAAAUAGAGUUUAUACGUACUGCUAUAAAUUGAUAAUAAUAUUUGCAUCUCAGAAGAAACAUUUGAUCGUAUGUGCAAAUGUGAUUCAUAUGUGCUCCCGGCGAAUAUCUCAACCUUCUUACGUGAUAUAUGAUGCUGAAUACAUAAAAAUGGGAGAACGAAGCGAAGAAGGAUUUAAUUACAAAAACUACAAUCAAACUAAAUCUCUAAGAUAUGAUUUACAAAUCAAGCUUUAAUUCUUUUGAUUCGAUCCGAAGCCACCAAAUUACAUCCAAAUUACAUAUUUGGUUUUUUUUUUUUUUUUCCAGUUGCAAUUUGCGGCGGCAUCGCAUUUCCAGGAGCUAAGCUUUAACAAGGUUGCUUACUCACAUUACUAUUUUGCAUGCAUAAAUCUAUGCUAGAAGUAUUUGGAACUAAUUACUUUGACAACGCUUCUGUUUGCAUGAUAAGACUGCCCAAAAGUAGGCAAGGAACAGAGCAUUAGAAUUAGUUGUGAAACGAGGACAGCACCUGGUUGAUCCGAGUGAUGGAGAAAAAGUGGAUGAUUGGAGUUCUCCCAUGCUUCUGAGGUCUUGAAAGAGUUCGGCAGCGCCUGUUUUAUUCAAGAAGCUUUUGUUCUUCGUCACCAGGCAUGAGGUAUUUUAGUUGUAUGGAUUCCUAGCUUCUCAGAACUAGAGCUCUGAUACCAUAAAGAAAAUGAUAAUGCGAAUGUUUUCUGUAAUUUCUUUUUUCAAUAUUGCAAAGCUGUACGACAUAUAUAUGCAGUUUACAUACAAUCUGAUCCACCAUUCUAAGAGCUAUUCUAGGAUUAACUUUGAUAAACUGUUAAAGAAUCGAAAUGUCAAAGCAACCAAUCUCUUCACGGCGAAUUGUACUUCACAAAAAAGCGCACUCCUAAAUAAAUAAAUAAUGUGAAUACACUAAGAAAGGGUGAUUGAAGUAAAGAUGCAACAACUGCUGCAUGCAUUGGUUCUUUUUUUAUAGAUGUAACACCCAAACCUUGCAUCAAAGUUAACCAAAAAAAAAAACACGCAAAUUAAGUGACUCGAAAAUAUUCCAUGUAUCGAAUAAAGCUAAUAAUAAAAAUAAAAUUAAAACACAACCAUGAAGGAAAACAGAAGCAGUACGAAAGAGGAAUCCAAUUCUCUGAAUCUGCCACUCUAGCGUUCUUCUCAUGUCAACCUCCACUUGGUAUCUCAUAAGGUAGCGAGAAUGUUUAUUCCAAACUUCACUGCAAUAGAGAAACAUACAAAUAAUUUUUUUUAUUUAAUGAAUCCGAAAGCGAAAGAAAAGACUAAUAAAAGGAAAUAGCACAGAAAAAAUAGCAUAAACUGUUGCACGUAAAACCUUAAGAUUUCAAAUGUUUGCAUAACUUACCUCAUGUUACUAGCUCCGUUGUUUAGUUUCUUCUUGCACCAUUCCUACGAGCAUUCUUCUUCGUUCUUCUUGCCUUCAGAUUCCAUAGAUCUUCAACCAAUUUCAGAAACCAUGCUGGUUCUCUUGUUCUGAACAAAACGUAUCCCAUUGUGACUCCAAACACAAACCCAUUUCCAUACCCUAUUGCCACAGCUUUCCAUCCAAAUCCUUCUCCAAAGAACUUUGAAUCAUCUCCAUCGUGAAAGUUUGAUGGCUGCGAUGGUGGUGCCUCGUCACUGUUGCAUUCUUUUGGCAUUGGAAAUCCACAUAAGUCCAAGUUUCCUUCAAAUGAGAUUGCAUUAAACGUGUUGAACUGCUUUCCAGUGGGUAUGGGCCCCUCAAGCUGGUUAUGUGAAAGGUUUAAGACUCCAAGAAAUGUUAGAUCUGCCAACUGUACUGGAAUCCUUCCAGUAAGAAAAUUUGAAGACAGAUCUAAUGAUUCCAGAUUGGUAAACAUUCCUAAUGAUGAUUGAAUUUGACCUGUAAGGGAAUUCUGAGAGAGGUUGAGUUGUUAAAGUCCUUUAAGCUUUCCGAUCUCCCCUGGAAUCUCUCCGAUGAAACUGUUGUUUGACAAAUCAAGUAUUCUAAGAGCGCUUUGGAUUUUCGUGAACUUAAUAUCAAACCCUUUCCAUGUCACUUCUAUGGAAUAGGAAUAGUUAGGGUAAUUUCUUGCCAUCAUGUAAAAUGUAUUUUGAUCAUAGACCAUCAUUGCUUCAAGACUAUUAAAAUACCCUGUUGGCAAUUGUCCACUCAAAUUAUUGCUGGAGAUUUCGAAGAUCCGUAAUUUAGAGAAGGAAUUAUUAGUAGUCAAACCAUUCACAAGACCCUGGAGUUUAUUGGAUUUUAGGAUAAGAACAUGCAGCUCUGGAAGCAUUUCUAGGAAAUAGGGGAAUGUAUCCUCAAUUUUAUUGUCGCCAAGAUCAAGAAUUUCCAGCAUUGCACAGUUGAUGAUAGAUAAUGGUAUUUUCCCUUCCAAUUCAUUGCCAUUUAGGUUGAGAUAUCCCAAGUUAUUCCCUUUUGAAAAUGGUGAAAAGAUGGUGCCUCGAAGAUUAUUCAUGCCAAGAUUCAAAAUUGAGAGAGAGUUGCUCAAGUUCCCUAAACAUUGUGGUACAAAACCACUCAAGCUGUUGUUGGACAAAUCAAGGAGUUGAAGGAAUUUAAGCUUGCAAAUAGAGGAAGAAAUUUCACCUGUUAUUUUAUUGUUGGAUGCAAGAGCAAGGGCUUCCAGUUUCUCUUGUUUGAAAAUUGAACUUGGGAUUGGACCAUGCAAGUGAUUGUUUCUUAAAUCAAACAAUUUCAAUGAAAGAGUACUUAUUUGAGAAGGGAUAGGUCCUGAGAGUUGAUUACUAGAUAAACCUAAAUUUUCAAGGUGGGUUAGGUACUCUAAAAAAUCUGGAAUUCUACCUGAAAAAUUAUUGUUAUCCAGAUACAAGGAUUUAAGUUGCACAAGGUUUCUAAAUGAUGAUGGAAUCUCACCACCCAAAUUAUUACCUGCAAGGUCCAAACGAGUGAGCCAUAUAAGAGAACCAAUCAGGGUUAAAUUUGAACCUAUGAUAUUACUGUUUCUAAGAGCCAGAACUUCCAAUAACUUUAGAUUUGUGAAGAAGUCAUUUUCUAAAUAAACUGAAAUUCUAGUAUGAGAAAGACCCAAUAAACAGAGGGCAUUACUGACAUUGGAUGAAGGAAAAGAGCCAGUGAGGUCGUCGUUGGAUGUCAAAUCAAGUGAUUCAAGGUUUGGUAGGAGAAAGAUGUUACCUGGGAACUUCCCUUUCAAUCCACAACCCCAAAGGGCAAGACCUGACAAGGAUGAGGACAGAUUCGCCAAGGAAUUAGGUGUGACCAAAUCCAUAUUUACAUAACCCAAACGGAGAUCUCUUAGCUUGGUUAGGUUUUGAAUAAUCUUGUCAAAAGAACUUGGUUCUACAAUCAAAUAGUCAUUGAAAGAGAGAUCAAUUGAAACCAACUCAGUGAGUUGUCCAAGAUCAUCUGGAGUUGAACCUGUAAGAUUGCUGAAUCUAAGAUCCAAGUACUGGAGGUGCUUAAACUUUCUCACUGAGGAUGGGAAUUUUCCUUGCAAUCCACAGGAAUAGAGUACAAGUGAUGACAAAGAAGAAGACAGAUUCAUCAAGGAAUUGGGUACAACCAAUGACAUGUUCACCCACCUCAGAUUGAGUUCUCUAAGCUGGGUUAGAUUUCGAACAAGCUUGUCAAAAGAAAUUGGUUCUAGACUUAGAUAGUCGUUUUCGUUUCCAGAGAGAGCAAGUGAAACCAACUCAGUGAGUUGCUCAAGAUCAUAUGGAAUUGGACCUGCAAGAUUGUUAUCUGCAAGAUUCAACUGCUGGAGGUGCUUAAACUUUCUCAUUGAGGAUGGGAAUUCUCCUUGCAAUCCACAGGAAAGGAGUUUGAGUGAUGACAAAGAAGAAGACAGAUUCAUCAAGGAAUUGGGUGUAACCAAUGACAUGUCUACUGCACUCAGAUCGAGUUCUCUAAGCUGGGUUAGAUUUCGAGCAAGCUUGGCAAAAGAAAUUAACUUACGACGUGGUCUGUCCACUGGGAAACAUAAGUGGCCAUCAACAAAGAAAGGAGAGUUCAGCGUGGUCACGAAGUCCUUUUUCUUGACCCCAAAGCCUUUGUUUCUAAUAAUUAAUUUUAUAGAUACUGGAGGUGGAAUUUUACAUGAAAAUAUUUUUAGGGAAAAAGAAUUACGACUGGUUUACAUACUGACUUUAAUUUCCAAAAAGAAAUCGAGGCACAACAUUUUCAAUAGAAAGAAUUGUUUUUUAAUAAUUUACAAACGUAGUUAAUUCACAUCUUAGGUAUGUGGCCAUGCAUGAUUUAAGCACCAAAACGCAGAUAAAGUAUACAAGAAAUUACUGUGUCUAUUAUUGAAUACCCUUUUAAUGUUUUGAACUUAAACUGUGAGAUUAUUGAAUAGAUCAUCCAUUUCUCUUCAGAGUAAUAUUAAUGACUAAAAUGCCAUUAAAAUAAUUAGCAUGUUACUACCUACUCCAUUUUAAAUGAGUUUAUUAUUUGAAGUGGUAGUCCUAAAAGACAUUUCCAUAAUUCAAGAGCAAGCUAUUUAAUUUAUUUAUUUUAUUGUUGCUAGCGAACUCUUCUUUGUUUCUUUUGCAUGAGUUGCCUAUCGAGUAAACGGUUUCUUAAUUAUUGUAUAAUCUACGUUCACAAAUGAAGUGGCUUUAUGAUUUUUGUUGAGAGUAGAUAAUAUCCCUACAUUUACAUUUGCAGCAAGUUUACAUACCAAUUUUCAUUUGGUGCUGAAUAUGAAAUUGAAGGUUGAAUUAUUCAAUUGCAAAUAUUUCUAUACUAGUAGGUCCCUUAGUUGACUGGACAAUAGUAUUGGAAACAGGGCAAUAUUAAUUUUCAUAAUUGACAUUUUUUGUGGAAAUUAAUUAUUUUUCCAUAAUUGACAUCAGCAAUAUUAAUUUCCAUAAUUGACAUCGGCAAUAUUUCAGAAUUUUUUUUGUAGCUCGUCUGAUGGUCUGUCCUUUUCCUCCUUGACCUCCAAGUCUUCGGAACUUGGAUAUAGUGUCCAACAAUUACGUGUGGAAAUGGAGUUGAAUUAUUCAAUUGCAAAUAUUUCCAUACCUGUAGGUCCCUUAAUAUUUCCGUACCUCCUUGACUAUGCGUUGGAAACAUGGCAAUAUUAAUUUUUGAAAUUGAUAUUUUUAUGCAAAUUUUUGAAUAUUCACAGUUCAUUUAUUAGGUAAAGAUAUUAUAGACUUCAAAGUUAAAAAUCAUGUAAGUAUUUAAUGACUCGAACUGAUUUUAUAAUACUUAAAUUAAUAAUUUUUAAAAAAUAAAUUUAAAACUUAACCAUAUAAGCUAUCCUUUCAGGAUUGAUAUCUCUAAGCUUAAGAAUGAAUUCCAGUGAUGAUCAUGAUCCCGUCACCUUGCUUUCAUGCACAGGAGGGGAUUCAGUACCAACGUAGAUGAAAGUAUACAAAAAUUGUUGCAUCUGUUACGUCUAUGUUAAAUAAUCUUCAUUUAUCCAUGUAUGCCUCCAAAAAAUCAUUUGAAUACCAUUUUAAUUAAUCUAAAAACUAUGUUUAAAUAUUGUUUUAGUCCUAGAUAUGAUUUAGAGCUCAAACAACUUAAAUUGUGGAAAAUAAAUAUUGAAUAUGUCAAACUAGUGAGAAAACAAUUUGCAAGGAAAACAUUCCAAAACCAUUCGCGAACCAAAUAACUGGAAGGAUAGAUAAAAAAAAAAUAAAAAAACCCUGAUGAAGAAAGUCUUCUUCACCUCCUUAUGCCAACUCCAAUUCAAUCUGUAGAUGUAGUCAACAAGUUCUUAUAAUAACAUUACUCAAUAAUUCCUAAAAAAACAAAACAGCAUACUAAAACUAACAAAUCAUGAAUAUUACAUAAAUAAGGGACAUGCAUAAUUUUUAAUUAAAUUCAUGGGCACAUUAUAUUUUCCAUACUUACCAUGGAGAAAUAAAACAAAUCAAGUAAGAAAUGUACAUGUAUUACAUGUGUUUGAUAACAUGAUACAUAGUAUUUUAAAAAAAUAUUUUUCAAUUAAAAUUAUAUUUUUUUAUAUUUUAAAUUUUGACAUUAACAUAUAACUAAAAUCAUCAAAAAAAACCUAAAAAAACAUCAAUUUAAUAUUUCUUUAAGUUAAAAGUAAUUGUAAAAACACUUUGAAAAACAAUUUAACUAUGUUAGAAAAUUGUAUAAAUCAUAUAUUGAGGUCUCACUUAAUAGCUUAUGUUUUUUGGUGAGACAACUCUUUAAUAUGAUAUCAGAGCCUUAAAGAUUAAGUGAUUAUGAAUUUGAAUUUUACCAUCCUUAUUCUCUCUUCUAAUUAAAAUUUAAUUCAUAGCAUAAGGUAAUGCCGGCCCGUACAAGUUUCAAGUUCAAAGAGCUUUCAUUUGAAGAAGUAUGUUAGAGAGUAAUACAAAAUCAUAUAUUGGGGUCUCACUUAACAUAUUAAACUUUUGGGUUGAGAUGAUUUUUUGAUUUGGUAUUAGAACCUUAGCAGUCACGAGUGUGAAUCUCAUAACUUUAAUUAUAUUUGAUAAAAAUUAAGUAUAAGAUAGUUGAAUCCGUGCAGAUUACUUGAGAAGGUGUAUUAGAAAAUUAUAUAAAUCAAAUAUUAAAGUCUCACUUAACAAUUUAAGCUUUUAAGUCAAAUGAUUCUUUACACACCACAAUACAAAACUCACACCGAAAUCUUUGUGCAAAAUCAUGAGGUGAUUACUAAAUUCAAGAGCAAGCUAUUUAAUUUAUUGUUGCUAGCGAACUCUUCUUUGUUUCUUUUGCAUGAGUUGCCUAUCGAGUAAACGGUUUCUUAUUGUAUAAUCUACGUUCAUAAAUGAAGUGGCUUUAUGAUUUUUGUUGAGAGCAGAUAAUAUCCCUACAUUUACAUUUGCAGCAAGUUUAUGUGCCAAUCUUCAUUUGGUGCUCUUCCAUUUGGUGCUAAUAUGGAAUUGAAGGUUGAAUUCUUAUUGCAAAUAUUUCUAUAUAAGUAGGUCCCUUAGUUGACUGGAUAAUAGUGUUGGAAACACGGCAAUAUUAAUUUUCAUAAUUGACAUUUUUUGUGGAAAUUAAUUAUUUUUCCAUAAUUGACAUAGCAAUAUUAAUUUCCAUAAUUGACAUCGGCAAUAUUUCAGAAUUUUUUUUGUAGCUCGUCUGAUGGUCUGUCCUUUUCCUCCUUGACCUCCAAGUCUUCGGAACUUGGAUACAGUGUCCAACAAUUACGUGUGGAAAUGAUGGAGUUGAAUGUUGAAUUAUUCAAUUGCAAAUAUUUCCAUACCAGUAGUUCCCUUAAUAUUUACGUACCUCCUUGACUAUGCGUUGGAAACAUGGCAAUAUUAAUUUUCAAAAUUGAUAUUUUUAUGCAAAUUUUUGAAUAUUCACAGUUCAUUUACAAUUUUAGGUAAAGAUAUUAUAGGCUUCGAAGUUAAAAAAUCAUGUAAGUAUUUAAUGCUCUGAUUUUAUAAUACUUAAAUUAAUAAUUUUUAAAAAAUAAAUUUAAAACUUAACUAUCCUUUCAGGAUUGAUAUCUCUAAACAUGGCAGAGGCGUUUCGUCCGUUGGCGCGGACGUUUCUUCAUUAAAGGCGUCGGUUACGGAGCAUUUAGGAGGCCAGACGUUACCACCACCGAGGCUGCCGCUGGCUCUAUAAAAGCUGAGCGAAGGAGACCUCGCGAAAGAGAGGAGAAGACAGGGAGGAAACCGAGCAAGACAGAAAAGAAAAAACCCACAAAACAGAGACAAACAGUAGUUCCCACAGAAAAAACAGAGAUCAAUACAAGCAGAAAUCCCACGUUGAUAUCAUCGUCCUCUCAAUCGUCCCUCUCCCUUGCAAAUCAGAAAGAGGAAGAACCCAAGCAGCGAGCUGUCACCUUCACCAUCGCCGAAACAAAAGGAAAACAGAAAGGGAAGGUCAUACAGCAGAUGAGAGCGAAAUCACUGUGCUGACCAGCCUCCUCGCAAUCUCCAGAAACAGGUAAGCCGUUCUCAUCUUUCUCUUCAUUCUUGUUUGAAAUUGUGCAAAUGCAAGAACUGUGCGAAGGUAGGUAAUUUAAUUACCUUCGCACAGUUGCUGCACGCGUGAAAUUGCUUCACGCGUGCAGUUUAAUUAAACUCUGCCGGGCCACUGGAUUGGGCCAGUGGCCGGGCCGGCUGGGCCCAGUCCAGCCUCUUUUGGGCUGAACUGGGCCCGGCCCAAAAAAUAUAGAUAAUAAAAAAUAAAAAAAAUGAUAAGGGUAAAAAAAAAUGAUCAGAGAAAAGGUUCAUUGAUGAAUGACAUGUGUGUUGAAGACCUGUGUAUUAUAUUAUUUUCAUCAUAUUCAGUUUAAUUUUUUCAAUUUAGUAUUUUAAGUUUAGGAGGAUUCAUUGAACUAUAUAUAAAAAAACACUUGUAUAUAACAACAACUUCAGCACUAUCAAGCCUCAAGGCUUCUCUUGUUCUUCUUCCUCUCGUUGAAUCUCUUCUUGUUCUUAUAAUGCGAAUCUCAGAAGCAGGCAUUCUCCCACCUAUGGACUUCGAGCAAAAGCUCUUAAAAAAAUUGGGAAUUGUAUAUGACUUGUGCUUGAUUCCCUGGGAAACAUAAGUGGCCGUAAACAAAGAAUGGAAUGUUCAGCGGAGUCACGGAACUAAACUACCCCUUUUUAGGGGAAAUCACUUACGACUUGGAGCCCGUUUGGUGCUGCGUUUGUACUUGUAUUUUGGUAAAUUUUGAUUUUUUUUAGAUAAAAUUGAGUGCGGUUUGUACUUUUUGGAUCGUUUUGAUGUGCUGAUAUCAAAAAUAAUUUUUAAAAAAUGAUAAAACAUUAUUUGCAUGUAUUUUGACACGAAAAGUUAUUUGAAAAGUAACCGCUACCACACUGCCAAACACACUCUUGGUCUGUCUUUUUUACUUGACCCCAAAGUCUUUGUUUCUAGUAAAUAAUUUUCCCGCAAAUUAAUUAAUUUUAUAGAUAUUGGAGGUGGGGUUUUACAUGAAAAUAUUAUUAGGGAAAAAAAAUUGUGACCGCUUAAUGUGAAUGUUCAGAAAAGUUUUUUAAAGUGUAUUUAGGAAUGAAUUGUAACUGCUUAAUGUGAAUGUUCAGAGAAGUUUUUCUAAAGUGUAUUUAGGAAUGAAAUUUAUGUGAAGCUUGCUUUACAUACUGAAUUUAAUUUCCCAAAAAAAAAAAACCCGACCACAAAAUUUUUCAAUAAUUUACAAACGUAGUUAAUUCACAUCUUAGGUAUGUGGCCAUGCAUGAUUUAAGCACCAAAACGUAGCUAAAGUAUACAAGAAAUUACUGUGUCUAUUAUUGAAUAGAUCAUCCAUUUCUCUUUAGAGUAAUAUUAAUGCAUAUAAAUCUCAUAAUAUUCUUUAGAUUUAUGUUAGCUGUAUAGCAUCUCAAGGGCUUUUUUCUAUUUGAAGGUUUUAUUAUUAUUGCAUUCUACCUCAAAAUCAAUAAAACUUUGAUUAUUAUAUAUAUAAAAAAUCAUAUUAAAUCAUUAUUGUUCACAACUUUGUGUACCCAUCGAGCAAAUCGGAUGUGUCCAAUUGGAGAGAUAAAAUUAUGGAAGGAAAAAUAUUUUAAACCAAAUAUAGAAGAUAAAAAAUAUUUUUUAGUAGAGAUUCCUAAUGACAUUUUUUCCUGAACAAGUGAUUUCUCGGCACUCCUCAAAUAAUUUCUAGCCGGACAGACAAACAAACAAAUAAACCACAUAAAAUUCUCAAACAAUUAUAUAUCACAGUGAAUUACUUUUUUGUUAAUUUUAGGGUCUAUAAAAUUAGUUGAGAUACAUACAAGCUGAUCCGGACAUCCACGUUAAUAAUAAUAAAAAAAGCUUAUGCAUAGAAUCUCACUCUGUUCCUGGUUUAUUAAAUCUCUUGUCAUGACCUAUUUCAUUGGUGGCUCGCCCCAUGCAAUUAAUAUUCAUGUCGAUUAUCCAAAGUAGCAUUUGAAUUCUGUAAAUUAACUUCCUUUUUGUUAAAUUUCCUAUGCCUUUAAAAUUUUGUUAUUGACAUAAGCCUAAUUAAGUAGACAACACUGUAGUUUCGAUAUGCAAUAAUUUUUAUCUGAAUGUCCGAUUGAGGCUUGUGAAAACAAUGUAAAAAAUAUAUAUUAAAAAAAUAUUUUUUAUUUUUUAAUAAUUAUUUUUAAAAUCAGCACAUCAAAACGAUCUAAAAAUAUUUAAAAAAUAAUGUUUAGAGAAUUUUAUUUUUGAAAUUUGAGGGAAUGCGGUUUCAAUCGCGUUCCCAAACGAUGCGUGUUUGAGAAUAUGGUUAUGAUUGCUUUUCAAAGUGUUUUUUACUCGGAAAUAUAUUAAAAUAAUAUUUUAAAAAAAAUUAUUUUUGAUAUUAGUGCAUCAAAAUAAUUUUAAAAAAUAAAAAUAAUUUUUUUUUCAAAAACACUUUUAAAAUACAAAAAAUAAACAAAACCUCAAAAUCAUAUACAUAAUAAGAAUAUGCAAUGAGUUUUUUUUUUCUUAAUGAAAUACGAGAGAUUUAUUUGAUCACUAUUAUAACCAUUAAAAAUAUAGCUUAAUAGAUAGAAAGAAGAGUAUAGAAAAACUCAGAAGAGUGAGAAAACUUACUAGCACAACUAAAUCCGCAACUAAGUCAUUUUUUCUAAGAACUCUUGCUUGACUAAAUGAUAUGCAGCAAUAUUAUUUCUUGUAUAUAAUUUUUCAAAAAAAAAAUAAUGAACACACAAGAUUCUCAAAAGGAUGAAUUUUCUUUAGUAAUUUACACGUAUAGUUAAUUCACAGCUUAGGCAAAUGGCAAGAUUCUUCGAUUAAAUAAUAUUUUUAUUCAGUCCCAAUUUAAAUUUAGGGUUUAAACAAUAUCUCAAUUAAAAAAUAUUUUAUUUCAUUAAUAAAUUUUCAUCAUACCAAGGGAAUUAAUUUGUAGAUGUUUAAUUGUAUUGUAAUUUUUCGACUUCAAAGAUUUUGAGAAUACUCCAAUUGCAUAACUUGGAAAUUCUAGGGUUCUAUCGUGGAAAUGGAGGAUUACAAAAAAGAUUUUAGGGAUGAGCUUUUUGCACCAAAGGUUGCACCUUCCAGCUAUAAAGAUGGAUUUCCAAGGUUUGAUAACAGCCAUUUAAAUAGCUUUUAGACCGACAAUUACACAUGAAAGGAAAAAUUAGAAUUUCAAAACUGGUGUUACGUUAAAAAUUCAAAAUUCCACGCCUGAUUUGAAGUCCUUACCGAAGUAGUGGGCGAAGCCAGCGAUUCCCUUACAGAAUUGGACAGGUAGAAUCUCCUAAAUAAAUUUGAGCGUGUUUUAAUUGUCAUAUAAAAAGUUACAGUUUAUUUAUUUUUAUAACUAUAGGUAUUCGAGCUGGUUUGUCCAUACCUCAACUAAUUUCACGGGUUUUGAAGUUAAUAAACAUAUAAGUCUCUAGUAGUCCUAAGAUUUGUAAGAUUUGAACUGGUGAUCUCUAAAGAGCAAACUUAAAACUUGACCAAUUAAAUUACACCCUUCAAAAUUAAUUAUAGUCUAUUUUAUUAUACAGGUCAUUUAGCGCGAUUAGAUCACUUAUUGAGUUUAAAUUAAUUUGUCUAUAUGAUCCAAUGAAAUAUUUGCUAGGUUAUUUAUAUUGUCCAACUGAGAUAGAUUUGUAUCCAAUUGAUCACAUCCUCCUGCAUCAAAGAUUAUUACAUGGCUAAUAAUCAAUAAUGUACAAUCUCUCAAACUAUAUCGUGCAAUUAUUGAGGUAUGCAUAGACAUCUUAAUUUAAUUAAAUCGAAGUCCGAGGAAAUAAAGUUGUUAUGGUUGUCUCUCAUGAAAUUAAAAAGUUAAUCCUAAAAGGUAUAAUUUAACUAGUCAGAUUCUAAGUUUGCUUUUUAUAGGUCACCAAUUAAUUCAAGUUCUACAAACCUCAUGGUCACUAAAGAUUUAAAUAAUUGUUAAUUUUAAGGCUCAUAAAAUUAAUUGAAAUACAUACAAACUGAUCCGGAUAUUUAAGUUAAUAAUACUAAUAAUAAAAAGCUUGUGCAUAGGUUCUCGCUCUGUUCCUGGUUUAUUAAAUCUCUUGUCAUGACCUAUUUCAUUGGAGGCUCGCCCCAUGCAAUUAAUAUUCAUGUGGAUUAUCCAAAGUAGCAUUUGAAUUCUGUAAAUUAACUUCCGUUUUGUUCAAUUUCCUAUGUCUUUAAAAUUCUGUUAUUGACAUAGGCCUAAUUAAGUAGACAACAUUGUAGUUUCGAUAUGCCAUAAUUUUUAUCUGAAUGUCCGAUUGAGGCUUGUGAAAACAAUGUAAAAAAAAAAGAGAAGGGAAUUGAACUAGUUUGAAGAGUUUGAUUUAUGUAAUUCAUAAUCAAAAUCUGGAAUUAGCUAGAUUUGAAGCAAAGUGUGCUACGUACAAUGGCUAAUUUUAUCCUGAAAAUUCCCAUUUUGACAUGUGAGGCUAAGGCAAAUGGAACAGUAAACAUUUCAUCCAUAGUUUUGAAACCCAGCCCAACACGGCAGGUCAACCCGUGAUCCGGAUGACCCAGGGCUGGAAUAGGACUGGCUUGAAGAAAAAACAAAAAAACAAAAAAUCCGGUGUAACCUGGCAGGCUGGUCAAGACCCGGCCUUAAACCCGUUGACUUUUAUUUUAUUUUUAUUUUUGUUUUACUAAAACGACGUCGUUUUGAUUUUAAAAAAAAAUGCCUUGGACUGGGCCGGCCACCAAUCGGGUCUUAAAAAUAUGAUUUCAUCUAACAUAUACACAUAAUUAAAGGAAAACAUUCAUGAAUCUUUGGCAGAAUGUCGAUAGUUACUGGCCUUAGAGAGCAUAUUGUUAGAACCACUUAGGUGGAGAUUAGUGGUUCGGUCUAUGCCAUUAAGGUUACAGAAAAACCAUGCUUAGAGGUUAAUUCAAGUAGGUUUGAUAAAAAGAAGGUUGUGGAAAAUUGGGCUGGGAAGUUGAAUCCUUACUCUAGAAUCCUCCCAGCAUGAUUCUCUCAAAUCAUCAUAUGCUGCUGCUGAUUAAUUUUGUUCUGAGGAGCCAAUGGAAGAUGGAAUAGAUGGAGCAAAAAUUGAUGACACGAAUGAGACUGCUGUAUGUAGCCAUGGUAUGGAUAGGGAAUUCUCUUUUUGUGAUCCUGGGUGAACAUGUACUGCCUGAAAGAAUUAACAAGAAGGGUACUUUGAAUGUUGAUUUGCUUUCUCCAGAGAAAGGUUCUUUGAGGAAAUCUGUUGCUGAGACCCUUGAGGAGACAGAAACAACCGAUAGCGACCCGAUAAAUGCAACGCUGCACUAACAAGCUUCCCUGCUACCAUAGCUGCUAUAAAAAGCAAUGGAGUCCAAAUUGUUGAAAAGCAGUCAGAGGAAAAUUUAAAUAUUGAUGGUGGGCUUAUCUCUAAUGCUUAUAUGGAUGAGUAGAGGAAUGGAUCACAGUGUAUUGGGCUAGAGGAAAACACACUCUCAAUAGUUCCAGUUAACACACAUGAGCCUCUGUUAACUACUUACUAUAAGGCUUCGGACCAACAACUGAUCUCAUUCAUGCUUAAAUGGCCCGGUGAAAUAUAAUAAAAACAAGAUGUUUGAGGUCUUCAUCACACCUAUAGCAGAACCAGAGGAGGUAGCUGAACUAGAGAAGGAAAAGAAGAGAAGUUCGAACAAAAGAAAGAAGAAACUUUCCUUAAAAUCAGCAACUCGUAAGGGGAGAACAUCAAGAAGUAGAAAAGAGAAGUCUGCUAACCUGGAAAUCACUGAAAUGUCUAUCUCAGAUGGUGAAAUCAGAAACGGAAACAAGGCUAUACGCUCUGGCAUGGACAUUAAUGUAAUGGAGAAGGGGAUCAUUUCCCCUCGGCGACUGGAGCAACAACCACCUGUCGAUAGUAGAAAGGAACUUGCUGGGAGGUUGGAAAGGCCAUUCUUUAGCUAGAUGAUGAUAGUGAUCAGAUUGUGGACACCUUGAAGGUUUUCAUAGACAAAGAGCGGGAGAACUGGAAAGGAAGGUUGGAGUAACAGUAAUGCUCCACUAAGAUAUUCUAGAUCUUGGUAUGUUGUUCCCUCAGUUGGUCUUUCCGGGGCCUGCUUUCUAUAUGGAAUUCUCCCAGCUUUAAUGUCACGAAUACAAUGGUAGGAUAUUGCAUAUAGAAAGAGUCUUUACAUAGUACAACACUGAUUGAGUGCUAUUUAUGGAUUAUUCCUCAAAGAAAGAAUUGAGGAGCUAUCUGGUGAAUUUCAAAUGUAACAUUUCUAAGCCAUGGUGCCUUGGGGAUUUUAAUGAGACUAUCUCUCCUUCAGAUCGUAAGGGUGGGAUAAAUAGUACUUGUUCUAUGAAAGCAUUUCAAUAAUGUUACAUGGAUAUCUUUUCUACUAACUACUACCUUCUGUUAAAUUAUCUAUAUCUGAUAACUCUGUCAUAUCCCCUGUUCACGAAACAUUGCACACCAAGCAACUAGGUGUUUCCUUCAGAUGUUUGGUUCUAUGGUAUUCUGGGUUUCUUCUGCAGCAUGUUAUUGAAUCUAUGGUGUUCUGAGUUGGUUCCUUUUGAGAAGAAUUAAUUUUUUAUUUAUACCGAGCAGGUUCUUAUACAUAGUGAAAGCUUGAGCCAUAAUAUUGGCAGGAUUGCCGGUAGCACUGGGAAGCAGAAUUGUUGUCCCCUGAAAAAAGAAAAAAAGAAGGGACAGAAGGAAAAGAAGAACAAACAUCAGAAAUUGUAAACUAACUGUUUAUCAAACCAGACAAUCACAAGCACAUUUGAAUAAAUCUCCUCACCUCUUUGGCAAUGUUACCAAAAGCUCCCACAUAUUGCUCAGCAAUUUUCAAACUAGCGACCUGCAAAUCAUGCCACAAACGUGAGCCUUGAUGCACAUAAGAUAUGCAUGUCACAGUUGAUUGUCUUGUGAACGCUAAAAUGCAAGAAUCACAAAUCACAUGUGGUAUAAAACACUUGCAAAAUCACUAAUAUAUCUUGUUUACACAACAACAUCAAAAUCUACAUGGAGAACCUCACCUCAAUCCCCCCACUCUUUUUAAUAUUCUCUGACACAAUGGCAAUUCCUUUGGCUGUUGCUUGUGCUUUAGCAAUGAUGGCUUCAGCCUCACCUAAAAUAUUAUCGAUAAGGAUUUAAAAGUAUAUGAGAUUGGCAGCCGAUCAUAUGAGAACUAUAUAAAGAUAAGCCAUGAUAUUGCCCGAUCAAGUCAGGUUGGUUAUCAAAUAUUGUAGAGUAGCUAAUGGGUCUAGAAAAUGAAAAACUAGAGCAUCCAAAAAUAAACAAUCCAGGAGACUAGAAGAGCAAAUUAAGAGCCAAACCUAUUUUAAGUGCAACUAGGUACCAGCACUACCAUGUAAAAGCUUCAACAGAUAUGAAAAGUCAUAUAAUAACAAAUAUGUUCUCACAUCAUGUGGUUUGCUUAAAAAGUAAUACUUGAGAUGCUACAGCCAUCUCCAAUGAAACCCAAUCAUAAUCAGUGGAUCAUUGCACAUAUACACAAGGAUAUACGAAAGACAAGGAUUGAAAGAAAAUUGAGAUUAGCUGCCUACAAAAUAACUGUAACAAGAUAAGCCAUCAUAUCACCUCAUGAAUUUUGUUUGGUUAUCUACUAAUUUGGAACAGCUUAUGGGUCUAGAAAAUGAAAUAGAGGAGCAUCAAUUGAUUAUUGCACAGCAGAGAGACAUGAUAAAGCUAACCUUGUGCUUUGUUGAUGAGAGCUUGUUUCUCUCCUGUUGAGGAAGAGAGUUCCAAUGAAGAAAUGAUGGCAAUUGGAUGAUAAACAUUAAAGAAGUAAAACAAGUUCUAUUUCAAAAAAAUACCAGAGAAGUUACAACCAUCUCCAAUGAAACUUGUAACCAACAGAAUUCUAACAACACACAAGAAAACUAACCUUGUGAUGCCAAGAUCUGAGCACUCUUAUGACCAUCAGCAAUAUUAAUAUUGGCCUGUCUCUCUCCUGUUAAAAAUAAUCAAUACAAAAGAUUAUCAAUGGAUUGACAAAUGAAGAAAUAUUGCAAUGCCUCAUGACAUUGAACAAAUGGUUCUAAAAAAGGUUGCCUCCAAUUAUUAAGCCAUGCAUAACAAAGAUUUAUAGAUAUGAUAGGUGAAUAAAAGUGUCUGCAUUAUGUAGCAGCAAAGAUAUGAGAAGCAGAAAAAAUGCGAUUAAAAGGAGCGGUGGAAAACGACCAAGCAUGACAAGAUGGCAUGGCAAUUCUGUACAAACAGAUAAAAAUGAUGCAUGAAGUCAAUUGCAACAAAGUUUGAUUAAAGUGAGUUUAAUUAAGCUGAGGUAAAACUGAGAAACUAAACUACAUUUAAUACCUUCAGACUCAAGAAUUUGAGCUCUCUUUCUACGUUCUGCUUCUGCCUGCAUCUCCAUAGCUUGCUUCACCCCUCGUGGAGGAGAUAUAUCCCCUAAAGAAGCGAGGACAGAGAAGCAUGAAAAGAAAAUUCUACAGGAACCUAAUCAACAUAGAAUAUCAAAUAAGUUAAGUGCGGCUGGCUCACUUAUUUCAUAACAAAGACAUCGGAGACCCUAGUCUCUUGCAGCCACAUUAAUGGCCUCCUGCAGAAAUGGUGACAGUCUUGCAUAUUCAACAACAUCCUUGUUUUCUUAAAAUACCUGAUUUUCAACUAAAACUCCAAAACAACCUUAGAGUUUUAACUAGGUUGAUAAGACAAGAAACAGAGAAGUGUCAUUACAAUUUUGAAGAACCAACCAAAUCACAAUUUCCUGAAGCAGCAACCGAUUUUUCUCACAUUUAUGAUUUAUGUCUAGCAUUUCAAUAUAUUAUUAAUGAAUCGAAAUGUUAAAGCAACCAAUCUCUUCACGAAAUGUGCUUCACAUAAAAAGCACACUCCUAAAUAAAUAAAUAAUGUGAAUACACUAAGAAAGGGUGAUUGAAGUAAAGAGGUAUCAUACCACAAUCUUUUCAUUGAGAGUGUCUCGUUCUUCAAAGGUCUUGUCAAGAGUAAUCUUACCAAGCUCACUACGCAUAGUGGUCUGGGCAAGUUGAACGACAGCAUAGAUGGGAUUCUCAACACCAUAAGAGGCAAGCUUAGGAUCCACAAUCUGUUGCACAACAAUUUGAGUAUCAAUAAUAGUAAAUGAUUGAUUAACCCAAAAGGGAAAGAGAAACGAGAGAGAAGGGGGAAACCUUGACAUAGAGGACGCCGUCAAUAAGGAUGCUGACAUUGUCUUUGGUAAUAGCAGAUUGAUCAGGAAUCUGAAUAGCCUCUUCCUUCAAAGAGUGAACAUAAGCAAUUCGAUCGACAAGGGGAAUCAAGAAAUGGAUUCCAGAUGGCAGCGUCUUCAAGUACUUUCCAAAUCUCUCUACCACAAACGCUUUCUUCUCCGGCACAAUCCGUACCCCCCAAUUCACAGGUGGCGUAAUCUCAUAACUAAUGAAUUAUAAUAAAUUAAUAAAAAAAAAAUGGAAGAAAGACAGGGAGGGAAUGGGGAAUGAAUGUACCUGGUGAAGGGGUCGCGGCCGGUGCGGAGGAGGCGGACGGAGAUGGUGGAGGAGAGAGGAGAGGAAAGGCGGUUGUUUUGGGCUAAGUGAAAAGAAGGGGGUUUAAAUAAGGGAGAAUUGGAGGAGGGAGUGAGGAGGGUUCUGCCUCUGGAAGCGGUGGAAGCCGAUAAGGAGGAGAGGUGGUGGGAGGUUCUUACGGCGUUGUUGAGUAAUAAAUGACUCCUCCUCCUCCACAUUUUUCUGUCUCUCUUUGUUGUUGCUGUUGAAAAACCCUUGGCCUCCUUAAUUAUCGAACCCUCCCUCACUCUCACACUCUUCACUCUGAUCUGCUCUGCUGACCCUCUCCCCAAGUCACCCUCUCUCUUUUGUUCCCCCUCUGCCCACUCAAAUAAUUUAUUUUCCGAAGUUGUAAUUGACAGUGUGUGGUGGGUGGGUUUUGUUUUAGGCCCGACGUUUUAUAAUGGGCCUGUCUUUUUUUUCUUUUAGAGUUUUUGUUAAAGAAUUGAGAAAAUCGAGACUAAUAUUCUCUGAACAUGAAGAACAAUGAGAGAACGGCAUGAUUUUUAUAAUUUUAAUUUUAAUUUCUUAAGUUAGAGAGCUUAGAUUUAUAUAAAAGUGAGGUUUUACAAUUCAUGAAUAAUAAGACAAUUUAAUCAUAUUUAAUCAGAAAAACAAUAGGAUUAGAGGAUAAAAAGUAAUCCAAAUUACUUUGAUUGUUCGAACCAAUUCGGGUAGUAAAUUUCUUAAAGUUUCGGAGAAGAGGUAAUUCAAAGAAUUACCUCAAAUUUAUUUAAGAUAAUUCAUGUAAAAUUAAAAAACUUAAGUUAUCCAAAUUAUAGUUCUAAUUUAUUUACAAGGUUUUAGAAAUAAUGAGAUUGAAAUUUUUCUUAGUAAAAAAUUUCUUGAGCCUAGUUUUAUUAAUCCAUAUUUUUAAUGAAUUUCUUAUAAAAAAUUAAUGGGGCAAUGGUAAAAAUAGUAUUAAUUUUGGAUUACCUGAUUUUUUCAAAAUAGGGUUUAUACAUACUGCUAUAAAUUGAUAAUAAUAUUUGCAUCUCAGAAACAUAGAAACAUUUGAUCGUAAAUCCUCUGUUACUUUUGUGUUGCAUUAAUUACUGCUUGGAUCGACACGAAGGUAAAGAGCUAAGCAAGUUAGCUAGUAAUUUAACCGAUAAUAAUUAAGUAUUAAAGUGUUAAUCAAGAAAAAGAACAUUUCUAGUUUGAAUCUUAUCACUUGGAUUUCCCAACUUACAUAUAAGUAUGUGAUUGAUUAAAACUCUCGAGUUGAUAAAUUUUUGACCGUGAUUUAGCUCUCGAAAGUGAUCACUCACCCGUAGGCUAUGUCAGGAGUGAGUCCUUGCUAUGGAUAUAAGAAGAAGAAAAAAAAAAACGAAGGUAUGGAGCUUGUUAUUGGUAAAGGUUAUAUUCAUGUGGAAAAGUGGUUAUCUCUUACAUGAACUUUGGUGCUCCCUUCAAAAGACUGAAGAAUUUGAAAGUAGAAUGCAAAUGUGAUUCAUAUGUGCUACCGGCGAAUAUCUCAACCUUCUUACGUGAUGCUGAAUACAUAAAAAUGGGAGAACGAAGCGAAGAAGGAAUCGUAGGUAAUUACAUUUUCAUAUUUUUAUUUCUAUUUGCAGUCUGAAUCUUAAUUGAUUUUCGUUGAUUGUUAAUAUUCUCAAUCAAUUUCAUUGCUUAAUCUCGAUUGCCGUAUUCAUGCUUAUCCAAUAACAAUCGAAACCAGUAAACGUCCAUGAAUGUUCUAAAUCACUGUAGCAAUCUGGAAGCAGAAAAAUUCUUGAUAUGAAUUAUUCAUAAACAUGCAUGUUCUAAAUAAGGCUUUUGAAUCCUACGCUGUUAUGUCAUUGCAAUCCAAGUCCAUGGUUAUGAGGGAAAUGCUCUGUUUCUGGCACCGGCCUCGUCUUCGCUUCAUCGUUGCUACCCGUUUAAUACUGUAAGUGCUGUGAUAUGCCUCACCAUUUCUUGUAGGUGCGAGGUUGAUGUUCGACAGCUGCAUCAUUACGAGGAAUGAGUCGGUCUCUUUUGCAAGACUUCAAGAAAACAAGAAAGCUGACAGAGGGAGUUUGAAGAACAGCAAGGCAGUCUUAUUAUUCUGUGUGAUUUCUACGGUGCAUAUAUAUAGUUUAUAUAGAAAACAUCUUGUCUAAUAAGUAAACUGACAGACUAGCAACUAAUCUUUAGGAUUUAAUUACAAAAACUACAAUCAAACUAAAUCUCUAAGAUAUGAUUUACAAAUCAAGCUUUAAUUGUUUUGAUUCCGAAUCCUAACAAGACUAGCCACCAAAUUACAUCCAAAUUACAUAUUUGGUUUUUUUUUUUUCCAGUUGCAAUUUGCGGCGGCAUCGCAUUUCCAGAAGCUAAGCUUUAACAAGGUUGCUUAUUCACAUUACUAUUUUGCAUGCAUAAAUCUAUGCUAGAAAUAUUUGGAACUAAUUACUUUGCCAACGCUUCUGUUUGCAUGAUAACACUGCCCAAAAGUAGGCAAGGAACAGAGCAUUAGAGUUGGUUGUGAAACGAGGACAGCGCCUGGUUGAUAUUGUAGAUAUUGAAAGCGGAAUUUUACAUGAAAAUAAUUAUAAUAAGAAAAAAAAAAACAGUUUAUUAACUUACGACGUGGUCUGUCCACUGUGAAACAUGAGUGGCCAUAAACAAAGAAAGGAAAGUUCAGCGUAGUCACGAAGUCCUUUUUCUUGACCCCAAAGUCUUCGUUUCUAGUAAAUGAUUUCCCAGCAAAUUAGUGGUGCUAAUAAUUAAUUUUAUAGAUACUGGAGGUGGAAUUUUACAUGAAAAUAUUUUUAGGGAAAAAGAAUUACGACUGCUUUACAUACUGACUUUAGUUUCCAAAAAGAAAUCGAGGCACAACAUUUUCAAUAGAAAGAAUUGUUUUUUAAUAAUUUACAAACGUAGUUAAUUCACAUCUUAGGUACGUGGCCAUGCAUGAUUUAAGCACCAAAACGUAGAUAAAGUAUACAAGAAAUUACUGAGUCUAUUAUUGAAUACCCUUUUAAUAUUUUGAACUUAAACUGUGAGAUUAUUGAAUAGAUCAUCCAUUUCUCUUUGGAGUACUAUUAAUGACUAAAAUGCCAUUAAAAUAAUUAGCAUGUUACUACCUGCUCCAUUUUAAAUGAGUUUAUGAUUUGAAGUGGUAGUCCUAAAAGACGUUUCCAUAAUUCAAGAGCAAGCUAUUUAAUUUAUUAAUUUUAUUGUUGCUAGCGAACUCUUCUUUGUUUCUUUUGCAUGAGUUGCCUAUAGAGCAAACGGUUUUUUAUUGUAUAAUCUACGUUCACAAAUGAAGUGGCUCCAUGAUUUUUGUUGAGAGUAGAUAAUAUCCCUACAUUUACAUUUGCAGCAAGUUUUUGUGCGUCUUUAUUUGGUGCUGAAUAUGAAAUUGAAAAUUAAAUUAUUCAAUUGUAAAUAUUUCUGUACAAGUAGGUCUCUUAGUUGACUAAACAAUAGUGUUGGAAACACGGCAAUAUUAAUUUUUAUAAUUGAUAUUUUUUGUGGAAAUUAUUUCUUAAUAUUCAUAUAUAUAAUUCAUUAACAAUUUUGCGUAAAGAGACGUAAGGAUGAUAUCCCUUCAUAUUUACAUCUGCAGAAAGUAUAUGUGCUAAUAGAUACAGUUUGUGCUGUAAUUAGAAUUUUUUUUUAGGUCGUCUGAUGGUCUGUCCUUUUCCUACUUGACCUCCAAGUCUUCGGAACUUGGAUAUAUUGUCCAACAAUUACGUGUGGAAAUGAUGGAAUUGAAUGUUGAAUUAUUCAAUUGCAAAUAUUUCCAUACCAGUAGGUCCCUUAAUAUUUCCGUACCUCCUUGACUAUAAUGUGAAUCUCAGAAGCAGGCAUUCUCCCACGGUCCCACCUCUGGACUUCGAGCAAAAGCUCUUAAAAAAAUUGGGAAUUGUAUAUGACUUAUUCCCUGGGAAACAUAAGUGGCCGUAAACAAAGAAUGGAAUGUUCAGCGGAGUCACGGAACUAAACUUGACCCCAAAGUCUUUGUUUCUGGUAAAUAAUUUUCCCGCAAAUUAAUUAAUUUUAUAGAUAUUGGAGGUGGGAUUUUACAUGAAACUAUUAUUAGGGAAAAAAAAUUGUGACUGCUUAAUGUGAAUGUUCAGAGAAGUUUUUCUAAAGUGUAUUUAGGAAUGGAAUUUAUGUGAAGCUUGCUUUACAUACUGAAUUUAAUUUCCCAAAAAAAAAAAAAUCCGACCACAAAAUUUUUCAAUAAUUUACAAACGUAGUUAAUUCACAUCUUAGGUAUGUGGCCAUGCAUGAUUUAAGCACCAAAACGUAGAUAAAGUAUACAAGAAAUUACUGUGUCUAUUAUUGAAUAGAUCAUCCAUUUCUCUUUAGAGUAAUAUUAAUGCAUAUAAAUCUCAUAAUAUUCUUUAUAUUUAUGUUAGCUGUAUAGCAUCUCAAGGGCUUUUUUCUAUUUGAAGGUUUUAUUAUUAUUGCAUUCUACCUCAAAAUCAAUAAAACUUUGAUUAUUAUAUAUAUAAAAAAUCAUAUUAAAUCAUUAUUGUUCACAACUUUGUGUACCCAUCGAGCAAAUCGGAUGUGUCCAAUUGGAGAGAUAAAAUUAUGGAAGGAAAAAUAUUGGAAACCAAAUAUAGAAGAUAAAAAACUGAUCCUUUAGUCAAAUAAAAUACGUUCUAGCAAAUUCCUCAAGUGAUUUUAAAUCUAAUAGCAGCCUAUUGAAUUAGAAUAUUUCAUUUAUAUUUUUUAGUAGAGAUUCCUAAUGACAUUUUUUCUUGAACAAGUGAUUUCUCGGCACUCCCCAAAUAAUUUCUAGCCUGACACACAAACAAACAAAUAAAUCACAUAAAAUUCUCGAACAAUUAUAUAUCACAGUUAAUUACUUUUUGACAUUUUUUAUAACAUUUUAUUUAUUUAUUUUAUAAGUUGGUGAUUAUUUUUUAUAGAAUGUUUACGCACAUAUUGAAUAGAUAUGAACUGCAAUUACCUCACAAAGGGUGUAAGCAAAGGGGAAAAAAAAAAGAGGAAAAAAAGAGGAAAAGUAAAUACUUGAGGUAUAUAAAAUAUGACUAAAAUGACUAAAAUGAGAAACCCUAUGUCAAACUAUCGCUUUAUAUUAUUUUAAAUGACUAAAAUGCCAUUAUAAUAAUUAGCAUGUUACUACAUUUUAAAUGAGUUUAUGAUUUGAAUUGGUAGUCCUAAAAGUUCUUUCUUUUUUCAAGUCUGUCCCUUUCAUUGACCUUCAAGUCUCCGCAACUAAUUAAAAUAUAGUAUCAAACAAGUGGCGCAAAACAUGGGGCUGAAGGUUUAAUUAUUGAAAACUUAAAUAUUUCCAUACAAGUGUUGGAAACACGGUAAUAUAUAUUAGUUUCCAGGAUAAUUUUUGUAAUAUUGGGCUUUUGUUGCGGAGUAAUUGACUGUUUGGGAUUAAUAAUAGUAGUUAUGGAUUAAAGUGUUUUUUAUUUAAAAGUAUAUUAAAAUAAUAUUUUUUAUUUUUUAAUAAUUAUUUUUACGAUCAGCACAUUAAAACGAUCUGAAAAUAUUUAAAAAAUAAUUUUUAGUGAAUUUUAAUUUUGAAAUUUGAGGGAAUGCGGUUUCAAUCGCGUUCCCAAAUGAUAUGUGUUUGAGAAUAUAGUUUUGGUUGCUUUUCAAAGUGCUUUUCACUUGAAAAUGUAUCAAAAUAAUAUUUAAAAAAAAAAAAAAAUUAUUUUUGAUAUUAGUGCAUCAAAAUGAUCUUAAAAAAAAUUUUCUUUUUUAAAAACACUUUCAAAAUGUAAAAACAAAUAAAACCUCCAAAUCAUAUACAUAAUAAGAAUAUGCAAUGAGUUUUUUUUCUUAAUAAAAUACGAGAGAUUUAUUCGAUCACUAUUAUAGCCAUUAAAAACAUAGCUUAAUAGAUAGAAAGAAGAGUAUAGAAAAACUCAGAGGAAUGAGAAAAAAUACUAGCACAACUAAGUCAUUUUCUCUAAGAAGUAAGAACUCUUGCUUGACUAAAUGAUCUGCAACAAUAUUAUUUCUUGUAUAUAAUUUUUCAAAAAAAAAAAUCAACACACAAGAUUCUCAAAAGGAUGAAUUUUCUUUAGUAAUUUACACGUAUAGUUAAUUCACAGCUUAGGCAAAUGGCAAGAUUCUUCGAUUAAAUAAUAUUUUUAUUCAGUCCCAAUUUAAAUUUAGGGUUUAAACAAUAUCUCAAUUAAAAAAUAUUUUAUUUCAUUAAUAAAUUUUCAUCAUACCAAGGGAAUUAAUUUGUAGAUGUUUAAUUGUAUUGUAAUUUUUCGACUUCAAAGAUUUUGAGAAUACUCCAAUUGCAUAACUUGGAAAUUCUAGGGUUCUAUCGUGGAAAUGGAGGAUUACAAAAAAGGUUUUAGGGAUGAGCUUUUUGCACCAAAGGUUGCACCUUCCAGCUAUAAAGAUGGAUUUCCAAGGUUUGAUAACAGCCAUUUAAAUAGCUUUUAGACCGACAAUUACACAUGAAAGGAAAAAUUAGAAUUUCAAAACUGGUGUUACGUUAAAAAUUCAAAAUUCCACGCCUGAUUUGAAGUCCUUACCGAAGUAGUGGGCGAAGCCAGCGAUUCCCUUACAGAAUUGGACAGGUAGAAUCUCCUAAAAAAAUUUGAGCGUGUUUUAAUUGUCAUAUAAAAAGUUACAGUUUAUUUAUUUUUAUAAAUAUGAAUAUUUGGGCUUGUUUGUGUAUACCUUAACUAAUCUUACGGGUUUUGAAGUUAAUAAUCAUGUAAGCCUCUAACAGCCCUAAAAUUUAUAGGAUUCGAACUAGUGAUUUCUAAAAAACAAAGUUAAAACUUGACCAAUUAAGUGUCACCCCUCAAUAUUAGUUAUAGUCUAUUUUAUUAUACAGUUCAUUUAGCAUAAUUAGAUCACUUAUUGAGUUUAAAUUAAUUUGUCUAUAUAAUCUAAUAAAAUAUUUGCUAGGUUAUUUAUAUUGUCCAACUGAAAUAGAUUUGUAUCCAAUUGAUCUGCAUCCUCCUGCAUCAAAGAUUAUUACAUGGCUAAUAAUCAAUAAUGUACAAUCUCUCAAACUAUAUCAUGCAAUUAUUGAGGUAUGCAUAGACAUCUUAAUUUAAUUAAAUUGAAGUCCGAGGUAAUAAAGUUGUUAUGGUUGUCUCUCAUGGAAUUAAAAAGCUAAUCCUAAAAGGUAUAAUUUAACUAGUUAGAUUCUAAGUUUAUUUUCUAUAGAUCACCAAUUAAUUCAAGUUUUAUAAACCUCAUGCUCAUUAAAGACUUAAAUAGUCGUUAACUUCAGGGUCCAAGAAAUUACUGUGUCUAUUAUUGAAUACCCUUUUAAUGUUUUGAACUUAAACUGUGAGAUUAUUGAAUAGAUCAUCCAUUUCUCUUUAGAGUAGUUUUAAUAACUAAAAUGCCAUUAAAAUAAUUAGCAUGUUACUACCUGCUCCAUUUUAAAUGAGUUUAUGAUUUGAAGUGGUAGUCCUAAAAGACGUUUCCAUAAUUCAAGAGCAAGCUAUUUAAUUUAUUUAUUUUAUUGUUGCUAGCGAACUCUUCUUUGUUUCUUUUGCAUGAGUUGCCUAUAGAGCAAACGGUUUCUUAUUGUAUAAUCUACGUUCACAAAUGAAGUGGCUCCAUGAUUUUUGUUGAGAGUAUAUAAUAUCCCUACAUUUACAAGUUUAUGUGCCGAUCUUCAUUUGGUGCUGAAUAUGAAAUUGAAGGUUGAAUUAUUCAAUUGCAAAUAUUUAUAUACAAGUAGGUCCCUUAGUUGACUAAACAAUAGUGUUGGAAACACGGCAAUAUUAAUUUUUAUAAUUGACAUUUUUGGUGGAAAUUAUUUCUUAUUAUUCAUAUAUAUAGUUAAAGAUACGUAAAGAUGAUAUCCCUUCAUAUUUACAUCUGCAGAAAGUGUAUGUGCUAAUAGAUACAGUUAAUUUGUGCUGUAAUUAUAAAAAAAUUUUGUAGCUCGUCUGAUGGUCUGUCCUUUUCCUACUUGACCUCCAAGUCUUCGGAACUUGGAAAUAUUGUCCAACAAUUACGUGUGGAAAUGUUGGAAUUGAAUGUUGAAUUAUUCAAUUGCAAAUAUUUCCAUACCAGUAGGUCCCUUAAUAUUUCCGUACCUCCUUGACUAUACAAUGGCAAACACAGAAAUAUUAAUUUUUGAAAUUGACAUUUUUUAUGCAAAUUUCUGAAUAUUCACAGUUCAUUUAUAAUUUUAGGUAAAGAUACAUAAGGAUGACAUCUUUUUUUUUUUUUUGAUAACCGUGAGUGUUUGAACCAGCUUAAACGCACCUUGAUUAAACAAUAGUGUUGGAAACACGGCAAUAUUAAUUUCCAUAAUUGACAUCGACAAUAUUAAUUUCCAUAAUUGACAUUUUUGGUGGAAAUUAUUUCUUACUAUUUAUAUAUAUAGUUAAAGAUACGUAAAGAUGAUAUCCCUUCAUAUUUACAUCUGUAGAAAGUGUAUGCGCUAAUAGAUACAGUUAAUUUGUGCUGUAAUUAUAAAAAACUUUUGUAGCUCGUCUGAUGGUCUGUCCUUUUCCUCCUUGACCUCCAAGUCUUCGGAACUUGGAAAUAUUGUCCAACAAUUACAUGUGGAAAUGUUGGAAUUGAAUGUUGAAUUAUUCAAUUGCAAAUAUUUCCAUACCAGUAGGUCCCUUAAUAUUUCCGUACCUCCUUGACUAUACAAUGACGUUGGAAACACAUCAAUAUUAAUUUUUGAAAUCGACAUUUUUUAUGCAAAUUUCUGAAUAUUCACAGUUCAUUUAUAAUUUUAGGUAAAGAUACAUAAUGAUGACAUCUUUUUUUUUUUGGUAACCGUGAGUGUCUGAAUCAGCUUACACGCACAUUGAUUAAUCUCCUCCGACCUUAAAGUUAACGAUCAUGUAAACUUUCAGUGGUCUUGAGGUUUGCGGCACUCGAACUGGUAAUCUUUAGGAAGCAAAUCUAAAAUCUGACCAGUUGAGCUACACAUUUCAGGAUUGAUAUCCCUGCAUUUACAUUUGCAGGGAGUGUAUAACUAAGUACCAACGUAGAUGAAAGUAUACGAGAAUUGUUGCAUCUGUUACGUCUAUGUUAAAUAAUCAUCAUUUAUCAAUUUGUGCCUCUAGAAAAAUCAUUUGAAUACCAUUUUAAGUAAUCUAAAAACUAUGUUUAAAUUGUGAAAACACGUUGCCUAAGCAAGAGUGAGUGUCGGGAACGCGUUGCUUUUAGAGCAAACCGUUUCAUGUUACAUUUCCAUACAUGUAGGUCCCUUAAUUGACUAUACAAUAGUGUUUGAAUAAUUUCUUGGCAAUCCCCUUCUCCUUUGCAACAAGGUUUUUCUUUUUUGUUUCGUGGGUCUUCCCUUUGGAAACCAUACGGGAAGAGUUGACUCUUAACAGUGUUAAAUAUUGCAUUGCAAAUAUUUCCAUGCAAGGAGGUCCCUUAAUUUGUUGAUGACUGACGGUAUGAUUGAUCUUUCUCACUGCUGGGAGAAACAUGCUUAGCUGGGUGCUGACCAAAUUUUAAAUAUAAGAAGACUGAACAAGAGUAAUGAAAAAAAAAAAGAAAAAAAAAGAAAGACUACUGAGUGUUGGAAACACGUAUAUAUAUAUAUAUAUAUAUUAAUGAACUCUUAUUUGUUGCUUUUGCAUGAGUUGCUUUUAGAGCUAACCGUUUCAUAUUAUAUAUUUCCGUACCAGUAGGUCCCUUAACUGACUACACACAAGACUGUUGGACACACCGCAAUAUUAUUCUCCAUAAUUGACACUUGUGCAAAUUUCUAGCUAUUCAUAGUUCAUUUAAAAUUUUAGGUAUAGACAAUGGUUGUAAAUUCCAUUCAAUUGUGACUGAUAUAUCUUAUUCUGGUUUAAAAAAUAAAACUAACUAGAACAAAUUUUAUCUCACUUCGAAUUUCAGCCUGUUCGAAAAACUCCAUCUAAAUUUUAUGAGCAUGUUCACCUUGAUUAAUAAUACGUGUUUUAAAAUUUAUUACCUGAAGAUAUGAUCUUCUUUGGCUUUGGAUAAUUAUUUUAAGGCUGAGUUGUCAUAAAUCAUAAGUCAUCUAAUUGUUUGGCCUCCAACAGUAAUCCACACGAAUCACUUUUGAGGAAUCUCUUAAAACUCUAUUUAGAAGAGAUGAAUUGUUAUGCUUAGAGUACUAACUCUUUAUUUUGUGACUAUGUAGUUUUUUUUUAUCUAACAAACAACAACUCCAAAAUAAGAGGCAUAAGCUGAGGUAUAAAGGAUACCUAUAAUUAAUAUGCAGGUGCUUGUCAUAAAACAUGUACACUAAAUUGACCUGCAUGAGAAUUUCUUAUGAAGAGAUCACUUAUGUUUAUGGAAAGGCUCGCGCGAUAGUUGUAUAAAUGAUCCUUAAACUUGAGAUUACUAAGUCAUCUUAUAUAAAGAAUGUUACACUUUGAUCUUGUUACAUGUAAUUAUCUUAAUCAAGGUAACGAAAGAGAAAACAUUGGGUAUAUCAUAAACUAUGUCGCACCCAAAAAAAAUAAAAUCGCGGGUUGCGACUGGCGAAAUUUUUUAUUUAUUUUUUGUUCUUUGGAGUCGCCACCUAGUAUUUUGGUCACUAGGAACCUAACUGGUCUUCAGAGAUCGGGUACGGAGACUGGUUGCGUAAAGGGAAGAUAUUAGCACCCCAAAUACGCCCUACCUAAGGUAAGCUGCAUUAUUUUAUUGUCUGAUAAAAAACUAAAGUGUUGUUGUGUUUUCCUAGUUGUUGGUCUGUCUAUGGUUCAAGAAAAAUCCUCCUUGGUAAGGAGGUCUUUAUCUCUUGGAUAAAAAUCCUAACCGUUCAAGUGUCUUUAUAUUUAGGAAUACGUUUUACGUAUAAAUUCGUAAUCCCAAAUACUAAAAGAAAACAAAAAGAUUUUUUUUAGAAUUUUUGAAAUAUUGGCCUAGUUCUCAUGGCUUGAAUAAACUGGUUAUUAAAGCCAAAAUGCAUGUUAAUACAUAUAUUGUUUUGAAAAUUUUCUUUGUUGUGUGAAAAUAUGAUGUUAUAAUAUUUAUAUAUAUAUAUUGGAGAGACUAGGCCGUAUUUUAAAACAAAAACAAUUUUUGGAAAAUAUUAUUUUUUUAUGCUUUGACGAAAAUCGGGUAUUUUAAUACUGAGCUUGUAUCCUUACGGUAUAAAAAUACAACCCAAUAUUAAUCCACUUUGAUAAAAAUAUGCAGAAAAAUCAACAACAUUUUUAGGGACUUUUUAGAAUUUUUUUGAAAGCAAAAACAUUUUUUAUUCUGAAAAUCUUUGAUAUUUUGACGAAAACCGGGUAUUUUUUAACACUGGUUUUGUAUCUUUACGGUAUAAAAAUACAAACCAACAUUAAACCACUUUGACAAAAAUAUGCAGAAAAAUCAACAAUAUUUUUUAAGAUUUUUCAAAAUAUUUUUUUUUAUUAUUGUAUUUUAUAUAUAUAUAUAUAUAUACAUAUAUACACAUAUAUUAUAACAUAUUAUAAUAUGUAAUAUAUAUAAUAUAAAAAAAAAUUCGGGCUGGGCCGGCCCAAAUAAACGGGCCGGACUCAGCCCACACAAAGAAAGGUUGGGCCGAACUCGGUCCAGACUGGGUUGGGCCGAUCUCGGCCCAACAGGCCAUCAUGCUUCUUCUGGUCUUGGCCGGACCCGGCCCAGACCUAAAGACUGGGCCUGAACCGGUCUGGCCCAGGAGAGAAAAAAAUGAAACGGGGAGGGGAAUUAAUUUUCCCCUCCCGUCCUCCUGCAUGCAAUAGGAUUAUGCAUGUAGGAGGAAGACGUUGCUAAAACAAAGGCAGGGGGGCAGAGGACGUUACCUGGUGUGGAGGAGGCGGUGCCGCGGCGACGUGGCUUCGCGGGCGGCGCUGCGGCUCCUUCUCUCUUCGGUGUUCGGUUCUCUCUCUCUCUUCGGCCUCCUCUCUCUCUCCUCCCUUCGGUUUUUUUUCUUUUUUUUUCUUUUCUUCGGUUUUCUUCUCUAUUUAUAGGGGAGAAAGUGUGAUGGGCCCUUCAUUAGUGCGCCUGGGGAGCGGGUUUCGUGGGUGGCUGGUCGGCCACCACCCACGACAGCAAGGCACCGCUCCCCUGCUUUCGGCCGGUCGGCCAAUAGCUUUGUUUCGGUGGUCCAAGUCGUGGGGGCAUCGUGUUGGUGGGCGCAAGGAUGCAAGGGAGAGAGAGGCGGGAAGAUUUUGAAGAAAAAACCAUUUUUCUUCUCCCCUGCAACGAGUGCAGAGAGGAAGACGAAGGAGGAACAGUGCCGUUCAAAACGGCACCGUUCGGUCCCCUUUUUUUUUUUUUUUUUAAUGUAUGAAACGACGUCGUUUUGGAUAAAACGCGCCGUUUCAUUUAAAAAAAAGGCGCCAGAAUAUGCUUUUGCAAAUCAGUCCUUAAUCAUCUUUAAUCAUUUCAAUUGCGUCCCUUCCAAUUCGGUCCCCGUCCCUCUUGUUGGCCGCGUUUUUCACUUUGGUCCUUGGCCUCUGAUUUAUGCAAUUAAGCUCUCAAUUGAUCAAUAAACUUCCAAUUUCUUCAAUUAGGCCCCUGAUCCAAAGCAAAACAGCCCCCUCUAUUUACCCGGUUUUUCCAAAUUGGUCCCUGGUUUCGGUUUUUCACAAUUAAACCCCUAAUUGGCCAUUAAACUUCAAUAUUUAUUCAAUUAAGCCCCUGAUUUGGCCUAAUAAAUUCCUAAAAAAUAUAUUUUGGCCCCAGAACUUAAAUUAAAGCCCAAAUUGACUUAAAAAUCAAUUUUCUUGCAAUCAAAUCUUCUAUAAAUUCAAAUAAAAAUCCAAUUAAAUCCAUAAACAUCCAAAUUUGGGCUUUUCUCCUCAAAAUUCAAAUUUUCCUUCUCAAUAGGGCUUUCAUCCUUCAAGAAUAUACUGUCAAAAAUUCAAUCCUUGUAUUUUUAAAAUUCCUUGACCGAUUUUCUGACUGUUUUCUGAGCGUUUCUGCCUCCUGUUAUUUUUUCUAACCUCUUUUGGCUAUUUAUUUUAUUUUUCAUGGGGACCCAAAAAUGGGUUACAACAAACUAUAUGAAGGUACUUGAGUGAUCAAGAGAAGAUUCAUCACCCUACAUGAAUUGAGAAAAAUAUUUUAUCUAUUCUCAAAUAGUAUUGACUAAGAAUUAUUUUGGCCAAUGUGGAAUAAGAUUUUAAAAGAGUUUCAAAUCUUAAUCAUACGAUUAAUGACUAUUAUAUAGAGAAUAAACAUGAUUUAACAUGACAAAUAUACUAUAUACUUUAAUGUUAUAUUAUAGCAUUAUCGAUAAACGGAUAUUCAUUAUACUGAGAAACUAGUUACUAAAAGGUUAAGUCAAACCACUAAUGACUUUUAAUAUUUAAAGAAUCAUGAAAUGUUGUUAGACAAUGCACCUGAUCUUCAAAUAUAAAUAAAUCAAUUAUUGAAUUAAUAAUAAAUUAAAUUAUUUUAUCUAUUUAAUUAGAAUUAUAAUUUUAGGUAAAGAUAAGUAAAGAUUGUUAAUUAAAGCAGUGGGUAUAGUGAAGAAGGCUUUGAGACGUGAAGAUUAAUAAAGCAUUUGCCAUUUGAAUUUCUUGGCAAUCCCCUUCUCCUGUGCAACAAGGUUUUUCUUUUUUGUUUUGUGAGUCUUCCUUUGGAAACCAUACGGAUAUUGCAUUGCAAAUAUUUCCACACAUUUAAAGACGAGAAAUCAAAGUCAUUAGCUUGGUGUUUUUAUAUAUAUAUAUAUAUAUAUAUAAACACCAAACAAGAGUAGCGGUAAUUAUAUUAAUGAACUCUUAUUUGUUGCUUUUGCAUGAGUUGCCUUUAGAGCAAACCUUUUCAUAUUACAUUUCCGUACAAGAGUGUUGGACACACCGCGAUAUUAUUCUCCAUAAUUGACUACACAAGAGUGCGAAUUUCUAGCUAUUAUUUAAGUGAAAUGAUAAUUUUGUUAUUCUAUAUAAAAAUCAUUAAGCCUCUCAUUACGAUAAAAUUAUCUUUUUUAUGAUUAAAAAAUCAUUUUCAAAUUAGAUAAUGCCAAAAAGGUAUUUUCAUAUGUUUCAGCACAAUAAAAUUACUUCAUCUCUUUUAAAAGAAAAAAAUUUUUAAACCUAGCUCUACAGGCUUUAUCGUCUUUUUCAUAAAAAAAAAAAACAGUAAAAUAACUCAUUUAAUCUUGAAAGCAAAGAUUUUAUAACUUAUGACCAUGAACCUUUGCAUCAUUUUACAUUGGAGUUUUUUUUAUAUAAUAUUCAAGCUUGUUGAGGGCUCUUUGGUAAUUGAUUUAAUAUAAUUGUUAUUACAAAAAACUUACUAGUGUAAGCAAUGCAAAUGUUAGCAUGUAGGUUGUCUUUGCAUCCUUUGGAAGAUGCUUGAGAAGCCAUAUGAUGGUCAAACUUCGACAUUCCUUCUAUUUGCGGAACGUGUUUCAAAUGGCCUAUUGGUUUGGCGCGGCCAAUUUUUUCUUUUUUUCCCCCUUUUCCCUCUCUUGGUUUAUGUGUUGACCCUUUAAAAUUUGAAAGUAGUCUUUCAUUUAUUCUUCCUUUAGAGUUAAUCUUUAUUCUUUUAAUUACUAUUUGUUUUAUUUGAGAUGAUUUUUAGAAUGUUUUUUUUUUUUUAUGAUUUCAUCAUUCUUUAGUUUUUUUUCCUACCAAUUCGAUCCUUAUUCUUUUAAUUACUAUUUUUUUCCUUGAUAUUUUUUUCCUGAUUUUAUACUUCAACAUUGAAUUUGUGAAAAAAACAAGCUUUUUAAUUAAGUCUGGAUCUAGGAUUUUACUGAUUGUGAAUUUAGGAGAUUAACCUAAUUUAGAAAAUUCACUCGAGUUUGCUUUUUUUUUUUCUUGAGUCUUUUUAUUUGUUGUUCUAUGUUAAAUUUAUCUUUUUAUAUAUAUAUAUAUAGAAAUCUUGUUUUUGAACUAAAUCAAAUAUAAACAUGAGAUGUUCAUCUCCUGAUCUUUUGUUUAGUUUUACUUUUGGGUCAUUGCUUUGAUAGUGUGUACGGUCUGUUUUGGUUUUGUCAUGGAACAUUUCACAUUGACAUUAUAAUCAUCUUGAUAAGGUCUUUCUGGUGGUUAAACGGUGUCUAUGAUGGAACAAUUUUAGGUGUUUAAUGGGCUUUUCUUUCUUCUCCUCUCGAAUAUCAUAAUGACAACUUAUUUUUUAUGGUUAAUUAUUGUCUUUUUUUCAAAUUAUUUAUGAUGUCUUUUUAAAUCAUAUUAUUAAAAUGAUUGGGCUUAUUGAACUCAGUUGAGUCAAUAAUCUGGAUUUUAUAUUUUUCUUGCUUCUUUAAAAACAUCAACAUCGCCUUAACAUUUUGCUUUUUUACAUUGAGAAAAAUUUAACCCAGCUCAUGGCAUAACAUAGAUCACUUAUCUAGUAUAUAAGAACAAUUAAGGCAAAUUAUAAUACAAUUUCAGCACUAUCAAGCCUCAAGGCUUCUCUUAUUAUUCUUUCUUUUUUUGAAUCUCUUCCUUUUCUUAUAAUGUGAAUCUUGGAAGCAUGUAGAUAUUCCCCCCACCUUUGGACUUUGAGAAAAAACUCUUAAAAAAUUAGAAAUGGUAUUUGACUUGUGCUUGAUCCCUUGGGAAACAUCAAUGGCCAUAAACUAAGAAAGGAAAGUUCAAUAGAGUCAGGAACUUGUUGGAUUCCUGAAUGUCAUACAAGCAACAUAAAUAAUAAAACAAAAUUAUUUAAGAAUCCCUAGAAUAAUGUUAGAUAGAUCUAGAGUUGUUUAGAGAUUUAUCACCUGAAGGUCUGAUCUUUUUUUGCUUUAAAUAAUUCUUUAAAGGCUGGGUUAUCGUAAAUUAUAAGUUAUUCAAUUGUCUGACCUUCAACGGUAAUCCACACGAAUAACUAGCGAAAAAUUUCUUAAAUCUUUAUUUAGGAUAGAGGGAUUACUAUGCUUAAAAUACCAGCUCUAUAUUUUGUGACUUACAUAGUUUUUUUUAUCCAACAAAAAAAAACGAUCUGAAAACAUAAAAAAAAAUAAUUUUUUUUAAAGAAAGAAAAGUUUUUAAAUAUUUAAGAGACACAAUUUCGACCGCGUUCCCAAACAUUAUCUUAGUUGUAUACAUGACGUUUAGAGGAUGACAAUAUAUUUUGAAUUUUAUUUGUGACCCUAAAUGAAUAUUUGAAAGUUCAUUCAUAAAAAUAUACAACUUAUGGUUUUGAUUCAGAAGAGAAAGUUUCAUUGUAAUAUGGAAGGUAGAACUUGCUUCAAAAUACUUAUCACCAUGAUUUAUGUAAUUUGAACUUUUUUGUUUUUGGUAUAAAUGAUAUUGUAUUGAUGAGAAACAAUUUAAGGAUAUAUCAAUAUUGAAUUGGUAUAUACAUUGUGACCGUUUGUUUCCGUCAUUGUGUUUGUUGAUGAAGCAAACCACAAAAAAUCGGUGUUUGGUAAUAAGUGAAACUUGAUUUAUUGUUCAUGGACCCCACUAUUAAUUGCAUUUAAAACGUGGGGUCGUUAAAAGCAGCUCAAUGUUGCUUUCCUCUUAUUCCUAUGGAGUGGAGAGUGACUCCACUAUUCACGUAAACAAUAGAGUCACUCUCCACUGUUCCGGCCAGACCGGGUCGGGUUCGGUCCAGAGCUAAAUGCAUUGAACCGGUCCGACUCAGUAAAAUAAAAAAAAUAAAUUUUAUUUUUUAUUUUUGUAAUUGUGUUUUUAUUAAAAAAAAAAAACUAGUGUUUAUCUGUCCGAUCUAGAGCUAAAUGCAUUGAACCGGGUCUGACCUAGUAAAAUAAAAAAAUUAAAUUAAAAUUAAAAUUUUUAAUUGUGUUUUAUUCGAAAAACUAGUGUUUGACAUUAUAAUGUAUCACUACAUAAAUUAAACAAAGAUUGCUUGAUGAAGUAGCAUUUGUAGAAUUUGAUCGCAAUCCCCAAUUUUGUUCCUGAUUAUAUUUUACCUGAUGUUGUUGUGCGCUUAAGAAACCAAUAAAACUGUAGUCAUUGUCGGAUGUAUUUCAUACGUGAUAGAAUUGUAGAUAGUUUAAUGGAACAAUAAAAAUUAUUUUAUAUAAAGUAUUAUUUAUUUCAUGAUGUAAUUGCAUUAGUUACAUCUACAAUAUUCAAAUUAAAAACCAUCAAUAUUAAUACGUAUUUUUUAAAAUUAUUUUAUAACCUCAAUUUGAAAAUCAUUCUUAACCAAACACAUUAAACUACUUUUUGUUCAACCUUAUUUUUAACUACAGUUUUAACCAAACAUAUAUAAAUAUCAAACCAAUUUCAACUAAAAGUACUUUUUAUAAAACAAUUUUUUUUAAAUCACAACCAUAAAAGCUAUCAUAAUACCAAACUUUCCACCGGGAUAUAUAUAUAUAUAUAUAUACACACACCUUUAGAUGGGAAAGAAGUGUUUAGAAAAAAUGCGUUUAACAAAGUAAAAAUAUAUGGAGUCUCUGGUACAACAAGAAAACCUCUGAUUUCUUGAUGUGCACAGAUCAAGGACUUCGAUGGACUGGACAAAGAGUUAACAAUUUCUUUUCUACGGUAUGGUAUUUGUAUUUUCUGACAAUUGAAAUCUAAUUGCUAUGGCUAUAAAUAUAUGUUCGUAAACUUCACGAUAGUAUUGCUAACAGGGAGGGGAGCUGUUUUAUCCACAUAUGAACUCUUCACUGAACCUCCACUUGACAUUUCCACUUGAGGGCAAGAAGUUUUUGGGUUUAAUUAAACUUUGGAACUAAUCUAAUUAAGCUUGAAAUUAAUUUAAUUAAUCCAAUUAAGGAUUUAAUUGGAAAAUUGUUAAAUUUUUAGAUUUAAUUGAGCUUGGAAUUAAUUUAAUUAAUCCAAUCAAGGGUUUAAUUGGAGAAUUAAUUAAAUUUUGAGACUUAAUUAGGCUUGAAAUUAAUUUAAUUCAUCCAAUCAAGGGUUUAAUUGGAGAAUUGAUACGUUUUGAGAAAAGGGCAGAACCGAAAGGGGGGAAGGAAAAAAGCCAUGAACGGCAGAAAACGAAGACAGAAGAACGAACCAGAAUAGCAAGUUUUUGUUUCUUCUCAAGGAACAGAGAGGAAGAGAAAUAAACAGGGGAUAAACAGGGAGUAGAUAGAGAGAGAAAAAGGAACAAACCAUGGGUACCGAGAGAGGGAGGACCGAAAGCACAGACUAAGAAAAGGAAAGAGCAAAAAGCCAGCAUUCCCAGCUUUGCUUUCGUCCCCAGAACGCAACCAAAGUGAACAAAAGAAAACAAAAAAAAAAAAACAAGCAGAAAAGAGAAGGACCACCAGAGAGCACCAGCAUAAUCAUCGGCUUCCCCUUCUCCAGCGCUAGCUUCCACAGCCAGAGGAAGAAGUUAAAAAGGAGAGGAAUGAACGGCCGACAGAAGGGAACACCGACAGAAGGGGAACGAACAGAAGCAAACCAGGAAAUAAAGAAAGCAAAGAAAAAACAGAGCAGGAGGAAGCAGCGUCGUUCGUCCAGCACAGCACGCCAUUGCCUCCAUCUCGCUCCCAGGUAAGUAUCUCCAAUUUGCAAAAUAACUCCCCAACACUGUGCAUUAGAAAUAUAAUUACAUGCUAACUGUUGCCAGCGUGCAUGAACAAUUCACACACGCUGGCGGAUAAAAAACGUCUGGAUCCAGCCCUAAAAAAAUAAAAAAAAUAAAAAAUAUGUAUGCAUGAAUAAAAAUAAUGUAAAUUUAUUGGUUUAUUUACUGACGCCAGAGUCAGAAGUAAAAAUACUAGUUUAAAUUUAUAUUAUUUUUAUUCGUUGUAUUUUAAUUUUAUUUAGCUAGAAAAAUAAAAAAAAAUAUGUGCAUGCGUAAAAAUAAAUUUUUUUUAUUUACUGGCGCUAGAGUAUGGAAUAAAAAAAUAUUGAUCUAAUUUUUUUUCGUACUACGAAUUUUUACCAACGUUAGAGUUGGAAUUAUUCGAGCUCGAAUAUUCACUGGCGCAGAGUCAGGAAUAUUAUAAACAAAUCAUCAUAGCAUAAACUAAUAAACAUUUAACAAUUUAAACAAAACCAACAAUGCAGUUGUCUUAGGCAGAACAUUUAAAGGGUGAUAAUAUCUUUCCUUUUACGUAACCAAUACCGAGCCAUAGAAUCUCUGUUGACCAGUUAGAGUUCCUAGUGACCAUAAUACUAGUGACGACUCUCAUACAAGACAUUUUUUCCUUUAAAGAACUGGAUGUCAGAAAUUAUUCUUUUCCAUAAUCGAAAAUUAUUUUUAGGGCUAUCGCGAUAUCAGGUGCGACACAACACCAAAACUGGGUCAGAUGGGGCACAUGUUGUAAGAAAUCCAAUUUUUACUUGUUUGAACAUAGGCAGAAGUUUCACAGAAGAAGGCUCGUGCAAAACUUCGCUAGAGAGAAUUCCCAACCAAGGAAAACCAAACAUGGCAGCAAGCAAAGAACCAUACAUAGCAUGACGAGAAAAUACAACAGGAAACAAGACUUUAUCGAAUUGAUUUCCAUCUUAUAAAUUGCAAGAUUUGUCUUCUCAUUCCAGUAAAGGUUGGGACACGGCACGCUGAACCUAAUCUUCCUAAAUCUAAUAACCAGUACAAUCAUGUCAUGACAUCUCGUUAGUGUGCGUUCACCAGGUCUCGAACCCUAUAUCACGCUCUCUUAGAUGCCUUAGCAUUGUAUAUACAUCAUUUCCAAAAACGUGGGUUUUGUAAUCUAUUUUUUAGGAAGAUCUUAUUUUCUAGGCCUGGUUACUCUGCCAAUGAUGGUUCUCUAGCUGGUUCUACCAUCAAAGGCUCUAAUCUCUCAGCUUCGUCAUUUCCUUUAGGUAUGAUGAGACCAUAUCCACCAGCUUUUCUUUUGUAAACAUUAUUUAUCUCACCUGGAAUCAAGCACACAGCAAUUCAGUACCUAUAUAAGUUAACAGAUUGCAGAGGAUAAGUGAAAAACAAAUUGAAACAAGCUGCAUAAGUUCAUACCAGUUUCUUCAUUCCUGAAACCAUAGAAAUCAUGAUCCACAUUUUCCAGCUGCUCAAUAUCUUCCGAGACAGUCAAAGGUGGCAUGUCAAAAAACUUUGAACGAACAACCUGGCAAUCGGUUUAGAAUUUAGAGAGAGAGUCUAUGGCAUACAAGAAUGAUACAUGGAGGUUUGCAGCGAAAUGAACUAACAAAGUUACACAUUGUGGGGAUGUUAUUUAUAUAAUUUCAACUGUUGGUAUCAGUGCAUUGUGUAACAGUCUGUUACCAACAAUAUCGAAAACAAUUGAGGGAAGAUAACAGUGAAAUUUCAAAGUUUAAGGAAGAGUCUUAUCCUGGUUGGCAGACUAACUCUAAGAGCAGAACAUAUAAGGGACAAGCUCCACUCAACAAGAUCUCUAGAUAAGGAGAUAAAGAACUUGAAGUUCAAAUUCCUUGGCAGCAGGGGGGAAGGAAAUUUGAAUUUCUUUUCCCAUUUCUUUAGCUUGUUCUGUUCCAGUUUCUUAAUAUAAAUAACAGCCACUGUUGGCUGCAGUAGGGGCAUCUGAGAGUGAAUUGUGUUAUGUCUUUAGUUAAGAAAUUUAGGAGGUUGGCUACCUUGAAUUAUUCAGAACUAGGAACAAGGCUUGGCUUUGUUAUUUUCUUUCAUUGUAUAAGUUCCAGCAGUGAGUUGUUCAAUUUUCCAGCAGCUAGGCUUGUUACACAGUGGCACCAAGCUGCAAGGAAGAAUUUUCAGUGCCAAGCCAUAAUUUGAAAAGAUUGAGACUCAAAUCCUUUAUGAGCACAAAAUUUGUGUGAAACAAUUUCCUUUCACAGAGUCUAUAAAUGAUUAGCUAAGAGAAUCAACAUGGCAUUAGCCGUGGCACAAGGUAUGAUCCUAAAUUUCUGCAAAUUAGACAUGCCACACUGGUCACUAGAUGGUGGAAUAGGAAAAGCUCUUUAUGGUGUAUAGAUUAUUCUAUGACCAUAUUGAAUGAACUCAUGAACAGAUGAGACCUAAAUUUGGUGAUGCAAAACAAUGCAUAGCAACCAAAUAGAAGCAAAAACAAUAAUGACAACAUAAACAACGAGAUUAAUUUGAUUAAACAGUAAUUUAAGAGAGACAAACCUCUUCGAUGGAGUCCUCAACUUCUUGCUGUGAAACUUCAUCCGCAUCACCCUCCACCACUUGUGGCACUGGUUCUCUAACCUUCAGCCUAUUAAACCCUUUCAUGUGUCUACCAUGAUCAGACUCCUUCUCCUUAAUCUUCCUCAACUUUCUUUGAAUAAUUGACGACACCAGAUCAAUACUUGCAUAGAUUGUCUCAGCAUCUUCCUCUGCUCUCACCACUCCAUGCCUAUUUGUAAACAAAGUCACCUACAAGGAAAACCAGUCCAUGAAGAAAAGAAAAAAACCAAUUUAAAGCAAACCCAAGAGCAUGAAAGCUAACUUUCAAUUAAAAAUGUAAAUGGUACCUCGCAUCUUCUAAUCCUCGGACCUUUCCCCACUCUCCACCUCUAACAGACAAUCUUACAUCAACUUCCCUAACAAGAUGACUAUGUUUUUGAACUGCCUUUCCUACUUUGUCUUCCACAUGUCUCUUAACUGUAUCAGUUAACUAUACCAAACCAAACAUUUUGUUACAUUUACAAUUUGGACAGUAAAUAACAAAAAAAAAUUAAAUCAAAACUUGAAUCAUUUUAAAGAAUUCAAAGACAUAAAGAAUUAGAAAUGUAAAUUUAGAAGUUAGAAUCUUUAGAGAGUUAAAAGCAAAACCUCCAAGUUUUUGCCUUGAAUGAUUAAUUUGACAGAGUGAAGUGGACCAUCCCAUGACAUCUUAACUGAGUAACCACCAUGGGUUAAAGGAGUCCUUGCUGUCCUUCCAAACUCAAUAAAGCUCACAUUUUUGCCUAAAAAACUGGACUUGAGAGAUGAUUUUGGGAUCGGGGUCUUAGUAGAAAUGACUGAAGAAGAAGCUAGUGAAGUCUUAGGUGGUGUUGGUGAUAAUUAGACAAAUGGGUUCUUAAAGCUUGUCUGCAAAGUACCUUCUACAAGAGAAGCCAUUGACAAUUUUUCUUUGAGGUCUGUUUGGAUUGCUGGAAAACGUAGGAAAACGUGAGGUUUUUGGAAAGAUCUCUCUCUGGCAAGAUAAAUGGAUAAGGACACGUCAGCUGAUGGAUGUUCAAUGCUGGGUUUUGUUUGGUCCCCACUAGAUGUGGACUGAAUCUUUAGGCUCAUGAGCCCAGAAAGUUUCAAUCUUCAUGUCUUUAGUGGUAUUAUACAAUGGGGUUAUGGGCUCAAUGUGUUUAAAACACAACUAAGUCAUCUUCUCUAAGAACUCUUUGCUUGACUAAAUGAUUUGCAACAUGAUUCUUCUUUCUAUGAGCAUGUUUAAAACACAUAGAAUGAAGCCUAUUGCAUCCAUUUGAAAUAUCAUUGAAUUUAAUUUGCAGGUGCCAAGAUUAUAUAGCAUUUGUUCCUUUAAUAUAGGUAAUGGCAUUGUAAGAAUUUGACUCUACAACCAAUUGAUUUGUAGAAGCAUGGCAGCAAUCAAUACUAAAAAGCAGCCUUUUGAAUUACCAAAACUUCAGCUUCAUUAGAUUUCAUAUUACUCGUGGAACAAGAAAAAAAAACAAAGAAAUCUCCUUUCACAAUCUCUAAGGACACCAUCGAUUCUUGAUGGUCUUGGUUUGCAACUUGACGACGCGGUAACAUUCCACUUCAGCACACCUGAUAUGAGGUAGCAAAGAAGAACCAUUUAUGUUGUUAGUCCACGUGAAAUUCUGACAUAAAUAAAUAAUCAAAUGAAAAUUCAGAUAGAAAAUUUUAUUUCCUUCCACAUAUAAGCUAAGCUGGAAGAAAUCUACCGAUUACCUGUUGAAAUGAUGAUAGAGCUCAUAACUAACAAAUAGGGGUUUUUUCAGAACAUGGAACAAAAAUCUCUCCCUUCUUCCUUGAUAAGCAGCUGGCCAGCCCGAUGAGAAAAAAAGAAAAGGAAGCUUUGAAUUUUUCUUCUCUUUUAUCUUUUUUUUUCCACUUAAAUGAAGAGUAGGAAGUGAGCGAUUGGGUUCUUUCCUUGUUUUCUUGGAAAAUCAAGUGUGUGGGAUAGUGUUUAGGAGAGGGAAAGUGAGAAAUAAGUAAUUGAAGUAAAGUAUAAUGAAGGGAAAAGGAGAAUUGAGGAAAAAACUUGCUAGAAAAGUGUCAAAUGAGGUUCAAAAGUACUCCUAGGUAAGAUAUCAUACCUCUCUAAUUUUUAUCAAUUUAUGUAUAGGAAAGGAAAUUAUGAUUUUCUACUCUAUGGUUUCAUAAACUUCGAGAAAUUGGUAACGUAAUUGUAAAUUGUUGAUUUUGGGUAGGAGGUGAGCUUAACUAUUAGAAAUGUCAUAACUUAUUUAUAGGUUAUUCCCUUUAAAAUUUACCGUUUACCCUUUUAAAAUAAAAACUAAAAAGGAGACUAUGAUUUUGACUGAGCUUGAAGUAAGAUUAAACUGCAACUUUGAAUGAAUUGGGACCCCAAUUGUACCCUAAAACUAAAAAGACAAAGCAUAUUGGGGGGGGGAUAAAAAAAUAGAGGAAAAACAAAACAAUAAAAAAAAGAAUUGAAAAGAGAGAAAAACAGAAAGGAAAGAGAGCCUAGUUAAAGAUUAUUACCCACAUGAUAAUCAACAAUGCACAAUCUCUCAAACUAUAUAGUGCAAUUUUAUUUUUUUUUAAUUCGAGGAAACCCUACCUCUCGAAAAGUGCACUUUAUGGAUCCAGAUGAACGAGUAAAACCCUAGCUGUCCCAGGUUUUUAUAAGAGAUGCAUGCCUUGACUUGAAUUCAAGACUUGCUAUGCAGAUUUCAAGCCCCUUGUCACCACAUCACGCCCCUUGUUUCUCGUAGAAUUAAAUCGCUUGUGCAUGGGUUCUCACUCUGUUCCUGGUUUAUUAAAUCUCUUGGCAUGACCUCUUUCAUUGGUGGCUCGCCCCAUGCGAUUAAUAUUCAUGUGGAUUCCCCAAAGUAGCAUUUGAAUUCUGUAAAUUACCUUCCUUUUUGUUCAAUUUCCUAUGUCUUAAAAAUUUUGUGAUUGACGGAAGCCUAAUUAAGUAGACAACAUUGUAGUUUCGAUAUGCCAUAAUUUUUAUCUGAAUGUCCGAUUGAGGCUUGUGAAAACAAUGUAAAAAAAAAAAGAGAAGGGAAUUUUAACUAGUUUGAAGAGUUUGAAGUGUGCCACGUACAAUGGCUAAUUUUAUCCUGAAAAUUCCCAUUUUGAUAUGUGAGGCUAAGGCAAAUAGAAUAGUUCCUAAUAAACAUUUCAUCCAAGUUUUGAAAUUCGGCCCGACUUGGCAGGUCGACCCGUGACCCGGACGACCCAGGACUGGAAUAAAGUCGGGUUGAAAAAAAAACAAAAGAAGGAAAAACCCGGUGUGACUCGGCGACCCAGUCAAGACCCGGCUUCAAACCUGUUGACUUUUAUUUUGUUUUUAUUUUUGUUUUAUUAAAACGACGUCGUUUUGAUUUUAAAAAAAUGGAUCCAACCGACCCGGCGACCCGGUUAAGACCCGAAACCCGGGCCGACCACCAGGCCGGGUCUUAAAAAUAUGAUUUCAUCUAACACAAACACAUAAUUAAAGCAAAACAUUCAUGAAUCUUUGGCAGAAUGUCGAUAGUUACUGGCCUUAGAGAGCAUAUUGUUAGAACCACUUAGGUGGAGAUUAGUGGUUCGGUCUAUGCCAUUAAGGUUACAGAGAAACCAUGCUUAGAGGUUAAUUCAAGUAGGUUUGAUAAAAAGAAGGUUGUGGAAAAUUGGGCUGGGAAGUUGAAUCCUUCCAACUUUGAUACUUUAGAAUCCUCCCAACAUGAUUCUCUCAAAUCAUCAUAUGCUGCUGCUGAGUAAUUUUGUUCUGAGGAGCCAAUGGAAAGCUGGAAUAGAUGGAGCAAAAAUUGAUGACACGAAUGAGACUGCUGUAUGUAGCCAUGGUAUGGAUAGGGAAUUCUCUUUUUGUGAUCCUGGGUGAACAUGUACUGCCUGAAAGAAUUAACAAGAAGGGUACUUUGAAUGUUGAUUUGCUUUCUCCAGAGAAAGGGUUCUUUGAGGAAAUCUGUUGCUGAGACCCUUGAGGAGACAGAAACAACCGAUAGCGACCCGAUAAAUGCAACACUGCACUAACAAGCUUCCCUGCUACCAUAGCUGCUAUAAAAAGCAAUGGAGUCCAAAUUGUUGAAAAGCAGUCAGAGGAAAAUUUAAAUAUUGAUGGUGGGCUUAUCUAUAAUGUAUUGGGCUAGAGGAAAACACACUCUCAAUAGUUCCUGUUGACAUACAUGAGCCUCUGUUAAAUACUUACUAUAAGGCUUCGGACCAACAACUGAUCUCAUUCAUGCUUAAAUGACCCGGUGAAAUAUAAUAAAAACAAGAUGUUUGAGGUCUUCAUCACACCUAUAGCAGAACCAGAUGAGAUAGCUGAACUAGAGAAGGAAAAGAAGAGAAGUUCGAACAAAAGAAAGAAGAAACUUUCCUUAAAACCAGCUACUCGUGAGGGGAGAACAUCAAGAAGUAGAAAAGAGAAGUCUGCUAACCUGGAAAUCACUGAAAUGUCUAUCUCAGAUGGUGAAAUCAGAAACAGAAACAGAAACAAGGCUAUACGCUCUGGCAUGGACAUUAAUGUAAUGGAGAAGGGGAUCAUUUCCCCUCGGCGACUGGAGCAACAACCACCUGUUGAUAGUAGAAUGGAAGCUAAAGCUUGCUGGGAGGUUGGAAAGGCCAUUCUUUAGCUAGAUGAUGAUAGGGAUCAGAUUGUGGACACCUUGAAGGUUUUCAUAGAUAAAGAGCGGGAGGAUUGGAAAGGAAGGUUGGAGUAACAGUAAUGCUCCACUAAGAUAUUCUAGAUCCUGGUAUGUUGUUCCCUCAGUUGGUCUUUCUGGGGCCUGCUUUCUAUAUGGAAUUCUCCCAGCUUUAAUGUCACGAAUACAAUGGUAGGAUAUUGCAUAUAGAAAGAGUCUUUACAUAGUACAAUACUGAUUGAGUGCUAUUUAUGGAUUAUUCCUCAAAGAAAGAAUUGAGGAGCUAUCUGGUGAAUUUCAAAUGUAACAUUUCUAAGCCAUGGUGCCUUGUUGGGGAUUUUAAUGAGACUAUCUCUCCUUCAGAUCGUAAGGGUGGGAUAAAUAUUACUUGUUCUAUGAAAGCAUUUCAAUAAUGUUACAUGGAUAUCCUUUCUACUAACUACAACCUUCUGUUAAAUUAUCUAUAUCUGAUAACUCUGUCAUAUCCCCUGUUCACGAAACAUUGCACACCAAGCAACUAGGUGUUUCCUUCGGAUGUUUGGUUCUAUGGUAUUCUGGGUUUCUUCUGCAGCAUGUUAUUGAAUCUAUGGUGUUCUGAGUUGCUUCCUUUUGAGAAGAAUUAAUUUUUUAUUUAUACCGAACAGGUUGUUAUACAUAGUGAAAGCUUGAGCCAUAAUAUUGGCAGGAUUGCCGGUAGCACUGGGAAGCAGAAUUGUUGUCCCCUGAAAAAAGAAAAAAAGAAGGGACAGAAGGAAAAGAAGAACAAACAUCAGAAAUUGUAAACUAACUGUUUAUCAAACCAGACAAUCACAAGCACAUUUGAAUAAAUCUCCUCACCUCUUUGGCAAUGUUACCAAAAGCUCCCACAUAUUGCUCAGCAAUUUUCAAGCUAGCCGCCUGCAAAUCAUGCCACAAACGUGAGCCUUGAUGCAAAUAAGAUAUGCAUGUCACAGUUGAUUGUCUUGUGAACGCUAAAAUGCAAGAAUCACAAAUCACAUGUGGUAUAAAACACUUGCAAAAUCACUAAUAUAUCUUGUUUACACAACCACAUCAAAAUCUACAUGGAGAACCUCACCUCAAUCCCCCCACUCUUUUUAAUAUUCUCUGACACAAUGGCAAUUCCUUUGGCUGUUGCUUGUGCUUUAGCAAUGAUGGCUUCAGCCUCACCUAAAAUAUUAUCGAUAAGGAUUUAAAAGUAUAUGAGAUUGGCAGCCGAUCAUAUGAGAACUAUAUAAAGAUAAGCCAUGAUAUUGCCCGAUCAAGUCUGGUUGGUUAUCAAAUAUUGUAGAGUAGCUAAUGGGUCUAGAAAAUGAAAAACUAGAGCAUCCAAAAAUAAACAAUCCAGGAGACUAGAAGAGCAAAUUAAGAGCCAAACCUAUUUUAAGUGCAACUAGGUACCAGCACUACCAUGUAAAAGCUUCAACAGAUAUGAAAAGUCAUAUAAUAACAAAUAUGUUCUCACAUCACGUGGUUUGUUUAAAAAGUAAUACUUGAGAUGCUACAGCCAUCUCCAAUGAAACCCAAUCAUAAUCAGUGGAUCAUUGCACAUAUACACAAGGAUAUACGAAAGACAAGGAUUGAAAGAAAAUUGAGAUUAGCUGCCUACAAAAUAACUGUAACAAGAUAAGCCAUCAUAUCACCUCAUGAAUUUUGUUUGCUUAUCUACUAAUUUGGAACAGCUUAUGGGUCUAGAAAAUGAAAUAGAGGAGCAUCAAUUGAUUAUUGCACAGCAGAGAGACAUGAUAAAGCUAACCUUGUGCUUUGUUGAUGAGAGCUUGUUUCUCUCCUGUUGAGGAAGAGAGUUCCAAUGAAGAAAUGAUGGCAAUUGGAUGAUAAACAUUAAAGAAGUAAAACAAGUUCUAUUUCAAAAAAAUACCAGAGAAGUUACAACCAUCUCCAAUGAAACUUGUAACCAACAGAAUUCUAACAACACACAAGAAAACUAACCUUGUGAUGCCAAGAUCUGAGCACUCUUAUGACCAUCAGCAAUAUUAAUAUUGGCCUGUCUCUCUCCUGUUAAAAAUAAUCAAUACAAAAGAUUAUCAAUGGAUUGACAAAUGAAGAAAUAUUGCAAUGCCUCAAUAGAGUUUUUAUUAAAGAAUUGAGAAAAUCGAGACUAAUGUUCUCUGAACAUGAAAAACAAUGAGAGAACGGCAUGAUUUUUAUAAUUUCUAAUUUUAAUUUCUUGAGUUAGAGAGCUUAGAUUUAUAUAAAAGUGAGGUUUUACAAUUCAUGAAUAAUAAGACAAUUUAAUCAUAUUUAAUCAGAAAAACAAUAGGAUUAGAGGAUAAAAAGUAAUUUAAAUUACUUUGAUUGUUCGAACCAAUUCGGGUAGUAAAUUUUUUAAGGUUUCGGAGAAGAGGUAAUUCAGAGAGAAUUACCUCAUAUUUAUUUGAGAUAAUUCAUGUAAAAUUCAAAAACUUAAGUCAUCCAAAUUAUAGUUCUAAUUUAUUUGUAAGGUUUUAGAAAUAAUGAGAUUGUAAUUUUUUUUAGUAAAAAAUUUCUUGAGCCUAGUUUUAUUAAUCCAUAUUUUUAAUGAAUUUAUUUUAAAAAAUUAAUGGGGCAAUGGUAAGAACAAUAUUAAUUUUGGAUUACCUAAUUUUUUCAAAAUAGGGUUUAUACGUACUGCUAUAAAUUGAUAAUAAUAUUUGCAUCUUAGAAAAAACAUUUGAUCGUAAAUCCUCUAUUACUUUUGUAUUGCAUUAAUUACUGCUUGGAUCGACACGAAGGUAUAGAGCUAAGCAAGUUAGCUAGUAACACUUGAGGGUCUAGCUCAUUGGUCAAUUGCAAGGCUUGUUUGUGAAGGUCCUAGGUUCGAUCCUCAAGAGUACCAGCCUGUCACCCCUGCGAUGCCUUACUUGCCUACUGGGCUUGCAGGAUGUUUAGUAGGCCAUGAGAUUAGUUGUGGUGCUCGUAAGCUGGCCCGGACACCCAGGGUUAUCAAAAAAAAAAAAGUUAGCUAGUAAUUUAACUGAUAAUAAUUAAGUAUUAUAAAGUGUGAAUCAAGAAAAAGAACAUUUCUAGUUUGAAUCUUAUCACUUAGAUUUCCCAACUUGCAUAUUACAUAUAAGUAUGUGAUUGAUUAAAAAUCUCGAGUUGAUAAAUUUUUUACCGUGAUUUAGCUCGCGAAAGUGGUCCCUCACUCGCAGGCUAUGUCAGGAGUGAGUCCACGCUAUGUAUAUAAGAAGAAGAAAAAACGAAGGUAUGGAGCUCUAUGUAUCCUUAUUAUUGGUAAAGGUUUAUAUUUAUGUGGAAAAGUGGUUAUCUCUUACAUGAACUUUGGUAGAAUGCAAAUGUGAUUCAUAUGUGCUCCCGGCGAAUAUCUCAACCUUCUUACGUGAUGCUGAAUACAUAAAAAUAGGAGAACGAAGCGAAGAAGGAUUUAAUUACAAAAACUACAAUCAAACUAAAUCUCUAAGAUAUAAUUUACAAAUCAAGCUUUAAUUGUUUUGAUUCCGAAUCCUAACAAGACUAGCCACCAAAUUACAUAUUCGGUUUUUUUUUUCUUUUUUUUCCAGUUGCAAUUUGCGGCGGCAUCCCAUUUCCAGGAGCUAAGCCUCAACAAGGUUGCUUAUUCACAUUACUAUUUUGCAUGCAUAAAUCUAUGCUAGAAAUAUUUGGAACUAAUUACUUUGCCAACGCUUCUGUUUGCAUGAUAACACUGCCCAAAAGUAGGCAAGGAACAGAGCAUUAGAGUUGGUUGUGAAACGAGGACAGCGCCUGGUUGAUCCGAGUGAUGGAGAAAAAGUGGAUGAUUGGAGUUCUCCCAUGCUUCUGAGGUCUUGAAAGAGUUCGACAGCGCCUGUUUUAUUCAAGAAGCUUUUGGUCUUCGUCACCAGGCAUGAGGUAUUUUAGUUGUAUGGAUUCCUAGCUUCUCAGAACUAGAGCUCUGAUACUAUAAAGAAAAUGAUAAUGCAAAUGUUUUCUGUAUUUUCUUUUUUCAAUAUUGCAAAGCUGUACGACAGAUAUAUGCAGUUUACAUACAAUCUGAUCCACCAUUCUAGGAGCUAUUCUAGGAUUAACUUUGAUAGACUGUUAAAGAAUCGAAAUGUCAAAGCAACCAAUCUCUUCACGGCGAAUUGUACUUCACAUAAAAAGCGCACUCCUAAAUAAAUAAAUAAUGUGAAUACACUAAGAAAGGGUGAUUGAAGUAAAUAUGCAACAACUGCUGCAUGCAUUGGUUCUUUUUUUAUAGAUGUAACACCCAAACCUUGCAUCAAAGUUAACAAAAAAAAAAAAAACACGCAAAUUAAGUGACUCGAAAAUAUUCCAUGUAUCGAAUAAAGCUAAUAAUAAAAAUAAAAUUAAAACACAACCAUGAAGGAAAACAGAAGCAGUACGAAAGAGGAAUCCAAUUCUCUGAAUCUGCCACUCUAGCGUUCUUCUCAUGUCAACCUCCACUUGGUAUCUCAUAAGGUAGCGAGAAUGUUUAUUCCAAACUUCACUGCAAUAGAGAAACAUACAAAUAAUUUUUUUUAUUUAAUGAAUCCGAAAGCGAAAGAAAAGACUAAUAAAAGGAAAUAGCACAGAAAAAAUAGCAUAAACUCACUACCAGAAAAUCGCUAAAUACCAACGGACAUACCGACGGAAUUUUUUCUGUCGGUAUUUCUCGGCCGAAAUCACCGACGGCAAAUAUUCGUCGGUAAUUACCGACGGACAUAGUCCGUCGGUAAUUACCGACCGAAAAUUCAGAAUCAAUGAAAAAAGGGCGGGCAGUGGCGCGGAGGGUUUGGCGGGUGAUUUUUCCGACGGAAUCACCGACGGAAUUAAAAACUGGAGCCCGUACGCGUGUUGGGACCUAUUCACCAACAAAAAAUACCGACGGAAUCACCGACGGAUUUGAAAUGCCAGAUCCGUACCGGUGACGUGACGGGUGCACCGUUAAAACUACCGACGGAAUCACCGAGGGAUUUGAAUAGCAGGUCCGUGCGGUGACGUGUCGAUUGCCCGUCAUAAUUACCGACGGUUUCGCCGACGGAUUCACCGACGGAAUAAAACCCGUCGGUAAGUCCGUCGGUAAAAGUGAAUAUAUGGCCCCUCUGCCGACACUCUCCUCCCCCAUUUCUCCUUCUUCUUCCUAAUCCUAACCCUCCCCAUCUGCAAAAUAACCAGCCCCCCCUCGCCCCAAAACAAAAUCUUUCUCAUCUCAGCUCAACAAGUUGUAUUUGUUUUGUGGUCACAGCAUCCGUGUUCUGAUUUAGCGACGGAUUUUAUCAUUUUUUGUAAGUAAUUCUAUAUUUUAAAAUUUUAACAUUUAAAUGUUAAUUUUAUUGUUUUUUUAGUAUAUGUAUUAUUUUUUAGUAGAUGUACAUGUUUUAUUGUUAUUUCUCAAACAAACUUGUAGUAUAUGAAUGUAUAAUUUUAUACUUGUUAUGGUUUGUUUUAGAUUUUGUAAGAUUGUAUUUGUUUGAAAAUUGUUAAAACUUAAUUUGUAGAAUUACCGAAUUACAUGUUGUGUUUUGAAAUAAUUAAGAGCUUGCUUAAUUAAUGGGUCCUUUUUAUAGAGGUUCGAUAGAAGUCAUGGAUGAUCGUUCAUGGAUGUAUCUAGAUUCACCCCAAGGAUUGCGGAGGAUGGAUUAUUGUAACGGGGUUCAGGGUUUUAUUAAUUUCGCAACAUCUAUUCCCAGAAAUUUUACUGGAGGCGGUAUUAGGUGUCCAUGCAGGAAGUGUCAAAAUAAAAAGUAUCUGCAUCCAGAUGUUGUAAUGAUGCAUCUUCUACACAAAGGGUUUGUGGAGGAUUACGAGUGUUGGUAUGCACAUGGAGAGGUAUUUGUUAGUAAUAGGAGAAUGGAGAAACGGUGGUUGGGUCAACUUCUAGUGCUAGCAACGUGCAUGAAGCGGCAAAUGACAACACUAAUCCUUACAGAAACAUGGUUAUGGAUGCAAUGAGAAUGAAUCAAGAUAAUGUCAAUCAAUGUCCAAUCGUAGAAGAAGAACCUAAUGCAGAGGCAGCUAGGUUUUUUGAUUUGUUGAAAGAUUCUGACGAACCAUUAUGGGAUGGCUGCACAAACCACAGUAAAUUAUCGGCUGUGGCACAGGUGUUCACCAUCAAGUCAGGUCACGGGUUGAGUGAGGCCGGGUAUGACAAAAUUAUUGAUUGGGCAAGAAGCAUUUUACCAGAAGGGAACAGGCUCAAAGAGAACUUCUAUGCUGCGAAGUCCAUGAUGAAACCCCUCGGUUUAGGAUACCAGAAAAUUGACAUGUGCCCUAACUUCUGCAUGUUAUACUACCUUGAAAAUGAUGUGAUGACCGAGUGCAUGACAUGCGGGCAUUCUCGUUACAAACCCAGAACUGGCAGGGGGAAGACUCUAGUGGCAUAUAAAAAACUUAGAUAUUUCCCGAUCACACCUAGACUACAGAGGUUAUUUAUGUCACCAAGGACUGCUGAGCACAUGACAUGGCACCAAACACACGAUGUCGUUGAUGGUGUGAUGGCGCAUCCUUCUGACGGCGAACAUUUGUCUCAUGUAAUUUAGAUUAUUGAUGAUGUAUUUUGUAAAACAAAAUAUUUAUUGUUUAAGCAAUGUGGUUAUUGUUUUAUGUGAUAGACAGUUUAUCAGUUAAGUUAUUGCAGGAAGGUAAACAGGCAAUACAAAGACAACCUUUCCUGCAUAAUGCCACAAUCACCGACGUCAAUACCGACGGAUCGCCAUCCGUCGGUAUCUCACAGAGAGUUCGUAAAUAUUUACGAGAAAAGCCACCAACACCGACGAAAUUACCGACGGCUUCACCGACAACUAUACCGACGGAAUGAAAUCCGUCGGCAUCUCACAGUGAGCUCGAAAAAAUCCACCACCAUCGACGGAUUACCGACGGAACAUAUCCGUCGGCAUCUCACAGUAAGCUCGAAAACAUCCACCACCAUCGACGGAUACCGACGGAAUAAUCCGUCGGCAUCUCACAGUAAGCUCGAAAACAUAACACCACCAUCGACGGGAUUACCGACGGCGUAGGUCCGUCGGUAAUUUGUCGGUUACCAUUACCGACAGAAUUACCGACGGACCGCGCGUUUUCCAAAGUGCGUUAAUUAAUGCGCCUCUGAACUUGUCAGAUUACCGACGGAAUCACCGACGGACUGCGAAAAUUUUGGAGGGCUUUUAAAAAUUCGGGGCGAAAUUCGAAAAAUACCGACGGAAUUUUGACCUUUACCGACGGAUUUGACCUUUACCGACGGAUGUUAAUUCCGUCGGGAUUCCGUCGGUAAAAUUGACCUAUAAGUUCCACCCCGCCGCUUCGCCUCAUUUUUUCUUCUUCUCCCCGCCGCUUCUUCUCUUCUCCUCCGUUUUUCAGCCUAGAUUUUUCAUUUUUUUCCCCCUCAAUCCUUAAACACUUUCACCUUUAAUCUCUAGCAAGAUUUGGUGUUGUAAAUCUUCAUUAUAUUAAAAGGUAUGUGUUUUUUUUCUAAUUUAUUUUAUUUUAUUUUAUUUUUAGUUGUUUUUAUUUUUGUUGUGUUGGUGUUUUUUGUUGCAAUGUAGAUAAAGUUUUGAAUUUGACACAUUAUUAAGGUAUGUAUAUUUCGUUCCUUUUUUUUUUUUUGAAUAUUUUUUGAAUUUGUUGAAUAUUUGUUAAUUUAAUUGUUGAAUAAUUGAAUUUAAUUGUUGAAUUUAUUGAAUAUUUUUUGUUGUUGUGUUGUUAGAAUUUUAUUAGGUAAUUUAACUUAGAAUUAGUUAAAGUUGAAUUUUUUGAAUUUUUUUGAAUUUUUUGAAUUUGUUGAAUAUUUGUUAAUUUAAUUGUUGAAUAAUUGAAUUUAAUUGUUGAAUUUAUUGAAUAUUUUUUGUUGUUGUGUUGUUAGAAUUGUUAUUAGUUAAUUUAACUUAGAAUUAGUUAAAGUUGAAUUUUUUUUGAAUUUUUUGAAUUUGUUGAAUAUUUGUUAAUUUAAUUGUUGAAUAAUUGAAUUUAAUUGUUGAUUUAUUGAAUAUUUUUUGUUGUUGUGUUGUUAGAAUUGUUAUUAGUUAAUUUAACUUAGAAUUAGUUAAAGUUGAAUUUUGAAUAUUUUUUGAAUAUUUGUUAAUUUAAUUGUUGAAUAAUUGAAUUUAAUUGUUGGAUUUAUUGAAUAUUUUUUGUUGUUGUGUUGUUAGAAUUGUUAUUAGUUAAUUUAACUUAGAAUUAGUUAAAGUUGAAUUUUUGAAUUUUUUUAUUUUUGAAUUUGUUGAAUAUUUGUUAAUUUAAUUGUUGAAUAAUUGAAUUUAAUUGUUGGAUUUAUUGAAUAUUUUUUGUUGUUGUGUUGUUAGAAUUGUUAUUAGUUAAUUUAACUUAGAAUUAGUUAAAGUUGAAUAUUUGAUAUUUUUUGAAUUUUUUGAAUUUGUUGAAUUAUAAUUGUUAAUGUUGUAAUUGUUAAUUUGUUGAAGUAUAAUUUGUUGAAUUUAUUGAAUUUAUUUUUUGUUAUAUUUUUUAUUGUUUUGAAUAUAAUUAUUGAUUAAUUUGUGAAUUGUAAUUGUUAACGUUGAAUAAUUAGUAUAGAUUGGUUCGAUUGGUUGUGGCUAUUGUUAAUAUUUGCAGGUUUGUGGAUUUGGGUAGUAUCCAGUAUAGGGGAGGUGCUGCCGAUUUUUUUUUAACUUUUGAAUUUUAUUUUACAAUUAUUAAUAUAAAAUUGUUUAGAUGCGCAAAAUGAAAACCAGAGCUGGUCGUCCAGUCGAAUCAAGUUCGUCUAGCAGCGAUGAUGAUGUUUCCUUAGGUGCCUCUCAAGAAGAGGCACCUACACCACCUGCGCCGUCAACCGAUGCUGCCUCUUCCAGCGAUGUUUCACAUCGCAGACGCGGCAUGCCUUCGAAGCGGAAUCAAUUUACCCGCUAGUUCGAGGCACAGUGGAAGGACGAUCUUUCAAUGUAAGUUUGUUAAUUUUUAGUUUUUUUUAUAUAAAAAAAAUAAAUUUAAAACAUAAUUUAUGAAGUAAUCACAAAUUAAUUUCAUUUCUUUUCAGGUUCACAAACAUUGAGGCCGCCCGAUUAAUAUCAUCGGCGUUUAAAGCGUCGAUGGAGAUUCCAUUGUUUCAAUGGAGUCAGAUAUCCAGACAUCCUGAAUGGAUGCCUCAAAUCAAUGCAUGGUUUCGUAGAUUUGAGGUUCGUGUUAAUAUAUAAUUUUCAGCUUAUUUCUAAUUAUAAAUUCAUGUUAUAAUUGUAAAUAAAUUAUUAACAUUUUAAAAAAUUAUUUUUUUAUAUACAGCAUCGAUUCUGCUGGGACGAUGAACAUGACAGUGUUGUGAGGAGGGUGUGGGAAAAUCACGCGGCAAUUAGGUAACAUCGAAAACAAUACGACUUUUUUUUACAUAAUUAUUUAUGUUUUGAAAUGUAAUUUUUUCGUGCGUGAAUUAGGUUGCGUGAUUUUUGGUAUGACGCCCAGAAAAAAGCAAAAAAAACAGCGAGGGAUAAGGGGUUACAAGGCUGGAACGAUGUUGCGGUUUGGAGGGAUUUCAAACCAAUAUACAUCCCGGAAGAUAUAUGGCCGCACUAUCUUCAGCACGUGACGUCUGAGCGGUUCACUCGACGCUCACAGUCCGGUGCCGGCAACCGGAAUCGGCAAAUUCAUGGCUCGGUUACAACGCACACCGGCGGCUCCGUUCCGUUUGCUGCACAUGCGAAACGGAUGGUAAGAUUAAUUUAAAUGAAAUAUAUCGUUCAAUUAAUUUGUUGUUAAUACAUUUUUUUCAUUAUAUAUAGGCUACGUCUCUUGGACGUGAGCCGAGCCCUAUGGAGCUGUUUGUGGAGACGCACGUGCGGAGUCAUGACCGCCAAAAGGGGACGCAACAGUUCGUUGACAACCGUGCUCAACAGUUUGUGGUGUGUUUGUUUAACCAUUUUAUUUUGUAAGUUAUUAUUAUGUUUAUUGAAUUGAAUAUGAUUUUUUUUUUCAGGAGACCUAUAAUAAUCGGUUGAGGGAGAGAUACGGGGAUGAUCCUUCGACCCAUCCGGAAUUCGAUCCGGAUUUGUGGAUGGAGGCUGGAUCGUCAGGUGGACCCGAUAAAAAUCGGGUUUACGGGCUCUCCAACACUACCGCUGCCAAGUUGCGGUCGACCGGUACUGCUUCAACCGGUGGGAGCUCCCAAUCUGUAUCGAGCUCCCAAUCUAAGGAGUUUGUGGCCUUGCAGCAAAGGUGCGACCACCUAUCAGAGGCGUACACACAACUCAAAGAAGAGCAAAGAUUGGCGAACGAACAACACAGAUUGGCGGACGAACAACGCAGAGCAGAGUCUGAACAACAAAGAGCGGCCUAUGAAGAGCUUCGUCAAAUGGUCAUGAACAUGACACAAGGCGGAACAUGUGCGCCUAAUCCUUUUUGGCCGCCUAACCCCCACCCUCCUCCUCCUCCUCCUCCUCCACCUUUAUAUUAAUUGUUUUUUUUUAAACACAUUCAUUUUGUAAUGAAUAUUAUUUAACUUUGAGUUUUUGUUGCUUAAUAUAAAUUUUAUUUGCAUAAUUGGUUUGUAUUACUAUUAAUUUAUAUUAUUUUUUCUAAAUAAUUAAAAAAAAAAAUUACACAGGGAUUUACCGACGGAAUAAAUCCGUCGGCAUUGGACAGUGUCUGAGGUAUGCCAUCCCAUCACCGACAUACUCACCGACGGACAUAAUCCGUCGGUAUAAAAUACCGACGAAUUUACAGACGGAUUUAUUCGGUCGGUAUGAAAUAUCACCGACACUUUUGCCGACGGAGUUAGUCCGUCGGUAUUUAUAACACCGACGGAAUAUUCCGUCGGUAUAUUCCAAGCGGGAAACUUUUUUUUUUUGGCGCGCAGGGCCGUCGGUAAAUGUGUUUUUUUUAUUACCGACCGAUAUAGCGACGGAAUGUGGAAUCACCGACAAAAGGUAUUCCGACGGGAGUAUUCCGUCGGUAAUAUAGUCGGUAAAUACUUUACCGACGAACGUUCUGUCACACACCGACGGAAUAUGUCCGUCGGUAAAACUGUGAAAUCUUGUAGUGACUGUUGCACGUAAAACCUUAAGAUUUCAAAUGUUUGCAUAACUUACCUCAUGUUACUAGCUCCGUUGUUUAGUUUCUUCUUGCACCAUUCCUACGAGCAUUCUUCUUCGUUCUUCUUGCCUUCAGAUUCCAUAGAUCUUCAACCACUUUCAGAAACCAUGCUGGUUUUCUUGUUCUGAACACAACGUAUCCCAUUGUGACUCCAAACACAAACCCACUUCCAUAUCCUAUUGCCACAGCUUUCCAUCCAAAUCCUUCUUCAAAGAAUUUUGAAUCAUCUCCAUCGUGAAAGUCUGAUGGCUGCAAUGGUGGUGCCUCGUCACUAUUGCAUUCUUUUGGCAUGGGGAAUCCAUAUAAGUCCAAGUUUCCUUCAAAUGAGCUUGCAUUGAACGUGCUGAACUGCGUUCCCCCGGGUACGGGCCCCUCAAGCUGGUUAUGUGAAAGGUUUAUGACUGCAAGAUAUGUUAGAUGUGCCAACUGUACUGGAAUCCUUCCAGUAAGCAAAUUCGAAGACAAAUCUAAUGAUUCCAGAUUGGUCAACAUUCCUAAUGAUGAUUGAAUAUGGCCUGUAAGGGAAUUAUGAGAGAAAUUGAGUUGUUGAAGUUCUUUAAGCUUUCCGAUCAUCUUUGGAAUUUCUCCGAUGAAACUGUUGUUUGACAAAUCAAGUAUUCUAAGAGUGCUUUGGAUUUUCUUGAACUCAUACUCAACCCCUUUCCAUGUCACUUUUAUGGAAUAGUCCAUCAUGUAAAAUGAAUUUGGAUCAGAGGCCAUCAUUGCUUCAAACCUAUUGAAAUACCCUAUUGGUAAAGGUCCCCUCAAAUUAUUGUUGGAGAUGUCAAAGAUUUGCAAUUUGGAGAAGGAAUUAUUAGCAGUCGGAUCAUUCACAAAACCAUGGAGCUGAUUGGACUUUAGGACAAGGAUAUACAGCUCUGGAAGCGUUUCUAGAAAAUAGGGAAAUGUGUCCUCAAUUUUAUUGUCACUAAGAUCAAGAACUUGUAGCAUUAUGCAGUUGAUGAUAGACGAUGGUAUUUUCCCUUCCAAUUCAUUGCCACUUAGCUUGAGAUAUACCAGGUUAUUCCCUUUUGAAAAUGGUGAAAAGAUAGUGCCUCGAAGAUUAUUCAUGCCAAGAUUUAAAAGUGAGAGAGAGUUGCUAAAGUUCCCUAAACAUUGUGGUAUAAAACCACUGAAGCUGUUAUUAGACAAAUCAAGGACUCGAAGGAAUUUAAGCUUGCAAAUAGAAGAAGAAAUUUCACCUGUCAAUUUACUGUUGGAUGCAAGAACAAGGGCUUCCAGGUUCUCUUGUUUGAAAAUUGAACUUGGGAUUGGACCUUGCAAGUUGUUGUUUCGUAAAUCAAACAAUUUCAAUGAACGAGUACUGAUUUGAGAAGGGAUAGGUCCUGAGAGUUGAUUCUUGGAUAAAUCUAAAUAUUCAAGGAGGGUAAGGUUACCUAAAAAAUCUGGAAUCCUACCUGAAAAAUUAUUCUUACCGAGAUAUAAGGUUUGAAGUUGCGUAAGGUUUUUAAAUGAUGAUGGAAUCUCACCACUUAAAUUGUUACCUAGAAGGUCUAACCUAGUAAGCUCUGUGAGAUGACCAAUCAGGGUCAGAUUUGACCUUGUGAUAUUACAUUCUCUAAGAACCAGAACUUCCAACAACUUUAGAUUUGUGAAGAAGUCAUUUUCUAAAUAAACUGAAAUUGUAGAAUGAGAAAGACCCAAUAAUCUGAGGCUAUUACUCACAUUGGAUGAAGGAAAAGAGCCAGUGAGGUUGUCGUUGUUUGUCAAAUCAAGCACUUGAAGGUUUGGUAGGAGAAAGAUGUUACCUGGGAACUUCCCUUUCAAUCCACAAUCCCAAAGGGCAAGAGCUGACAAAGAUGAGGACAGAUUCGCCAAGGAAUUAAGUGUGACCAAAGACAUAUUUAGACUACCCAAACGGAGAUUUCUUAGCUUGGUUAGGUUUUGAAUAGUCUUGUCAAAAGAACUUGGUUCUACACUCAAAUAGUCAUUGAAAGAGAGAUCAAUUGAAACCAACUCAGUGAGUUGUCCAAGAUCAUCUGGAAUUGAACCAGUAAGAUUGCUGAAUCUAAGAUCCAAGUACUGGAGGUGCUUAAACUUUCUCACCGAGGAUGGGAAUUUUCCUUGCAAUCCACAGGAAUAGAGUACAAGUGAUGACAAAGAAGAAGACAGAUUCAUCAAGGAAUUGGGUGCAACCAUUGACAUGCUCACCCAACUCAGAUAGAGUUCUGUAAGCUGGGUUAGAUUUCGAACAAGCUUGUCAAAAGAAAUUGGUUCUAGACUUAGAUAGUCGUUUUCGUUUCCAGAGAGAGCAAGUGAAACCAACUCAGUGAGUUGCCCAAGAUCAUCUGGAAUUGAACCUGUAAGUUUGUUAUCUGCAAGAUCCAACUGCUGGAGGUGCUUAAAUUUUCUCAUUGAGGACGGGAAUUCUCCAUGCAAUCCACAGGAAAGGAGUUUGAGUGAUGACAAAGAAGAAGACAGAUUCAUCAAGGAAUUGGGUGUAACCAAUGACAUGUCUACUGCACUCAGAUCGAGUUCUCUAAGCUGGGUUAGAUUUCGAGCAAGCUUGGCAAAAGAAAUUGAUUCUAGACUUAGAUAGUCUUUUAAGCCCCCAGAGAGAUCAAGUGAAACCAAUUUGGAGAGCUGAGAGAUUUCCGACGGAACUUGACCUGCAAAGACUGAGUAAUUUAGGUUAAGAUGUGUCAGGUUGGAGAGUUGGCCAAAUUGAGAAGAAAUAUGGGAGCUUUGGAAAUCAUUGUCAGAGAGGUCGAGGUUUUGAAGAUGAUGCAGGGAGAAGAGGGUGCCAUAAAGCAUGCUGCAAGAGAGGUCCAGUCCAGUGACUUGCCCGGUUUCCAGUUCACAAGUGACCCCAUCCCACAAGCAGCAGUCUGUACCCUCUUUCCACGACUCUGUCUUGGGAUGCUGGCAACGCCCUGAAGCAGAGCUAUUAAUGGAAAAGGACUCUUUGAAUUGGAGCAAAGAAAGGCUUUGGUCAGGAGCACAGAAAUGAGAAGAAGAGGAGUAAUUUGAUGAGGAAAUUGUUGUGUGAAAAUGGAAGAGAAAUAGAAUGAAAGAGAGAAAUUGAGAGAGGGACAUUGGUGAAAACCCCAUGUUGGCUUGCCUUACAGGAUUCGAAAGUAUAUUUGGAGUGUUGAGCGAAAGAUGAGAAAUAAAGAUUCGCAUUGGUACUAUUUAUACACAAACCAAUCUACGUUCACAAAUGAAGUGGCUUUAUGAUUUUUGUUGAGAGUAGAUAAUUUCCCUGCAUUUACAUUUGCAGCAAGUUUAUGUCCAAUCUUCAUUUGGUGCUGAAUAUGGAAUUGAAGGUUGAAUUAUUCAAUUGCAAAUAUUUCUGUACAAGUAGAUACCUUAGUUGACUAAACAAUAGUGUUGGAAACACGGCAAUAUUAAUUUUCAUAAUUGAUAUUUUUUGUAGAAAUUAUUUUUUACUAUUCAUAUAUAUAGUUCAUUAAAUAAUGAAGUAUUGGUCUAGCGAUUAAGGCACCACUAGAGGCAAUGGUGAGAACACAAGUUCGUUCUUCAGGGAGCACAUUUAUUGAGAGGGACAACUAUAAAUCCCGAAUAGGACUAAUCUCACCCUUUUGCAUGAGUUGUCUAUAAAGGAAAUGAUUUCUUAUUUUAUAAUUUACUAGCUCCAUGAUUUUUGUUGAGAGUAGAUAAUAUCCCUACAUUUACAUUUGUAGCAAGUUUAUGUGCCAAUCUUCAGUGCUGAAUAUGGAAUUGAAGGUUGAAUUAUUCAAUUGCAAAUAUUUUUAUAGAAGUAGGUCCCUUAGUUGACUAAACAAUAGUGUUGGAAACACGGCAAUAUUAAUUUCUAUAAUUGACAUCGGCAAUAUUAAUUUCCAUAAUUGACAUUUUUUGUGGAAAUUAAUUAUUUCUUACUAUUUAUAUAUAUAGUUCAUUAACAAUUUUAGGUAAAGAUACGUAAAGAUGAUAUCCCUUCAUAUUUACAUCUGCAGAAAGUGUAUGUGCUAAUAGAUACAGUUAAUUUGUGCUGUAAUUAUAAAUUUUUUUUGUAGCUCGUCUGAUGGUCUGUCCUUUUCCUCCUUGACCUCCAAGUCUUCGGAACUUGGAAAUAAUGUCCAACAAUUACGUGUGGAAAUGUUGGAAUUGAAUGUUGAAUUAUUCAAUUGCAAAUAUUUCCAUACCAGUAGGUCCCUUAAUAUUUCCGUACCUCCUUGACUGUACAAUAGCGUUGGAAACACGACAAUAUUAAUUUCCAUAAUUGACAUUUUGUAUGCAAAUUUCUGAAUAUUCACAGUUCAUUUAUGAUUUUAGGUAAAGAUAUAUCUAAACCCUGAAGUUAAAAGCCUCUAAUAAUCUUGAAUUGAGUUUGUGACACUUUAACUAGUAAUUUAUAUAAAAAAAAUCAAAAACUUGAUUAAUUAAACUACAUCUACUAGAAUUUACAUUUACAUUUGCAGGAAGUGCAUAAUUAAUAGAUACAGUUUGUGAUCUCAUUGCAACUUCAUUUUGGAGCUCGUCUUAUGGUAACUGUUCUUGGGGACAUCUACCGCUCUAUGCCUAGGUGGCUUCUAAUUUUAAUACUAAUUAAAUCUUCUGCAAAAUGCUGUGAAAUUAUUAUUGUGAUUAUUAACAAGAACAAGGAACUGCUUACUUGAAGGGUUAAACAAUUAUACGUUUUUGAUCGGAAAAAAUAAGCAUUUAUAGUUUAAAAAUAACAUUUCCAGGCUGGGAAUUCAGGCAAACGCAGAUACUACACAUCAAGAACAUUGCAAAAAUUUAACUACUAUGCAGCGAACAGAUGGUGGAAUGAUCUUUAUUGAUCUAGGAAUUAUGUUAUUUAAGUUCGCUAGUUAGUUCAGCAAACUUCUAUUAUGUAUAAUAUGAUUGCAUAACACACUUAUGCCUUACUUAAUACUAUCAGCUUCUUUAAUAAAAAAGAACAUUGCAAAAAUGAUUCAUUGACGAAUAAGACUUCCCAGUAAAAAGAAGUUCAUAAUUGGAGCACAAGAUCAGAGAAAAGGUUCAUUGAUGAAUGUCAUGUGUGUUGAAGACCUGUGUAUUAUAUUAUUUUAAUCAUAUUCAGUUUAAUUUUUUCAAUUUAGUAUUUUAAGUUUAGUAGGAUUCAUUGAACUAUAUAAAAAAACACUUGUAUAUAACAACAACUUCAGCACUAUCAAGCCUCAAGGCUUCUCUUGUUCUUCUUCCUCUCUUUGAAUCUCUUCUUGUUCUUAUAAUGUGAAUCUCAGAAGCAGGCAUUCUCCCACCUCUGGACUUCGAGCAAAAGCUCUUAAAAAAAUUGGGAAUCGUAUAUGACUUGUGCUUGAUUCCCUGGGAAACAUAAGUGGCCGUAAACAAAGAAUGGAAUGUUCAGCGGAGUCACGGAACUAAACUACCCCUUUUUAGGGGAAAUCACUUACGACUUGGUCUGUUCUUUUACUUGACCCCAAAGUCUUUGUUUCUAGUAAAUAAUUUUCCCGCAAAUUAAUUAAUUUUAUAGAUAUUGGAGGUGGGCUUUUACAUGAAAAUAUCAUUAGGGAAAAAAAAUUGUGAUUGCUUAAUGUGAAUGUUCAGAGAAGUUUUUCUAAAGUGUAUUUAGGAAUGAAAUUUAUGUGAAGCUUGCUUUACAUACUGAAUUUAAUUUCCCAAAAAAAAAAUCCGACCACAAAAUUUUUCAAUAAUUUACAAACGUAGUUAAUUCACAUCUUAGGUAUGUGAAGAAUGUAAAGAAUGUUAAUUCACGUAGUUAAUUCAAUAAUUUUUUAAAACUUAAGAUCACUAUCUCAUCUUGUAUAAAGAAUAUUAUACUUUGAUCAUGUUACAUGUUAUCUUAAUCAAGGUAACAAAAAAGUAGACAAUGGAUAUAUCAUGAAUUAUAUGAAGGUAUUUGAGUGAUCAAGACAAGAUUCAUUACACUAGAUGAAUAAUAAAAAAAAUAAUUUAUUUUCAUAUAGUAUUGACAAAGAAUUAUUUUGGCCAAUGUAGAAUGAGAUUUGAAAAGAAUUUCAAAUCUUAUUCAAACGAUUAAUAACUAUUAUAUAGAGAAUAAACAUGAUUUAACAUGACAUAUAUACUAUAUGCUUUAAUGUUAAAUUAGAACAUUAUUGAUGAAAGGAUAUCCAUUAUACUGAGAAAUUGGUCACUAAAAUGUUAAGUCAAACCACUAAUGACUUCCAAUAUUUAGAGAAUCAUGACAUGUUACUAGACGAUGCACCUGAUCUUUAAAUAUAAAUUAAUCAAUUGUUGAAUUAAUAAUAAAUUAAAUUAUUUAAUCUAUUUAAUUAUAAUUAUAAUUUAUAUUUAGGCCUGCAUAUUAGGAACCUAAUAAGUUACACGCAUUAAGAAUCAUUAAUAAAAAAUUAAACUAGAAUGAUUUAAUUAAAUAUAACUUGAUUACAAUAUAUUUUAGAAAUUAAGGACUAGAUUAUAAUUAAUACAAAUAUUAUAUCUCUAGACUUGUAAAAUCAAGUAAAGACUUAAUUGAGCUAUUUUCUGUAUUGUCUUUAAAUAAUAUAUGGAUAUUAUUUAAGGGACAAAUAAAUAUUUUAUGUGAAGCUUGCUUUACAUACUGAAUUUAAUUUCCCAAAAAAAAAAAAUCCAACCACAAAAGUUUUCAAUAAUUUACAAACGCAGUUAAUUCACAUCUUAGGUAUGUGGCCAUGCAUGAUUUAAGCACCAAAACGUAGAUAAAGUAUACAAGAAAUUACUGUGUCUAUUAUUGAAUAGAUCAUCCAUUUCUCUUUAGAGUAAUAUUAAUGCAUAUAAAUCUCAUAAUAUUCUUUAGAUUUAUGUUAGCUGUAUAGCAUCUCAAGGGCUUUUUUCUAUUUGAAGGUUUUAUUAUUAUUGCAUUCUACCUCAAAAUCAAUAAAACUUUGAUUAUUAUAUAUAUAAAAAAUCAUAUUAAAUCAUUAUUGUUCACAACUUUGUGUACCCAUCGAGCAAAUCGGAUGUGUCCAAUUGGAGAGAUAAAAUUAUGGAAGGAAAAAUAUUGGAAACCAAAUAUAGAAGAUAAAAAACUGAUCCUUUAGUCAAAUAAAAUACGUUCUAGCAAAUUCCUCAGUGAUUUUAAAUCUAAGAGCAACCUAUUUAAUUAGAAUAUUUCAUUUAUAUUUUUUAGUAGAGAUUCCUAAUGACAUUUUUUCUUGAACAAGUGAUUUCUCGGCACUCCUCAAAUAAUUUCUAGCCUGACAGACAAACAAACAAAUAAAUCACAUAAAAUUCUCAAACAAUUAUAUAUUAUAGUGAAUUACUUUUUUGUUAAUUUUAGAGCCUAUAAAAUUAGUUAAAAUACAUAUAAACUGACCCGAACAUUCAUUCCACGUUAAUAAUAAUAAUAAAAAAGCUUGUGCAUAGAUUCUCACUCUGUUCCUGGUUUAUUAAAUCUCUUGUCAUGACCUAUUUCAUUGGUGGCUCGCCCCAUGCAAUUAAUAUUCAUGUGGAUUAUCCAAAGUAGCAUUUGAAUUCUGUAAAUUAACUUCCUUUUUGUUCAAUUUCCUAUGCCUUUAAAAUUUUGUUAUUGACAUAAACCUAAUUAAGUAGACACCAUUGUAGUUUCGAUAUGCCAUAAUUUUUAUCUGAAUGUCCGAUUGAGGCUUGUGAAAACAAUGUAAAAAAAAAAGAGAAGGGAAUUUGAACUAGUUUGAAGAGUUUGAUUUAUGUAAUUCAUAAUCAAAAUCUGGAAUUAGCUAGAUUAGAAGCAAAGUAUGCUACGUACAAUGGCUAAAUUUAUCCUGAAAAUUCCCAUUUUGAUCUGUGAGGCUAAGGCAAAUGGAACAGUUGCUAAUAAACAUUUCAUCCAUAGUUUUGAAACCCGGCCCAACCCGGUAGGUCAACCCGUGACCCGAACGACCCAGGGCUGGAAUAGAGCCGGGUUGAAGAAAAAACAAAAGAAAAAAAAACCUGGUGUGACCUGACAGGCUGGUCAAGACCCGGCAUUAAACCCGUUAACUUUUAUUUUGUUUUUGUUUUACUAAAAUGACGUCGUUUUAAUUUUUUUUUAAAAUGACCCGGCCGACCAGGCGACCCGGUCAAGACCUGGAACCCGGGCCUUGGACCGGGCCGGCCACCAGGCCGGGUCUUAAAAAUAUAAUUUCAUCUAACAUAAACACAGAAUUAAAGCAAAACAUUCAUGAAUCUUUGGCAGAAUGUCGAUAGUUACUGGCCUUAGAGAGCAUAUUGUUAGAACCACUUAGGUGGAGAUUAGUGGUUCGGUCUAUGCCAUUAAAGUUACAGAAAAACCAUGCUUAGAGGUUAAUUCAAGUAGGGUUGAUAAAAAGAAGGUUGUGGAAAAUUGGGCUGGGAAGUUGAAUCCUUCCAACUUUGAUACUUUAGAAUCCUCCCAACAUGAUUCUCUCAAAUCAUCAUAUGCUGCUGCUGAGUAAUUUUGUUCUGAGGAGCCAAUGGAAGCUGGAAUACAUGGAGCAAAAAUUGAUGACACGAAUGAGACUGCUGUAUGUAGACAUGGUAUGGAUAGGGAAUUCUCUUUUUGUGAUCCAGGGUGAAGAUGUAAUGCCUGAAAGAAUUAACAAGAAGGGUACUUUGAAUGUUGAUUUGCUUUCUCCAGAGAAGGGUUCUUUGAGGAAAUCUGUUGCUGAGGAGACAGAAACAACCGAUAGCGACCCGAUAAAUGCAACACUGCACUAACAAGCUUUCCUGCUACCAUAGCUGCUAUAAAAAGCAAUGGAGUCCAAAUUGUUGAAAAGCAGUCAGAGGAAAAUUUAAAUAUUGAUGGUGGGCUUAUCUCUAAUGCUUAUUUGGAUGAGUGGAGGAAUGGAUCACAGUGUAUUGGGCUAGAGGAAAACACACUCUCCAUAGUUCCAGUUAACACACAUGAGCCUCUGUUAACUACUUACUAUAAGGCUUCGGACCAACAACUGAUCGCAUGCUUAAAUGGCCCAGUGAAAUAUAAUAAAAACAAGAUUUUUGAGGCCUUCAUCACACCUAUAGCAGAACCAGAGGAGGUAGCUGAACUAGAGAAGGAAAAGAAGAGAAGUUCGAACAAAAGAAAGAAGAAACUUUCCUUAAAAUCAGCUACUCGUAAGGGGAGAACAUCAAGAAGUAGAAAAGAGAAGUCUGCUAACCUGGAAAUCACUGAAAUGUCUAUCUCAGAUGGUGAAAUCAGAAACAGAAACAGAAACAAGGCUAUACGCUCUGGCAUGGACAUUAAUGUAAUGGAGAAGGGGAUCAUUUCCCCUCGGCGACUGGAGCAACAACCACCUGUUGAUAGUAGAAUGGGAGCUAAAGCUUGCUGGGAAGUUGGAAAGGCCAUUCUUUAGCUAGAUGAUGAUAGUGAUCAGAUUGUGGAAACCUUGAAGGUUUUCAUAGAUAAAGAUUGGAAAGGAAGGUUGGAGUAAUAGUAAUGCUCCACGAAGAUAUUCUAGAUCCUGGUAUGUUGUUCCCUCAGUUUGGUCUUUCUGGGGCCUGCUUUCUAUAUGGAAUUCUCCCAGCUUUAAUGUCACGAAUGCAAUGGUAGGAUAUUGCAUAUAGAAAGAGUCUUUACAUGGUAUAAUACUGAUUGAGUGCUAUUUAUGGAUUAUUCCUCAAAGAAAGAAUUGUGGAGCUAUCUGGUGAAUUUCAAAUGUAACAUUUCUGAGCCAUGGUGCCUUGUUGGGGAUUUUAAUGAGACUAUCUCUCCUUCAGAUCGUAAGGGUGGGAUAAAUAUUACUUGUUCUAUGAAAGCAUUUCAAUAAUGUUACAUGGAUAUUCUUUCUACUAACUACUAUCCUCUGUUAAAUUAUCUAUAUCCGAUAACUCUGUCAUAUCCCCUGUUCACGAAACAUUGCACACCAAGCAACUAGGUGUUGAUGAGAGCUUGUUUCUCUCCAAUGAAACCCAAUCAUAAUCAGUGGAUCAUUGCACAUAUACACAAGGAUAUACGAUAGACAAGGAUUGAAAGAAAAAUGAGAUUAGCUGCCUACAAAAUAACUGUAACAAGAUAAGCCAUCAGAUCACCUCAUGAAUUUUGUUUGGUUAUCUACUAAUUUGGAACGGCUUAUGGGUAGAAAAUGAAAUAGAGGAGCAUCAAUUGAUUAUUGCACAGCAGAGAGACAUGAUAAAGCUAACCUUGUGCUUUGUUGAUGAGAGCUUGUUUCUCUCCUGUUGAGGAAGAGAGUUCCCAUGAAGAAAUGAUGGCAAUUGGAUGAUAAACAUUAAAGAAGUAAAACAAGUUCUAUUUCAAAACAAUACUAGAGAGGUUACAACCAUCUCCAAUGAAACUUGUAACCAACAGAAUUCUAACAACACACAAGAAAACUAACCUUGUGAUGCCAAGAUCUGAGCACUCUUAUGACCAUCAGCAAUAUUAAUAUUGGCCUGUCUCUCUCCUGUUAAAAAUAAUCAAUACAAAAGAUUAGCAAUGGAUUGACAAAUGAAGAAAUAUUGCAAUGCCUCAUGACAUUGAACAAAUGGUUCUAAAAAAGGUUGCCUCCAAUUGUUAAGCCAUGCAUAACAAAGAUUUAUAGAUAUGAUAGGUGAAUAAAAGUGUCUGCAUUAUGUAGCAGCAAAGAUAUGAGAAGCAGAAAAAAUGCGAUUAAAAGGAGCGGUGGAAAACGACCAAGCAUGACAAGAUGGCAUGGCAAUUCUGUACAAACAGAUAAAAAUGAUGCAUGAAGUCAAUUGCAACAAAGUUUGAUUAAAGUGGAGUUUAAUUAAGCUGAGGUAAAACUGAGAAACUAAACUACAUUUAAUACCUUCAGACUCAAGAAUUUGAGCUCUCUUUCUACGUUCUGCUUCUGCCUGCAUCUCCAUAGCUUGCUUCACCCCACGUGGAGGAGAUAUAUCCCCUAAAGAAGCGAGGACAGAGAAGCAUUAAAAGAAAAUUCUACAAGAACCUAAUCAACAUAGAAUAUCAAAUAAGUUAAGUGCGGCUGGCUCACUUAUUUCAUAACAAAGACAUCGGAGACCCUAGUCUCUUGCAGCCACAUUAAUGGCCUCCUGCAGAAAUGGUGACAGUCUUGCAUAUUCAACAACAUCCUUGUUUUCUUAAAAUACCUGAUUUUCAACUAAAACUCCAAAAUAACCUUAGAGUUUUAACUAGGUUGAUAAGACAAGAAACAGAGAAGUGUCAUUACAAUUUUGAAGAACCAACCAAAUCACAAUUUCCUGAAGCAGCAACCGACUUUUCUCACAUUUAUGAUUUUUGUCUAGCAUUUCAAUAUAUUAUUAAUGAAUCGAAAUGUUAAAGCAACCAAUCUCUUCACGGCGAAAUGUGCUUCACAUAAAAAGCACACUCCUAAAUAAAUAAAUAAUGUGAAUACACUAAGAAAGGGCGAUUGAAGUAAAGAGGUAUUAUACCACAAUCUUUUCAUUGAGAGUGUCUCGUUCUUCAAAGGUCUUGUCAAGAGUAAUCUUACCAAGCUCACUACGCAUAGUGGUCUGGGCAAGUUGAACGACAGCAUAGAUGGGAUUCUCAACACCAUAAGAAGCAAGCUUAGGAUCCACAAUCUGUUGCACAACAAUUUGAGUAUCAAUAAUAGUAAAUGAUUGAUUAACCCAAAAGGGAAAGAGAAACGAGAGAGAAGGGGGAAACCUUGACAUAGAGGACGCCGUCAAUAAGGAUGCUGACAUUGUCUUUGGUAAUAGCAGAUUGAUCAGGAAUCUGAAUAGCCUCUUCCUUCAAAGAGUGAACAUAAGCAAUUCGAUCGACAAGGGGAAUCAAGAAAUGGAUUCCAGAUGGCAGCAUCUUCAAGUACUUUCCAAAUCUCUCUACCACAAACGCUUUCUUCUCCGGCACAAUCCGUACCCCCCAAUUCACAGGUGGCGUAAUCUCAU